GAAAUUUCAACUUCCUACCCUUUGUAAUGCAAAUUGGCUAAUGUAAGACCUCAAAUUUUAAGAAUUUAACUUGCAUGUACUAACAAACAACAUAUUCUCCAUCAAGAAAACAUAUAGGAUACAUGAAGUGAUGCUUGUAUUAUUGCAGGGGGUCAAGAGUACUCUCUAUCUCUUCAUGUUUACAUUUGAAUUAAUGCAUAAAAGUAUAUACACUAGACAUCUGCUAAAUAAGAAGGAUUGGGAAAUUUCAUUACGAAAGUAUAAAUUAAAAAUCAUUGCUUAGCAGAAAGAUAACAAAUUUCCACUUUCUGACGAAAUGCUAGAUAUAGAAUCAGGCAAAGAAAUGAACUGCUCUGUAGAAGGCCUUAUCUUUGGGACUCACUUAAGCGAAGGCAGGCAAUCUCGAGAACCCAUAACAUUUCAUCAGCAUUUUCUUUGUUAUAAAUAAACGGAUCAAACACUUCGGUUUCCCUCUUUUCGCUUUUCAUUCGAAUCACCCAAGAGACCAAAUCACGUCUGCUUUUCGAUUUGCACAUGUCCAUUGGCCAUUCAUUAUCAAUAACUUUUCGACUACUUGCACACAUAAUGAUCGAGGACACAAGAGUAAAGAGUAAAAACAGUUCCGAGUCCAAUUCCGACAGCCAUUGCAAUAAUAGUGCCUUUUAGUAUUCCUGAUCUGUUCGCUGAUAGAUCAGGUACUUGAUUGCCAUUAGGACGAGGAUAAGUACUGAUGCUACCAAAAAUCGUACCUGUGCAAUUUCGAACUGGACGACUGGUGGCGAGCACGAACGUGUUCUUCCAGUACCUGAAACAAAGGCGUCGAGGUGUGUCCUCGUCACCCCUCUUAUGCUUAAGUUAGAAUAUGUGCGUGAGGCCAUGGACUGAAAAUUGCAUAAAAAAGAGUACCUGAAUGAUGAGGUGAAACCAUGCAUUUAUAGUGUUACGUGGUUGAAUCCUAUUAGGAUUGAACAAUUGGGAAAUCUUUAUCUCUUAGAGUCCUAUCGGAGGUGGAUGUUUGACAUGCAUAACAAAUGUGGGAUCAGUGCAAGUUAACAACAAUAAACUCCUCUUGUAUGUAGAAGUCUUGUGGGAUAUCAAGUGUUACACGUCACUGUUCGUAGGAGAACGUGGUAUCGUUGAAGAAAAAAGCAUGAGGACAUUGAAUAUCGAGGACUCCAAUGCUCGACGUCAUGGUAUGAUUAGGAGAGAAGUCGAGGAUAUUUUCCAUAUCCUCGGGAUGUUUCCCAUCAUACCCGACGAAUAUAUUUUUGAAGACUGAGUUGGGAGUCAUCGGGAAAUAUGAGGUCGAGGUAAAUAGAUGGACCAUAUCACUGGCCCCCGUGCAUCCAUGCGUGAGGUUCGAGUGUGGGAUGCACAGGUGAAAAUAGUCCACAUGCGAAGAAACCCGAGGUCCAGUACAAAGAUGACAUCAACCCUAAAGUGAAAGGCGGUUUAACUUUGGUGGCCCCGAUGAGUGACACGUGUCCAGAUCAAACGGUCCAAGCCGGACGACCCUUGGGUUUCCCACUGGAGUCUAUAAAUACCCCCGUCAUUUUCCAUUUGUUACCUUUUUACUUAUCUGUGAAUUUUUUCAGAAUCCUCGAGCUUGGGCAUUUUGUGGGUUUUGGGUCGUCGAUAUUAAGGUAAGAGAUCGAGAACUUUAAGCUUUAUUAUUUAAGAACACUUUCGGUAGGAUGUCUAGUGAGUCUAACUCGUCGUCAUCCUCUAGGUCGAGGACAACCCCAGAGAGUUUAGGUAGGUCGAUAAUCCCUGUAGCCAUCCCUAUUUAUGCACAACCUCGAGCAGAAGAUAACUCGACACUUUUAACAUAUCCUGACCAACCUUGUACCCUUAAGGAGCACCUGGCCAUAUCGACGGCUAGAGAACAUGGCAUAAUGCCGAGUGCUCGGGGUAGGGGAUAGGAUGGCUAUAGCUCGGGAUGGGGAGUUUGUGAUUUUCAGCGAUUCUUUAAAAGAGGGAUUUAGGUGGCCCCUGCAUCCCUUUUUUAUGUCUUUACUGGUCGAACAUAACAUGAGCCCGGGGCAAUUAGUGCCAAAUGGGUGGAGGAUGCUCGCCUAUUUCUUCAUCACCUGUAGAUACCUGGGCAUUACACCAUAUCUCGACCUAUGUAGAAUGGUCUUCGACCUUAAACAGUUACCCCAGUAUACAUGUUUUGCCUACCUUUCUACCCGGGGAGGUUUUAGAAUCCCGAAGAUGCCGAGCUCCUUAAAAGGGUGGAAGGAGAAAUGGUUCUACGUGAUUCCUCAGGAUAUCGACCUUCCAUUCAAAUCUCGAUGGGGUUUUCCAGAUAUGUCGAGGUUUUGUGAGGGUCAGGCAUACUUUGAGAGUCUAGAGAGGGACAGGCAAAUGUUAGAAAAUCUCGAGCCUCUGGUGUUUGAUAUGGACGACAUCCUCGGGGAUGACGUUCUCGAUCGUGCAGAUAUUAAAGGCGUCAAGGGUAGGACACGUACCUUUUUUCUUAAUUUUUUGCUUAUUUAUAUGCUCGUUUUUAGUACAUCGUCGAUGUUUUGCAGCAAUGACUUUCGAUCCAACUGCUUUGCGAUAGUCCAUGCAGUCCAAGUCAAGGGCCCCUCAAAUUCGAACUCCGGGGUAGAAAACAGGAAAAAGAGGCCUAGAGCGUUUGGGCCAGAACAAAAAAGAAGCGGGGCAGGAGAGUCCUCGAGGCGCAGAAGCAUGUUGCCUGGAGGCAACACUCCUCGAGCUAUACCAUCUUGAGCUCUUCCUUCUCCCCAGGAGCACACAGUAGUGGAACUCGACGAGGAUAACAUGCCCCCAAGUACUGAAAACGUCGAGAAUGGUGGACAGUCAUAUUUGAUGUCGGGCCUUGUCGACAAAUACCGACAAAGGCUCGGGUAUGAAGAGGCCAGCAAGGACCUCGAGUCUCUUAUAUUCCAGGUGAACUAUGAUGAUUAUAAAAUUUAAUGUCUUUUUAUAUCGAGGUCAUAGCUCGUGGUGAAUGUGUUUGCAGGCUUUGAGUAUAGCUCGAGGUGGCUUGCUCAGGGGGAUGGAUGAUUCCCGGAAGGUGAUCGAGCUCCAAGAGGCAGUGGAAGCCCGAGACAAGAGAGUAACUGACCUCGAGGUUGAGUGUGACAUGGCGAAGAUCGAGCUUCGAAAGGCUCGUGAUGAAAUAGGCCUCGUGAGGUAGAAGAAUUGAAGAUGGAGCUCGAGAGGAUGAAGAAAAACUUCGAGGGCAGGUUGGCAGAAGCUCGGGCUGAAGCUAUCAAGGAAUUCCAGAAGUCUGAGGACUUCAACAAGCCGAAGGGUGAUUAUGCAAUGGGCUCAUAUUUCCAUGGCCUUAAGGAGGCUCGAGCAUUUCUUCGGUCGAAGCCUGAUGCUAAGCUUGAGGAGCUGAAGGCAAUCCCGGAGAUUGCUGGAGACGUCGAGCUUUCGGAGUCAGAAGAGGGUACCCUAGACGAUGAAGGGGUCGACCUUGAUGAUGACCUCGAGGAUGAUCAGGAGAGCCCCGGGGUCUAGAUGUCAUUUGUCUUUAAUCGAGCAACAUUUGUAAAACAUGUUUUUUGUUGCCAGUUUAUAUUGAGCAGUUUUUUGUAAAAACAUGUUUAAACAUGAUUCACUUUUUAUUGAGCACUAUUAAUACAAUCUGCGUGUUCGAUAUUAUUUUGCCUGAGCUUUUACUUGAGCUAAUCUCUGCUGUUUCUCGAUUAUAAAUAUGCUCGACGAAUAUCCUGGAUAACUAUUGAGGAUAUUACGAAUUUUAAUAUCGACGACCUCAUAAAUGAUGUCGAAUGAUUUAUGCUCGACGAUUCAAAUAUUAGAUGUUUAUGUCGUUUAUUAAUAUCGACGAUCAUGAUUUUACGAACACUCAUAGCGACGAUAUAAAUAGACUACGCCUUAUACCGAUGACUAUGCUUUAUGAAUAUUAAUAUCGAUGGCAUGCAAUAAAUCUUGGUAAACACGAUGAGUUUUGAGGAACCUUAACGUAAUCCUCGUGUUUUCAAAUUUUUACUGUAUCGAGGAUUAUUUAUCUUGCCUAAAGGCAAGGCUUUUACUUGUCGAGGGAAAGGUUUAUAUUACUUAUCGAGGACAAGGCUUUGGAGUGCCUGCUCGAGGGUAAGGCUUAAAUUGCUUGUCGAAGACAAGGCUUCGAGCGCUUGCUCGAGGGCAAUGCUUACAUUGCUCGAGGGCAAGGCUUACAUUGCUUAUCGAGGACAAGGCUUAGGAGUGCUUGCUCGAGGGCAUGGCUUACAUUGCUUGUCGAGGACAAGGCUUAAAUUGCUUGUCAAGGACAAGGCUUCGAGUGCUUGCUCGAGGGCAAGGCUUACAUUGCUUGUCGGGGACAAGGCUUAGGAGUGCUUGCUCGAGGGCAAGGCUUAUAUUGCUUGUCGAGGACAAGACUUAGAGUGCUUCCUGGAUGCAAAGCAAACGAUAGGGUUGUUAUACCCGAGGUUUGAAUUUUUUUUCUUCGGACUGGACUUGGAUUUAUAUUGUAUCCAAGCUGCCUACGCACCCAAAUGGGAUCAAGCCGAACGUAGUUCAUUACAAAAGAAAACGGAAAACAUGCAUGGGCACAUAGGCCCGCCAAACUAGAAAUAAAAUGCAAGGGCAUGCAAGCCCGAAGAACCAAAAAUAAUAUUCAGAAGAACUAAAAAUGCAGGAAUAAAAAGAAAAUCUCCUAGAUGACAUCGAGAAUGUUACUUGUAAUAUAUUUUUAGAUUAUCGGCAUUCCAAGGCCUUGGAAGAGAUCUACCUGAGGUAUCCUUUAGGCUGUAAGACCCUCCUCUGAUUUGCCGUAUGACUUCGAAUGGUCCUUCCCAAAUUGGCCCGAGCUUUCCGGGAGCAUGACCAGCAGCUUCAGCCUUCCUCAGCACGAGGUCUCCAGCCCUGAACUUCUUAGAUCUGACCCGGUUAUUAAAAUGCCUUGCCACUCUGCUUUGGUAAGAGACUACUCUUAGUGCUGCUUGUUCACGAACCUCCUCAAGGAGGUCCAAAUGUUCUGUCGUACGUUCCAGAGAGUCGGGCAUCAUUCUCCUUAGGCUAGGAAAACUGAUUUCAACUGGGAUGGUGGCCUCCAUGCCAAAUGCUAGCAUGAAGGGGGUUUCACCCGUCGUAGUUUUAUGCGAAGUUAUGUACGUCCAUAGUAAUGAGGAUAGCUCGUCGGACCAAAAACCUUUGGCAUCCCCGAGUCUUGUCCGGAGGUCUUUCAAUAUAAUUCGAUUCGUGACCUCGGCUAGGCUAUUGCUCUGAGGGUGCAAAACUGAUGUGAGUUGAUGGUCAAUCCCUAGGUUGGUACAAAAACUUUUGAAUUGUGCAUUAUCAAAUUGUCGUCCAUUAUCAGUUAUGGGGACCUUUAGUAUCCCGAACCUACAAACAAUGGAUUUCCACACAAAAGCUCUAAGUUUAGGCUCCGAAAUUGUUGCCAAAGGUUCUGCUUCUGCCCACUUCGUGAAGUAUUCUCCUGCUACUGCCACGAAUUUUAAUUGUCCUCUUGCCACUGGAAAAGGCCCGAGGAUAUCAAUUCCCCACUGUUCAAAAGGGGCCAAACAUGUUAGGGUUGUGAGGUCCUUAGCUGGAGAAUAGAUGACGUUGGCAAACCUCUGGCAUUUGUUUCAUUUUCUGACAUAUUCCAAGGCAUCUUUCUUCAUGGUGGGCCAGUAGUACCCAUACCUUAUAAGCUUGAAGGACAAAGCCCGAGCUCCUUGGUGGUUCCCACAUACACCUUCAUGAACUUCAGCUAGAGCUCGGGAUGAUUCUGAGGGUUUAAGUUAUCUGAGAUAUGGAAGUGUGAAACUUCUUCAGAAUAGUACUCCUCCAAUCAUGCAGUACCUAGAUGCUCAAGAUCUUAUACUCUCGACAAUCGGGGGUCCUCAGGUAGAUUUCCAUUACUUAUGAACUCUGCAAUUGGGUCUAUCCAUGAUGGCUCAUGAUCAAUGUCCAUGACUCCAACUCCCUGAGUGAUACUAGGCUCCAUUACCAAUUUCACGUGGACUGUCCUCUCUAGCCCAUCGAUUCCCAUGAAUACCAAUCUAGAUAAUGCAUCAGUUUUACAGUAGCUCGAGGAUUUUUAUGAUUUCACAACUCUUGAAUUGUCGCUAGAGAUCAUGGACUUUUAGACAAUACAAGCUCAUCUUCUCCUCCUUCCUUUCGAACAUACCUUCUAUCUGACCGACCACAAGCUGAGAAUCGCUGAAAAUUUUAAUAUGCUCGAGCUCAAGGGCGAUGAUGGCCUAAUAUUUGGCCUCGUUGUUGGUAGCUUCAAACUCAAACCUGAGUGCGCAUUGAAUAACCACAAGUUUGUCAGGGUUCGUGAUGAUAACCCCUGCUCCGGAACCUGACGAAUUGGAUGCUCCAUCAACAAAGAUGUUCCAAGUGUCUGAAGUAUGAUUGUCCGAGUUAUCCCCUGGCCCCCGAGGCCUGGGGUGAGUUCUGCAAUAAAGUCAGCCAAGGCCUGCGCCUUGAUAGAUGGUCAGGAUUUAUACUCGAUGUCAAAUUCUCCCAGUUCAAUUGCCCACUUUAGUAACCUAUCGGAAAUGUCGGGUUUUUGUCAUAUAUGCUUAAGGGGUUGAUUAGUGAGCACAACUAUGGGGUGAGACUGAAAAUAUUGUCUGAGCUUCCGUGCUACCACAACCAAUGCAAAAGCAAGCUAUUCUGCUAAAGUAUAUCUGGUCUCUGUAUCGAGUAAGACCUUACUAACGUAGUAUAUAGGUUGCUAGGCUUUGUUAACUUCUUUCACUAGCACAUCGCUUACUGCAUUCUAGGAUACGGCCAAGUAUAAAUACAGAGUAUCACCAUGCUCGGGUUUAGUGAGGAUAGGAGGGGAUGCCAGCGUUUCCUUAAGUUCGUGAAAAGCCCUUUCACAUUCCUCAUCCCAUUCAAAAUUUCAGUUUCCCCUGAGGACUUUGAAGAGGGGGAAGCAUUUGUCGGCUGCUCGGGACAUAAACCUAUUGAGGGCAGCAACACGGCCUGUUAAUUUCUGGACCUCCUUCUUGGUUUUAGGUGUCUCCAUUGAUGCCAACACCUGUAUUUUGUCUAGGUUGGCUUUGAUUCCCCUGUGAGUGAUCAUAAAACCCAAGAACUUUCCCGAGGCAACGCCAAAUGCGCAUUUUUCCGAAUUCAGCUUCAUUCUGUACUUACGCAGUGUGGCGAACACCUCCUUGAGGUCUAAUACAUGGUUGCCCACUUGCUUGCUCUGUACAACCAUGUCAUCGAUGUAGGCCUCAGUAUUUCUCCCGAUCAUUCCUGCAAAAACUUUAUUGACAAGUCUUUGAUAUGUUGCUCCUGCAUUCUUCAAACAGAACGGCAUGACCUUAUAGCAAUAUAUGGCAGAAUCGGCCAUGAAUGACGUCUUCUCUUGGUCUUCCUCGGCCAUAAGAAUUUGAUGGUAACCUGAGAAUGCAUCCAAAAAACUGUAUAAUUUGUGUCUCGACGUACUAUCCACCAAAUCGUCAAUUCGAGGUAGGGGGUAGCUGUCUUUGGGCAUGCUCUAUUGAGGUCUGUAAAAUCGAUGUAGACUCUCCAUUUACCACAAGCCUUUUUUACCAGGACAACAUUGGCGAGCCAGUCAGGAUAAUUGACCUUGCGGAUGAACUGAGCCCUGAUUAGUUUAUUAAUUUCUUCCUUUAUGACCUGUCGUCGUUCCGGUGCAAACUGCUUCUUUCUUUGCUUAACUGGAUGAGUCCCGGGCUUAGUGUUGAGCCUGUGUACUACAACCUCGGGGUUGAUGCCAGGCAUAUCCUCCACCUUCCAUGCGAAGACAUCAAUGUUGCGGGAUAAGCAGUUAAUAAGUUCGAUCGUGAGGGCCAUAUUAAGAUCUCGACCAACUGUUACUUUCUUCCCUUGCUCGAGCUCUAUCUCCAGCAACUCCUCCACUAAAGCGAGUCUCCCCCUAUGCUCGAGCUCUUCCUCCUUUUCUGAGAUUUGCAUGACGUCUGUCUUUAUUUCCCAAACACAAGUAACAUAGCAUUGUCUGGCUGCAGCUUGGUUUCCGCGUACUACCCCGACGCUAUGACUGGUGGAGAACUUCAUUGCAAGGUGGAAGGUGGACACAAUAGCUUUUACCUUAUUGAGCAAUGGUCUACCCAGGAUGGCGUUGUAUGCCAUGGAUGACCGGACAAUCUGAAAAGAUGUAAUCACCGUUACCUGUUCUUUACCUAAGCCUAGGGUAAGAGGCAGCUCGACCACUCCCUCCGGAACGAUAAUACCUCCCCCGAAUCCUUGAAGGGGGUUUUCACUGUCUUCAAUUGUUUGGGAGAGAUUCCCAUUUUUGUGAAGGCUUCGUGUGAUAAUAUGUUAGCGAGUCUCCCCCUAUGCUUGAGCUCUUUCUCCUUUUUUGAGAUUUGCAUGACGUCCAUCUUUAUUUCCCAAACACAAGUAACAUAGCAUUGUCUGGCUGCAGCUUGGUUUUCGCGUACUACCCCAACGCCAUGACUGGUGGGGAACUUCAUUGCGAGGUGGAAGGUGGACACAAUAGCUUUUACCUUAUUGAGCAAUGGUCUACCCAGGAUGGCGUUGUAUGCCAUGGAUGACCGGACAAUCUGAAAAGAUGUAAUCACCGUUACCAGUUCUUUACCUGAGCCUAGGGUAAGAGGCAGCUCGACCACUCCCUCCGGAACGAUAAUACCUCCCCCGAAUCCUUGAAGGGGGGUUUUCACUGUCUUUAAUUGUUCGGGAGAGAUUCCCAUUUUUGUGAAGGCUUCGUGUGACAAUAUGUUAGCGGCACUCCCGUUGUCGAUUAAGAUCCUCUUUACCUCAAAGUUUGCUAUUAUUACAGAGAUGACUAGGGCAUCAUCAUGAGAAAAAGAUACGCCCUCAAGAUCCUUCAUACCAAAUGUUAUGUCCUCGAGGUCACCAUGAUGUGCUUUCGAGGUAGUCAUGUAUUGCUGGGCAUACUGCUUCCACCCAGUGUUCGAUUCUCCGCCUAAUGCAAUACCCCGGACAAUGAUGUUGAUGAUUUCAGUAUUGGGUUGACCAUCCCUUUUUGCUUCAGAAGCUCUUUCCCUACCACCAUCAUUCUUCGGGCAUUUGUCAUUACCGACGUAGAAACUCAGAAGUCCCCUUUUAAUAAGGGCUUCAAUCUCCCGUUGCAGGGCUUUACAGUUUUCAGUGGUCUGCCCGUGAUCCCGAUGGAACUCACAGUAUUUGCUCAUGUCCCUGGACGGAGGUGGUGACCUCAUUCUCGUAGGCCAUUUGAGCUCCUUUAUAUCCUUGAUCUCCAUCAAAAUAUUUGUUUUCGAUGUAUUUAAACACAUGAAUGACGUCGGGGGAGCCUCCUACCUCUAUUUAUUUCGAGGUGGUUCUUGACGGGGGCUCGGGUCAUGCGGUCGUUUAUGCUCGACCCUAUCAUGGGAUGGUCCAACCUUUCCCGGGUUUAGUGUUUCCUCCAUAUUUAUGUACUUCUCUCCUCGGGUAAGAAGCUCGGUCAUUGUCUUUGGCGGAGUUUUGGAUAGCGAGAUUUUGAAAGUCUUACACUUUAUGGCAUAUGUGAGGGCAGAAACCGCGGCCGUUAUAUGAAGGUCGGGAAUUUGUAGCCUUUCCUUGUUGAACCUGGUCAUGAAUUCGCGUAGGGUCUCAUUUUGCCUCUGUUGAAGUUGCAUGAGGGAGGCUGCCGUUUUCCUGAUGCGUUUACUGCUUGCGAAGAAGGCGGAGAACUUGUCCGCUAAAUCCAAGAAUGAGGCUAUUGAGUUGGGCUCUAAGGUUGAGAACCAAUCCCUAGCAACAUUCGUCAAAGUUUGUGGGAAGGCCUUGCACAUCACCUGAUCCGGUGCAACCUAUAGGUUCAUGAUGUCGGUGUAUACGUUAAUAUGGUUGAUUGGAUCGGUAGUCCCAUCAUACUCUUUUAUCCUAGGAUACUUGAAUCUGUCUGGUAGGGGAAAUGUCAAUAUCCCGGGAGUAAAAGGAGUAUUGGAACUAAAUCUUGUUGACCCUUUGUUACCCUGAAGUAGGCUCGCCAUAAUUCCUUCUUGAAUAAUCCUAGCGAUUUUCUCGGAUUCCAUGGUUACUGAUCUCGAGGCCGAGGUCACAUGUGGUAUGCCUGAGGUCCCUACUUCGCCAUUGUCAGUGACAUGUCACUGAGCUCGAGCUCGAGCAUCGGCCAUUGUCAGUGACAUGUCACUGGCCCCGGUAGUGACGACUGCCGGCUGGGGCUCUAGCACUUUUGAUGAUUCCUCUUGAGGAACAGGGAUAUCCUCAGGAGGAGGUUGAUUUGGAGCGGAUGAGCCUGCUGGUGGAAGACCUGAACGUGUGUUUACAAUGGCUUUUGGUAGCGUUUCCCAUAAACGGCGCCAAUGAUGCUACCAAAAAUCGUACCUAAGCAAUUUCGAGCUGGACGACUGGUGGCGAGCACGAAUGUGUUCUUCCAGUACUUGAAACAAGGGCGUCGAGGUAUGUCCUCGUCGCCCCUCCGAUGCUUAAGUUAGAAUAUGUGCGUGAGGCCAUGGACUGAAAAUUGCAUAAAAAAGAGUACCUGAAUGAUGAGGUGAAACCAUGCAUUUAUAGUGUUACGUGGUUGAAUCCUAUUAGGAUUGAACAAUUGGGGAAUCUUUAUCUCUUAGAGUCCUAUCGGAGGUGGAUGUUUGACAUGCAUAACAAAUGUGUGCAAGUCUAACAACAAUAAACUCCCCUUGUAUGCAGAAGUCUUGUGGGGUAUCAAGUGUUACACGUCACUGUUCGUAGGAGGAUAUGGUAUCGUUGAAGAAAAAAGCAUGAGGACAUUGAAUAUCGAGGACUCCAAUGCCCGACGUCAUGGUAUGAUUAGGAGAGAAGUCGAGGAUAUUUUCCAUAUCCUCGGGAUGUUCCCCAUCAUACCCGACGAAUAUAUUUUUGAAGACUGAGUUGGGAGUCAUCGAGAAAUAUGAGGUCGAGGUAAAUAGAUGGACCAUAUCAAGUACCAUUCUCACCACAGAGAUCUGGGUUCCCUUCAAAGCUUGAGUUUGAAAAGGUAAUGAACUGGCCUCCAGUAGGAAUUGCUCCACGCAGUUUAUUAUAAGCAACACUGAACUUGGACAAAAAGCUGAGGAUAACUAAAGAAAGAGGUAUCGUCCCAUUAAGACUAUUAUGGGAUAAAUCUAAAGUUUCUAAGUUUGUCAUGCGGGAAAGUUCACUGGGGAUGGACCCCGACAAAUUGUUGCAUUUCAGAUCCAAAAUAUGUAAUCCUUUCAGAUUGCCAAACUCUGGCCAAAUUGGUCCGGUGAAAAUGUUAUUACCAAGUUCCAAGGUAGGAGGAAAGCUUAAAAUUUGUUUAUACGAUAAAGCUUCAUGGCUGACGUUCUUUUUUAGGAAAAAUGGGAAAUCCAGGGAUGGAUCCUUCAAUGAGACAUUGCUAGAGAUGAGGCUCUAUAGUCUAGUAAGUUCUUUUGGAAUCUCCCCCGUAAAAGAGUUGUUCGAUAAAUCUAAGUAGAACAUAAAUUGGAAAUUACCAAACCAAGGUGGAAUUGUACCCUCCAUACGGUUCCAGGACAAAUCCAGCAGUCGCAAAUUCGUACCCACUCAACCACUGAGGAAUUGCACCCGUCAGUCUGCAGUUAGCAAUAAGAAGAGUCUCGAGCCUAGUAAACUGUAGCCUAGAAAAAGUUGGCAUUGCUUCAUCUCGAAAAUUGAAAGUAAGAACCAGAGUGGUCAAGUUUCUACAAUGCUGUAAAAUUUCAAGAGCGGCUGUAAGGUUGGAAAUACUGGAGUUUGAGAGGGAAAGGUAAGAAAGACUCCGAAAAUUCUUGAAGCUUUCUGGGAUUUGCCCAGCGAAGUUGAUCUUUGCAAAAUUUAUAGCCUUUAGUUGUCGGCAGGAAGGUAAGUUAUCGGGAAUCUUCCCAUUGAACCGAUUGGUAGCCAAAUCAAGCGAAACAAGACUAGUCAUUGCCGAACAAUUAAGCUAAUCAUAUCGCUCAAGGAAUUAUUUCUCAAACUAAGUGACGUGAUAGUUGGGGAUUUUGUCAAUGUUUGUGGUAUAUUACUAGUGAAACCAUUGGACUCAGCUGAAAAAUAAUUCAACUUUCCAAAUCUAUGAAAAACAUCUGGCAAAUUUCCUGAAAACCCAUUUAAAGAUAUAUCCACGCGAACAAGAUUAGAAAGGUUACCAAUAAGGUCACUAAGCUGUCCAGAAAAUCGAUUCUCCCGAAGAGACAAAUUUGCUAUUUUUGGCAGUCGAAACAAAUUUUCAGGUAAACCACCAGAGAGAAAAUUGGAACUAAGGCAGAGAUCCUCCAAUGAAGUACAAUUCCCUAUUCCAGGAGGCAAAUUUCCACUCAAGUUAUUGAAUCCCAAAUUCAAAACCGAAAUCCGGGUUGAGUUGCCACAUAUGCCCACAGGAACUGGACCCUGAAUUGCAUUCUCAGAAAUGUUUAGAACUCUGAUUGAAGGAAGGUUUAUGCUAUUUGAAAACAAGCCAUCAAUUUCAUUGUAGGCCAAGUCCAAGAUUUCUAACUUUGGCAAAUGUAACAGUGAAAGAGGAAUAAACCCUUUGAGGAAAUUGUGCGAGAGAUUAAGGGUUUUCAGUUGCUCCAAAUUGCCUAAAGAUUCAUGGAUGCUUCCAUGAAGCAAUUUUUUCCCAAGCUUUAGUUUAACAACCCUGCCAGAAUUGAAGGAAUCAGUAACCCCACGAGAUGAAGAAGAAUUGCAAGCGAUUCCUACCCAAUUACAGCAAUUAGAUGAAGAUGAGCUGAAGUCCCAUCCUUCAAUGCCUAACUCCAGCCUAGUGACGAAACCCUCUAAUGCUUUCAAAUCAUUCGGGUUGCAAGUCAAGUUCUGCGAGUUUAGAACCACAGCUUGCACGGAAAAUCCAACAAAGAUCACGAUUAGAUAGAACUUUAACAUACCUAUCUCUUUAAAAAACAAAAAGAAAGAAAAACACUUAAAACCACCCGAAAUCAAAAUUUUUUAUUUCCCAUUUUUGCUUAAGAGCGUGCAACAAAAGAACUGGAAGAAAAAAUAUUAGAGAGAAUACUGGGUACACUUAUUUAGAAAAAGGAGAAUGUACAGGCCAAAAAAUUGAUGAAGCUUUUAACUUGAGAAACCUCUCUCCCUUGGUCCAAAUGAUGCUGCUAAAGAUUUAUCUGGGGUACUUUUUAGUUUGGCCAAGUCAAACUAAUCAUUUUUCACAUUGAUCAAUUCAUUUUUGCCAUUCACCAUAAUGACCCUUUGAAAUAUAAAUAACGACUUUGCCUUUUUUAUAUUUUGUAAUUACAAAAACAUAUGAUUGUUAAAAAGAUAAUAAUACCUCUUUCUAAAAAACAAACAAAUACAAACACUCUCUACGUAAAUUUCAAAACCAAAUUAGUUUCCUUAUCAGUUUAAGCAGCACAGAUAAAAAGAAAGUUCAAUUUUCAUCUGCUUCAACAUUGAGAUCUCACAAAAUUAUCAAAAGCCCAACAAUAAAAUAUUAUUCACAUCCAUCACUCAAAAUUGGUAAGUAUAUUUUAUGUAUUUUCAAUUUUAUUAUAGUUGAAUCAGUAUAUUAUUUGAAUCUUUAAAUCCUAUUUCGACUUAUAUAGAUAAAUUUUUACAGUUUUAAAUGGAUCUGUAAUUUUUUUUAGCAAGAACAAUGAAAAAAUUAAUCUAUAAAAUCGAAAAACCAAACAGACGUCGGUUGUUUUCAAAAUUUUACUUCUAUUUUCCACUAUUUUCAUUUUUUUAAUAAAUCAUCGUUUGCUAAUGCAGAUAUAGCAUCGACUGCAGUCUCGAUUUAUUACUUUAGUAAAUUUGAAAUGAAGAAAAAUGAUUGAUGGGUGUGGAAAUGGACGAAUGAAAGACAUGAUUUUACUAUAAUUCUGAUAACAUCAUGUGCAUCAUAUGUAGAAAUGUACAAUGAGUUACAGAACUCGCUUAAAGUCAAUCCCUCUCAAUACAGUAUGGAAUUGGGAUUUCUAUUUGGUAAGAAAAUUCCACCUGUAACGGUUACUUCUGAAGCUAAAAUGCAGAUUUUAAUUGAAUUGAAUCAGAAAUAUUCUAUUCGUAUUUAUGUAACUUUGGUGAAGAAUAAUGUCCUCGAGGGUGAGCAUAAAAAUUUUGAUGGAGGAGAUUGUAAUGUGAAUGAUUUUUGGGAUACAGUGAGAUAGCUAAUGAGGACAAUGUGGUUAUUCUCGAUACAGUUGUUCUCUAUAUAGUGAAUGAUCUCACUACUACGCACAGAAUUUCCUUGACAGUUGAAGACAACGAAAAUGAAAAUGCAUUCACAAAUGAGGAUUUGAAUGCUCUAUCCCUUCGAAAAACAUGAGUUGGGUGAGAGCUCACAGACUGGACCGAGUACACGGUCCACUAGUUGUUCACGUUUAGUUCUCGAUGACGAAGAUUUAUAUGUCGAGCAACUGUUCGAAACAAAAAAAGAUUUGCAGAAAGCUGUGCAUCGGAUUACUUUGAAACACAACUUCGAGUUUAAAGUGAAGAAAUCAAAUAAGUCUACGUACACAAUUAUCUCCAUUGACGACAGUUGUCAUUAGCGUUUGCGAGCAAUAAAGAUGGACACAAAUGAGUUUUUUGUAAUUCGUAAGUAUGCACGAGAAUAUACUUGUGAAGUGGGUAUUUGUCAAAAUGAUCACCCACGAGCGAUCUACAAACCUUCAAACAUCAUUAAUUAUGUCCACCGAGAAUACAGAGGGGUCAUGAGCUAUUAGAAGGCUUAGAAGGCAAAAGAAUGCGUAUUGGAGGACUUAAUGGGUUCGGCUAAGGAGAGUUAUGCUAAAUUGGUGGGUAUUUUAUUGUUUAGUUGCUUAUUUAAUAUUUAUUUUAAUUGUUAAUUAUUUAUUUCGAUUUUUUUGUUUAUUUAAUAUUUAAUUACUUAUUUUGAUUAUUGUAUAUUUAAAUUUGCCAGGUAUUGCAAUAAUAUAGGGAAAACUAAUACUAGAUCGGCUUUUUUUAUUGAGAGGAACGACGAGAAUCGCUUCAAGUAUUUCUCCAUGGCCCUUGAACAAUGUGUUCGAGGAUUUUGAAACGCGAUGCGACCCUUAAUUAUAGCCGACGGUACAACCCUUAAGGCUAGAUACGAGAGCAAGUUGAUUAUUGCAAUAUGUCAAGAUGUCAACAUCCAAAUUUACCCUCUUGCAUUCGACGUAGUCGAUGGAAAGAAUGAUCAAGCGAUGCAUUGGUUCUUCACAAAGUUGAAGGAAGUAAUUGGGGACAUCGAGAACCUUACAUUCAUAACCAACCGAGGGCAAUCAAUAAUAAAUUGUAUCACCGAAGUCUUUCCCGAGGCACAUCAUGGUUAUUUCUCAAACUUAGUGAUGCGAUAGUAAGGGAAUUUGCCAAUGUUUGUGGUAUUUUACCAGUGAAACCAUUGGACUCGGCUGACAAAUAAUUCAACUUUCCAAAUCUAGCAAAUUUCCUAGAAACCCAUUUAAAGAUAUAUCCACAUGAAGAAGAUUAGAGAGGUUACCAAUAAGGUCACUAAGCUAUCCAAAAAAUCGAUUAUCCUGAAGAGACAAAUUUGCUAAUUUUGGCAGCCGAAACAGAUUUUUAGGUAAACCAUCAGAGAGAAAAUUGGAACUAAGACAGAGAUCCUCCAAUGAAGUACAAUUCCCUAUUCCAGGAGGCAGAUUUCCACUCAAGUUAGUGAAUCCCAAAUUCAAAAUCGAAAUUCGAGUUGAGUUGCUACAGAUGCCCAUAGGAACUGGACCUGAAUCGCAUUCUCAGAAAUGUUUAGACCAUUGAUUGAAGGAAGGUUUAUGCUAUUUGGAAAUAAGCCAUCGAUUUCAUUGUAGGCCAAGUCCAAGAUUUCUAACUUUGGCAAAUGUAACAGUGAAAGAGGAAUAAACCCUUUGAGGAAAUUAUAUUAAGGGUUUUAAGUUGCUCCAAAUUACCUAAAGAUUCAUGGAUGCUUCCACGAAGCAUUUUUUUCCCAAGCUCCAAUUUAACAACCCUGCAAGAAUUGAAGAAAUUAUUAACACCAUUGAUUCCUACCCAAUUACAGCAAUUAGAUGAAGAUGAGUUGAAGUCCCAUCCUUCAAUUGUUGGAAAAAUUUUAUCAAUUGGGGCCACACAUGUAUAUGAUUAAAGUGUAAGUUGCUAUCUUUUAGUUUUAGUCCAUUAAAGUGAUCCAAUGAAUUUAAUUUUGGACCAAUGAGUAUCAAUUAUUAUGGGAUUGAAGUGUAGAGGCCGGGUAGUCGAUUCCUACUAUUACUUUUGACAAUGUACAGAUUUCUAUACCUGUCAUUGAUCAAGAAGUAUAUCCAGAAUCUCAACAAGACAAUGUUGAAAAACUUCCCACCCAAAAUGAGGUAAUUAUUCGAGAAGUGCAAAUUCAUCAACCUCAAGAACCAAUGCCAUUAAGAAGAUCCACGAGAGAAAGGAAAAAUGCUAUUCCGAAUUAUUUUAUAGUAUUUCUCCAAGAACAUGAGGAAAAUAAUAGAAUGAUGGAAGAUGAUCCAAUCAAUUUCCAUCAGGCCAUGCAGGGUUUUAACUCUCGACAAUGGAUUGAUGCCAUGAAUGAGGAGUAUAAGUCUAUGCAAGACAACAAAGUUUGGGAUCUUGUCUUGUUACCAAAAAGUGCGAAGCCCAUCGGUUGCAAAUGGAUUUUUAAAACCAAAAGGGAUUCAAAAGGUAAUGUGGAAAGAUAUAAGGCUCGUCUUGUGGCUAAAGACUUUACCCAAAAGGAAGGCAUCGACUUCAAAGAGACUUUCUCUCCAGUUCCAAGGAAAGACUCUUUCUGGAUAAUUAUGGCACUUGUUGCACAUUUUGACCUUGAGUUACAUCAGAUGGAUGUUAAGAUGGCGUUUCUCAAUGGCGACCUUGACGAGACGAUCUAUAUGGUGCAACCAGAAAACUUUGUGUCUGGAGACCAGAAGAAUAUGAUUUGCAAAUUAAAGAAAUCCAUCUAUGAGCUCAAGCAAGCUUCCCAUCAAUUGUACCACAAAUUUCAUCAAGUAAUUAUCUCAUUUGGUUUUGAGAUGAAUGCUGUUGAUGAUUGUGUGUAUCAAAAGUUCAGUGGGAGUAAGCAUAUUUUCUUAGUUUUGUAUGUUGAUGACAUACUGCUUGCCACUAAUGAUAUAGGCAUGUUACACAAAACCAAGAGAUUUCUGUCAAGGAAUUUUGAGAUGAAAGAUCUUGGUAACGCCUCUUUUAUAUUAGGAAUUCAGAUACAUCGAGAUCGCUCUCGAGAUAUUCUUGGAUUGUCACAAAAGAGCUAUAUCGAUAAAGUACUUAAGAGGUUUGGCAUGCAAGAUUGCAAACCAGGUGACACCCUUGUCGUUAAAGGAGACAAAUUUAGUCUCAAACAAUGCCCGCAAAAUGAACUUGAAGUUAAGGAGAUGCAGAAAAUUCCUUAUGCAUCAGCUAUUGGGAGUCUAAUGUAUGCUCAAGUUUGUACACGUCCAAACAUAGCAUUUAUUGUUGGAAUGCUAGGCAGAUAUUUUAGCAACCCUGGAAUGGAUCAUUGGAAAGCAGCCAAAAGGGUUAUGAGAUAUUUAAAGAGAACAAAGGAUUACAUACUCACAUAUAACAGAUCGAAUCAGUUGGAGAUCAUAGGGUACUCCGAUUCUGAUUUUGAUGGAUGCCAAGACAGUAGAAAAUCCACAUCAGGCUAUAUCUAUCCGCUAGCUGGAGGAGCUAUUUCCUGGAAGAGUGUCAAGCAGACACUCAUAGCUUCUUAUUCCAUGGCUGCAGAGUUUGUAGCAUGCUAUGAGGCAUCUAAUCAAGGAAUAUGGCUGCGAAACUUUGUCACUGGGCUACACAUUCUGAACGGCAUAGAAAGACCACUAAAGUUAUAUUGUGACAAUAACUCGACAGUUUUGUAUUCCAACAACAACAGGAGCACAUCUAAGUCAAAACACAUUGACAUUAAAUUCCUAGUCAUGAAUGAAAGAGUACAGAGUGGACAAAUUUUCGUAGAGCACAUUGGAACGAACUCCAUGAUUGUGGAUCCGCUUACUAAGGGAUUGCCACCCAAAGUCUUUCAUGAGCACACUGCUCGUAUGGGUGUCAGAUUUAUUGAGAAUAUCAUGUUUUAGUAGGAGUUUGUAUUCUUAUUGCCUUAUGUUUAAUUGGACACAUUUGUGUAUUUGGAUAUUUUUCUGUACAGAAAUAAAGUAUUCAGUUCAUUUCACUCUGUUAUUAUAUUUAGUAUUGAUCUCACUUAAGAUAUAAGGUUGAACCAGUUAGAAAUAGACAUGUUUGGAUCACAUAACAUGUAAUAAUCAUGCUACGCUCCAUGAUUGAUCUAUAUCAUUUGAUUGUAUCGUUGUACGUGAUCGUUGAUGGAUUUAGUCACGUUAAGUGUGACGAAAAUCGUUUUGAUCUUACAUCAAUAUGACUAAUGGACGAGAUUGUUUGGAAAUACCCUUAAUUAUGAUAGCAAAUUUUGAGCUCAUAAGGUUAUGCACAUAUAAAAGAUUACAUGUAUGGCUCAGUGGGAGAUUGUUGGAAAAAAAUUAUCAAUUGGGGCCACACAUGUAUAUGAUUAGAAUGUGCAUUCCUAUCUUUUAGUUUUAGUCCAUUAAAGUGAUCCAAUUAAUUUAAUUUUGGACUAAUGGGUAUCAAUUAUUAUGGGAUUAAAGUUUAGAUGCCGGGUAGUUGUUUCCAAUUUUUUACUUCUUUUUCCACUAUUUACAUUUUUUUAAUAAAUCGUCAUUUCCUAAUGCAGAUAUGACAUCGGCUGCAGUCCAGAUUUGUCAGUUUAGUGAAUUUGAAAUGAAAAAAAUGAUUGAUGUUUGUGAAAAUGGACGAGUGAAAGACAUGAUUUUAUUGUAAUUCUGAUAACAUCAAGCAUAUCGUAUGCAGAAAUGUACAAUGAGUUACAGAACUCGUUCAAAGUCGAUCCCUCUCAAUACGACAUGAAAUUGAGAUUUUUAUUUGGCAAUAAAAUUCCACCUGUAACGGUUACUUCUGAAGUUGAAAUGCAGAUUUUAAUUGAAUUGAACUAGAAAUGUUCUAUUCCUAUUUAUGUAACAUUAGUGAAGUAUAAUGUCCCCGAGGGUGAGCACGAAACUUUUGAUGGAGGGGAUCGUAAUGUGAAUGAUUUUUUUGAUAUAGUGGAGAUAGCUAAUGAGGACAAUAUGGUUAUUCUCAAUACAGUUGUUCCCGAUAUAGUGAAUGAUCUCACUGUUACGUACAGAAUUCCCUCGACAGUUGAAGACAAUGGAAAUGAUAAUGGAUUCACAAAUGAGGAUUUGAAUGCUCUAUCCCUCCAAAGAUGUGGGUCAGGUGAGAGCUCAUAGGCUGGACCGAGUACACGGUCCACUAAUUGUUCACGUUUAGUUCCCGAUGACAAAGAUUUAUAUGUCAAGUAACUAUUCGAAACGAAGAAAGAUUUGCAGGAAACUGUGCACCGGAUUGCUUUGAAACACAACUUCGAGUUUAAAGUGGAGAAAUCAAAUAAGUCGACGUACACAAUUAUCUGGAUUGACGACAGUUGUCAUUGGCAUUUGUGAGUGAUGAAAAUGGACACAAAUGAGUUUUUUGUAAUUCGUAAGUAUGCACGGGAACAUACUUGUGAAGUGGGUAUUCGUCGAAAUGAUUACAAGCAAGCUCGAGUAUGGUUCAUUGGUCGAGAAAUAAUGCACAAGUUUCAGGACCCACGAACGAUCUACAGACCUUCGUACAUCAUUAAUGAUGUCCGUUGAGAGUACGAGGUGGUCAUGAGCUAUCAAAAGACUUGAAAGGCCAAUGAAUAUGCAUUGGAGGACUUAAUGGGUUCGGCAGAUGAGAGUUAUGCUAAAUUGACCAGGUAUUUUAUUGUUUAGUUGCUUAUUUAAUAUUUAUUUUAAUUGCUAAUUACUUAUUUCGAUUUUUUUUGUUUAUUUAAUAUUUAGUUACUUAUUCUGAUUAUUGUUUAUUUAAAUUUGUCAAGUAUUGUCAUAACAUGGGGAAAACUAAUACUGGAUGGGCUUUUUUAAUUGAGAGGAAUGACGAGAAUCACUUCAAGUAUUUCUUCGUGACCCUUGGACAAUGCGCUCGAGGAUUUCAAAACGCGAUAAGACGCCUCAUUGUAGUCGACAAUACAACCCUUAAGGCUAGAUACGAGGGCAAGUUUAUUAUUGCAACAUGUCAAAAUGUCAACAUCCAAAUUUACUCUCUUGCAUUCAACAGAGUUGAUGGAGAGAAUGAUCGAGUAAUGCAUUGUGAUGCGAACCUCAUAGCAACGUUGACUACAAAACCCACAACGAGAUUGACGAACCCAAGAAAGCCAAAUUAAUCCAAGAGUUUAGGAUUAACCCAAAAGAAAGUCGAACCAAAAAAUCCAACAAGAACGACGCUUGAAAGACCCCUUGAUCACACAAUCCAGGAAUUAAAUCCGGUUGUUUGAAUGCCACAAGUUAACACUUGAUAAGUUCGAAGUUGUUCAAUGAAGAACGAUGAAGAGAAGACAAUACGCCUCACUUUAAUUCAAUAUCAAAUAUGUCAAAGGUUCUUAACAAUUGAAUGAAAACUCCUAUUUAUACUAAACCUAAAAACUAGGUAAAAAUCGUGUAAAAGUCGAUCAUAAUUCCCAAAAUAUGGAAAAGAAUAAAAAACUAACAAAAUAUGAAAAAUUGUCAAAAUUGAAAAAUUUGCCAAAUUUUUGGCUUGUGUAACCGCAUGGUGUAUUUCCAUGCGGUCACAUGAUUCAACAAGAAAUGCCAUCUUGAUUUUCGGUAUGCUACCAUGCGGCCACAUGGUGUUUUGCCCGUGUGACCGCAUAGGCUUGUUUUCAGCCUCCGAUUUCGUCGCCUGAUAAAAAAUUGAUCCAAGUUGAUUCGACCUUCGACCCGAACAUAAAAGUUGCUCUAUUUUGAGCCCCCGAACAUGGUUCCAUCAAUGGUUUCUUGAAUAAGCAAUCUCAUUGCUUGUUUCACUUGCUUUGUCCUUGAUCGCAUCAUUGGUCCUCUAUCGAUUAUCAAUGGAUCUCGUCUCGCACUCGCCUUCGUCGGGCUCGACUCUUAGAUCAUAUCAUCCCCUCCCUCUUCGUCGAAUCUGAACCUACAUCAAACAGAGAGAGAUCAGAUACAUUAAAAGUAGCCGAAACAUUGUACUCACCUAGAAGGUCCAACUUGUAAGCAUUGUUGUUUAUCUUUUCAAUCACUUGAAAUGGUCCAUCGCCCCUCGGUUGCAACUUGGACUUCCUUUGCUCCGGAAAUCGUUCCUUCCUAAGGUGCACCCAAAUCCAAUCUUCUGGCUCGAAUGUCACGCGCUUCCUACCUUUAUUUGCCUACGACGCAACCAACUUACUUUUGCUUUCAAUUUGUGCUUUUACCUUUUCAUGGAGUGACUUAACCAAUUCCGCCUUCUUUUUGCCAUCUAAACUACCAUGUUCAUUCACAGGUAAGGGAAUUAAAUCCAAAGGAGUUAGUGGAUUGUAGAUUAAAACCAUAUACAAUUUCAAAUGGAGAAAAUGACGUAGUAGAGUGAACAGCUCGAUUGUAUGCAAAUUCAACAAAUGGUAGAUACCCCUCCCAACUUAGUACCUAACUUACCCUACAAAACUCUCCAAAAGUGACUCAAAAGUUUGACAUCCCGAUCCGACACUAUGCUUUUAAGAACCCAUGUAAACUCACAAUCUCUUUAAAGAAUAAGUCAGCAAUGUUCGUGGCAUCGUCAGUUUUGUGACAUGGUAUAAAAUGUGUCAUUUUGUUGAACCUAUCUACAACCACAAAAAUAGAAUCCCGACCUCUCUUAGUCCUAGGUAAACCCAAAACAAAGUCCAUCGAAAUAUCAACCUAAUGCUCAUUAGGUGUAGGUAAAGGUGUGUACAAACCUUAAGAUAAAACCUUAGAUUUAGCCUUUUUACAACAUAUGCAUCGACUACAAAUUCACUCAACAUCACUUUUCAUCUUAGGCCAAUAAAAAUGCUCCUUCAAUACAUCUAAAGUCUUUUGAACCCCAAAAUGUUCCAUCAAUCCACCACUAUGUGUCUCCCUUACUAACAACUCCCGAGUAGAACAAUGAGGAACACAUAACCUAUUUUCCCGAAAUAAAUACCCCUCAUGCCUAAAGAUUAUAUCAACCAUCCCCCUUUAUGUAUGACAAAUAAAUAUCCAAAAAUUCAACAUCUUUUUCAUACAAUUCCUUAAUAUGUUCAAACCCAAGUAGCUUAGAAUCAAGAGUAGUUAGCAAUACGUACUUUCGUGACAACGCAUCCGCCACCACAUUUUAUUUACCUUGCUUAUACCGAAUGACGUAUGGAAAGGUCUUAAUGAAUUCCAUCCACCGUGCAUGUCUCUUGUUCAAUUUACCUUGUCCCUGCAAGUGCUUUAAUGACUCAUGAUCGGUGUGUAUUACGAACUCCUUCGACCAUAGAUAAUGUUGUCAAGUCUCCAAAACUCGAACAAGUGCAUAAAGUUCUUUGUCAUAUGUAGGAUAAUUUAAAGCAGCUCCACUCAAUUUCUCACUAAAGUAUGCAAUAGGCCUUCGAUCCUGCAUUAAAACUGCUACAAUCCCUAUUCUUGAUGCAUCACACUCAAUCUCGAAUGUUUUAUCAAAGGUAGGUAAUGCCAAAAUAGGUGCUUCACACAAUCUACCUUUAAUAGUAUUAAAUGCAAGUUCCUGUUCAUCACCCCAAUAAAAACCUAUACUCUUUUUAACUACUUCCGUGAGUGGUGCAGUGAUAGUGCUAAAAUCUUUCACAAAUCGCCUAUAAAAACUAGCCAAACAAUGAAAACUUCUAACUUCCGUUAUGCUUCUAGGUGUCGGUCAAUCUCUAAUAUCUUUUAUCUUUUCAUCGUCUACUUCUACCCCAUUAGCACUAACCACAAAAUCAAGAAAAAUAACUCUAUCCAUACAAAAUGUGCAUUUCUUAAGAUUAGCAUAGAGUUGUUCUUUCCUUAAAACAAAUAGCACACACUUUAAAUGUUCCAAAUGCUCUCGUAGGCCUUUGCUAUAGAUUAAUAUGUCGUCAAAAUAAACCACAACAAAUUUUCCUAUGAAAGCACGUAAAACAUGAUUCAUUAAAUGCAUAAAAGUGCUAGGUGCAUUUGUGAGUCCAAAUAGCAUAACUAACUAUUCAUAUAAACCAUAUUUAGUUUUAAAAGCCAUUUUUCAUUCAUCACCCUCCCGCAUACGAAUUUGAUGAUACCCGCUUUUUAAAUCAAUUUUAGAAAAUAUGCAAGAACCAUGUAAAUCAUCAAGCAUGUCAUCUAACCUAGGUAUAAGCUGACAAUACUUUACCGUUAUGUUGUUGAUAGCCCUAUACUCCAUGCACAUUCGCCAUGUUCCAUCCUUUUUUGGCACAAACAAAAUCGGUACCGCACAAGGACUCAUGCUUUCCCUCACGUAUCAUUUGCUCAUUAACUCCUCCACUUGCCUUUGAAACUCCUUAGUCUUCUCGGGAUUACUUCGAUAAGCCGGUCUAUUUGGAAUGACAGCUCCAGGUAUGAAGUCAAUUUGAUGUUCAAUGCCUCGAAUAGGAGGCAAUCCACUUGGUGUAUCCUCCGAAAAUACAUCGUCGAAUUCCUGCAACAAAAACUUAGCCAAACUAGGGAGGGGUGAGUUAGUUUCCUCAAAGAUCAUCUCUUUUCUCUCAACUACCGCCCUUCUCAAAUCACUCUCUUUUGCAAAAAAAAUACACUCGUGUUUUCUCUCUUCUCUCGAGGCACUCUCUUUCUUUUCUCUCUCAUGAUUGCUCUCUCUUUUUCUCUCUAAUGGCUAUCUCAACAUUUUCUAUCUUUUUCUCCAACUCUCUAUUUGCUCUCAUUUUUUCCAACUCUUUUGCUCUCCUCUCUUCCUCACUUCUCAAUUUUAAUUGGUCCUCAUAAACUUGCGCCGGUGUUAAUGGCACAAAAGUAAUGGCCCUUCCAUCCUUAAUGAAACUAUAUCGAUUUUUGUACCCAUCAUGCAUAGCCUUCCUAUCGUAUUGCCAUGGUCGCUUGCAUUGGCACCACAUCACACACUAAUUUGUCCUUAUAACUCUCAAUUGACAAAUUAAGUAACACACUUCGAUUCACCCUCACCUCGCCACUUUCAUUCAACCAUUGCAAUUUAUAAGGUCUCGGGUGUCUCAGCAAUGUUAAACCCAAUUUUUCUACAAGAGAUACGCUAGCUACAUUAGUACAACUACCACCGUCAAUUAUAACACUACAUACCGUAUUGUUGACGUGGCAUCGAAUGUGGAAAAUGUUCUUCCAUAGCAACUCCUAGUCAUCCACUUGGACGUGAGUAGUGAGAGCUCGACUUGUGACUAGUAGAUCCCCAACAUGCUCUUCAACUUUUUCUUCUUCACUAACACCCUCCAACGCCGGAAUGUCAUCAAACUCGCCAUCACUAUCACUCACAACCUCUCCAUUAUCCCGCAACACCAUCACCCGUUUGUUUGGGCAAUGAGAAGCAAUAUGCCCCGUUCCCAAACACCUAAAACAUUUGAUGUCCCGAUUGCACGACGAUUGUACCUCCGAUUUUGAUAUUGGUUUGCUAGCAUUUUCAUCCUUGCCCUUUUGCCAAUCAUUUUUACCUCUAGGUGCAGCCCCGUUUUUGUUGUUGUCAUCCCACUUCGAUUUUCAUGUUGGAUUAGGAGUCGAAGUACCUAACGGUUGCCUAGAUGUCCCCUUCCUCUUCAAUUGCCUCUCGACCUUCAUUGCCACAUGUAACAUGUCCUCGAUUUCCACAUAGUGUUGCAACUCUACAACAUUUGCAAUAUCUCGAUUUAACCCAUUCAAGAACUGUGCCAUGGUAGGUUCCCGAUCUUCCUCCACAUUGGCCUGAAUCAUAAGAAUUUCCAUCUCCUUGUGAUAAUCCUCUACGAUUUUCGAUCCUUGGUACAAACCUUGCAAUUUUUGAUGAAUUUUCCCAUAAUAGUGACUCGAAACAAACCUCCUCCUCAUCAACAUCUUCAACCCAUCCCAAGUGCUAAUUGGCCUUUCCCGACCCCUACGCUGUGAUGUAAGUACUUGAUCCCACCAAGAUAUCGCGUAAUCCACAAAUUCAAGCACCGGCAAUUUUACCUUUUUCUCCUCCGAAUAAUUAUAGCACUCAAAAAUCAUCUCAACCUUCCUUUCCCACUCUAAAUAUGCUUCUGGAUCGCUUCUUCCCUUAAAUUGCGGAAUAGUCAUUUUAAUACUUCCCAAAUUCCCAUCUAUUUCAUCUCCUAAGUUAUUUCUACCCCGUCUUUCCAUACUAAUGCCCCUAUGCCUCGCUCGACCCAUAUCAAUGCCAUUUUCAUCAAAAUCAUCCUUAUCACUACGAUACUCAUCCCGUCUUCCUCUCCUAGAUUCACGCCUACCCAGCCCCCUAGCAUUAGAUAUCUCCACUUGUCCUCGGCUAAAAUUAGCAAUUGUAGUACCCAUUUGUGCCAUCCAUUCCCCUUGCCUAUCCACUUUCUCCCUAACAUCACCAAGUACCCUUUCGAACCUCCUUAUCAUGUCCUCCGAUGCAUUGUUGUCAUUAUCGUUUCGUCUUGAAUUAGAACCUUCUCUUUCCGACAUCAUAUUACACAAUUUUUUUAUGCUUCAAAAAGAUUUCACUCAGAAAACACUCAAUAUGGCUUUUUCCCUCUAUUAAACUCACCACUCGGCCUUUUACCACUCAAAGUCUCCCUCCAAACACUUCAAAGAACCAAGUGAACCAAAUCAAUUGUUUUACCGGGAAUCCAAACAAACCGAAUAUUAAUCGAAGACCACGGGAUUCAAAGGACCUGAAUAAGUGGAAUAGAUGAAUGUUUUGACACGAAUAUUUGAAUAGACUCAAAAGAAGAUUGAAAGAAUCGAACCCAAUUGAAUAUCGCAAAAUCAAACACUAUGUAGGAAUUGUUGUUAGUAGGAAAAACAAAAUCAAACAAUAAUAAUAUCAAAUUUUUUUUCUCCUUUUUUUUGUACUUUUUUUUUUUACUCCUUGAUGAAAGAAGACUACCAACAUCUCAACGAAACGACGAAAAGAAAAAAAACAAGAACGAAGAAGAACAAUUAAAAUAUAAGAGGAAACUAAGAAAACAAAUUAACGACUCAAACAAAUAAAGAAAAGAUAUAACCUUCAAUUAAUUUGGAGCCAAAGCUCUGAUACCAACUGAUGCGAACCCCGUAGCAACGUUGACUAUGAAACCCACAACGAGAUUGACAAACCCAAGAAAGCCAAAUUAAUCAAAGAGUUUAGGAUUAACCCAAAAGAAAGUCGAACCAAAAAACCCAACAAGAACGACGCUUGAAAGAUCACUUGAUCACAUAAUCCAAGAAUUAAAUCCGGUUGUUUGAAUGCCACAAGUUAACACUUGAUAAGUUCGAAAUUGUUCAUUGAAGAACGAUGAAGAGGAGACAAUACGCCUCACUUUAAUUCAAUAUCAAAUAUGUCAAAGGUUCUUAACAAUUGAAUGGAAACUUCUAUUUAUACUAAACCUAAAAACUAAGUAAAAAUCUUGCAAAAGUCGAUCAUAAUCCCCAAAAUAUAGAAAUGAAUCAAAAACUAACAAAAUAUGGAAAAUUACCAAAAUUGAAAAAUUCGCCAAAUUUUUUGCCCGUGCGACUGCAUGGUGUAUUUUCAUACAGUCGUAUGGUUCAACAAGAAAUGCCAUCUUGAUUUUCGGUAUGCCACCAUGCGGCCGCAUGGUGUUUUGCCUGUGCGGCCAGCCUCCGAUUUCAUCGUUUGAUAACAAAUUGAUCCAAGUUGAUUCGAUCUUCGACUCGAACAUAAAAGUUGCUCCAUUUUGAGCCCCGAACAUGGUUCCAUCAAUGGUUUCUUGAACGAGCAAUCUCAUCGUUUGUUUCACUUAUUUUGUCCUUGAUCGCGUCAUUGGUCCUCCAUCGAUUAUCAACAGAUCUCGUCUCGCACUCGUCUCGCACUCGCCUUCGUCGGGCUCGACUCCUGGAUCAUAUCACAUUGGUUUUUCACGAAAUUGAAAGAAGUAAUUGGGAACAUCGAGAACCUUACAUUCGUACCCGAUCGAGGGCAAUCAAUAAUAAAUGAUAUCGUCGAAAUCUUCCCCGAGGCAAAUCAUGGUUAUUUCUCAAACUAAGUGAUGCAAUAGUAGGGAAAUUUGUCAAUGUUUGUGCUAUUUUACCAGUGAAACCAUUGGACUCAGCUGAAAAAUAAUUCAACUUUCCAAAUCUAUGAAAAACAUCUGGCAAAUUUCUUGAAAACCCAUUUAAAGAUAUAUCCACGCGAACUAGAUUAGAAAGGUUACCAAUAAGGUCACUAAGCUGUCCAGAAAAUCGAUUCUCCCGAAGAGACAAUUAACUCCAACUUUCUCAUAAAAUUCUUCUACAAAAAGUAGAAAUCUGAUCAUAUGUGUCAUUUCUCACGAAAAAGCGAAAUUUGUGCCAAAAGGGCUGGUUGUCCAUUCUCAUUCUCAAUGAAAUCUAUCUUGCUACAAUAAACAUAAACACAAAUAUAUAAGUUUUUAGUUUAAUGUAACAAGAUGUCAAUUAUUGAUCUAAUAAAAUUUACUUCUUUCACAAAAUUGAAGAACAAAUAUGGGGCACAGAAUUAUCCAACCCCAAGUAAAGAAUAAUUAUGAAUUAUAAAAGGAAUUGUUAUUUAGCUCCCGUUUGAAAUCUAUUGUUUGGCAAAUUAAAGAGUUUUGUGUAGUAUGUGUUGGAUAUUAUGUGGUUAAAAAGUAAAAAAAUAAAAAAUAAAAAAAAAUUAUUGGUUUGUGUGUAGAAUUUUUUUAUUGUGUGAACGCAUGAUAGAGAAUGAUACUUUAGCAAACAAUUUAAAUUUUUAAAGGUCGUCAAACAAGCCCUUAUUGUCCCUGUUUGGUGGUCAUUAUUUAAUAAAAAUUAUGUUUUGAAUAGUGAAUUUUUGGAGAACUUGUGAAUAAAAAGUAGUAAAAAAUUUUGAAUUUUUUUAUUGUGUAAAUAUGUUAUUGAAAACGGAUAUGCAGAAUUCUUUUUCCAGAGAUAAUGGUUGUCAAAAUAUGAGCAAAAUAAACCAACAAAAUGCUGUUUGUACAUCUUCUUUUUUCACAGGAAUUUUCGCACUCACUAACAAAGGUGGGGUCCAGAUUAUUUUAAUCGUGGACGCCACCCACUUGCAUGUGUGUGCAAGGGCAGACCCAAGGGGGGUCCCCUAGGGUCACUUGACCCUUGAAAGGUUUUUUUUUUUUUUUUUUGAGCUCACUAUGGAAUAUCAAACGAAAUUGAAAUAUUACAUUAUUAAUAUCAUUUUGAAAUACUCAGGCCUAAUAUUUCACAUCGUUAAUGUUGUGCGAAAUUGUCAAUCGUAGCAAAUGUUACAAUGCAUCAAAAUAGGUCAUUCCAAACUAAUAUUUCGAGAAAUUUGAUAACAAAUUAAUUUUAAAAAUUCUUCGACGAUUAUAUGCUAGCCAUAUCCAUAAAUCUUCUAUAUCUUCUCAAAACUCAUUUCGAGAAUUAUAUUAUAAACAUAUCGAAAGUUUACAAUGAUAUAUAUAUAUAUAUAUAUCAUUGUAAUGAUUUAUGUAAUUUAUAAUAUAAUUCUCGAAAUGAGUUUUGAGAAGAUAUAGAAGAUUUAUGGAUAUGGCUAGCAUAUAAUCGUCGAAGAAUUUUUAAAAUUAAUUUGUUAUCAAAUUUCUCGAAAUAUUAGUUUGGAAUGACCUAUUUUGAUGCAUUGUAACAUUUGCUACGAUUGACAAUUUCGCACAACAUUAACGAUGUGAAAUAUUAGGCCUGAGUAUUUCAAAAUGAUAUUAAUAAUGUAAUAUUUCAAUUUCGUUUGAUAUUCCAUAGUGAGCUCAAACAGAAAAAUGGAAAGCAAGUUUGAUUUGAAAUUUUUAGAAAUUAUUUUAUGACAAUUUGUACAAUGAAAUUUGAUUAUUCAGUAAAUAAUUUUUUUAAUAAAUUACCAAAUAGUAUAUACAUUUUUAAAGUUGGUAAAAUUUAUAAUAUUUUUUCCCGCUUCACAAAUAAAUACAAAUAAAUAAUAAAUUGUUUUGGCAAAAAAUAGAAAAUAAUAAAAUAAAAAUUAAUGACGUCAAAAGAGAAUUGCAGAAUAUUAUUGUGAAUAAUAAGAUUGCAGAAAACAGUGCAAUAACAAGUGAACAUGCUUAAGUAUAAAUAGUCGAAAUAAACACAAUUGGACAACUAAAGUAAUAAAAAAAAUUUGUGAAAUCAUUUAUGAGUCGUAGAGUAAUUAUCCCACAUUUGUGUGGCAAUAUGAUCUAUGACCUGUUCCAUUUGAACAAUCUGACUAGCAUCAAAUUGUAUAACGUCUUUAUCUUCAUUUAACUUGAACACAUCUUGAAAUACAAUAUUUUUCGUUGAAUAUAGAGUUAGACUAUCCAAAAUGUCCUGGUUAAUGAAGUUAUGUCCUUUACAGCAUGCAAUAGAGAUUUGUCUUUGCUUACUAAGUAAAAAUUUGAUGAUUUAAAAAUGAGAUAUUUUGCCUUUCACACUUAAAUGCAAUGUUUAGUAAUAUUUCGGCACAAUCAGUAUCAAUAGUUGAAACUUUUUCUUUCCACCCGAUCUUCCUCGAGCAAUAUAAUAGCGUAAAUAGUAUUUUCGAUCUCAAUAAGAAGUAAAAAAUCCAUGAAUGUUUGUUUAGCAAGAAUAACAAGAUUGCUUGCGUAAAUACUAAUAGGUGAAAAAAAACAUAAUUGGGAAAUUGAGACAGUAAAAUAAUUGACAGAAUCAUUUAUGAGUGGCAGAAUAGUUAUUCCACAUUCGUGUAGCAUUUUGAUUUAUGAUUUGUCUCUUUUGAGCAGCUUGACUAGCAUCAAAUUGUAUGAUGUCUCUAUGUUCACUUAACUUUUACACAUCUUGAAAUACUAUAUUUAUUGAUGAAUAUUGAUCAAAAGAACCAUCCAAAUCAUCAUGAUGAUUGAAGUUUUGUCUUUGCCCAACAAGUAAAAGAUCGGUAAUUGAUCUUAAAAUGAUAAAUCUUGGCUUUCACUCUCCAAUGCAACGUUCAAUAAUAUUGACAUAUAAGCAUCUAUACUUGAACAACUCUUCCUUUCCAUAGUCUUCCUCAUCCACUAUAGUCACAUAAAUAAUAUCUUCGACCUCAAUAAGGAGCAAGAAAUCUAUGCAUGUAGCAAGAAUUGACAAAAUAAAAUUGAUUUGCAAAAGAACUAUGGUCUAGAAAAUAUUUGACAAAUCCUUUGAAGUAUUAAAAUAUACCUCCCACGUUGAAAAGUUGUUUGAUAUUUUUCUAUCUUAGCCCCCGCUUGGUUUUGAUUUUUCACCCCAAAAAAAUAAUUUUUUGACCAUUACUUACCAUAGUUAGCCAACAUUUUUGACUUCUUUAUUCAUAGUUGGAACCCACAUUUUCUUCUAACGGUCAAAAAAAUGAUUCUCAUAAUCACUAUCGAACAGGCCCUUAGUCUGCAUUUGUCGUCAGAGAAAGUGGCAAAUGAGGUUUAUAUAAAACUGCCUUGUGUUCCAAAAAAUAGUAGCGGAAGUGCAUGAUCUUUCAGUGAAACCUGCAAAUAGAAGGGUGCAGUCGGACACAACACGGACAACAAUUUAUGUAUCUGUGUUCUUAAAGAAAGGAAGUAUGAAGUUAGCCAAUAAUACUUGCAUUUAUAAUCAGUUAGCAAAGAAAAAAGUUACAUAUCGUAUAGGUAGCCGUUUUAUAUUGCUAAUGCAUGACAACGACUUAACCCAAAUCUAUAAUCAGUUUCUAUUCAAACUUGAUAAACAACAAAAGACAUGACAGUAAUUGAAGUAAAUCAACAUCACACAGGCUAAAGUAGCUAGUCAAGAGGGUCCAAUAAAAAUGUGAAAAAGGUUAAUAUGAACUUUUCUUAUCUGUAAAUGUUUCAUUGUUGCAGGACUGACUGUUCGAUAAAAAAGCAAAACAGUCAUGAGCUAAAAAGAAAAUCUUCAAGUUGAAAGAGCUUUGUUUUGAUCCCGAUCAAUCCUAGUCAUCAAGCCCAUUCAAUUUCUAUAUAUACUAACUCCGGAAGAAAGACAUGCAAAUUAUACCCAAAACAAAAAGGAGAAAGAGGAUUUGGGCUGAACAAGACUGAUCUAACUCAAAGCAUUGUCCUGUUAAGAGCGUAAAAGCUAAAGGAUCUACAGGUCUCCUCAUUGCAAUGGAAUAUAAAAGUUUGAUCAACACGUCAUACGUGUAUAUCAGACUACUGUAGCAUACACAAAGGGUCAUGUAAUAUAAUUGCAACUAAUGUAAUGGUUAUUCUACCUCCUCAAUUCUUCACAGUUUCUGAUGCCAACAUAAUCAAGAUGGCGUCUUCAUCAGAGACAUAGGACUCAAGUAUGGCGGACAUUAUUCUGGCAAGCCUUUGAUUUACAACAGCAGCAUUCUUGGGCUCACUGUCAUUUACUGAUCCUCUGAAAUUAUAGCAUUUGGGAAUGAAGGGCUCGUGCUCAAGCAAUCGAUAGAAGUGGUUCCCAUCCUCAAAUUCACUUUCACUGCAUUUAACAGAUCAUAUCUAUCAAAGUAGGUUGAAAUCUAUAAGUUCCCAUUAUCUUGUUCUCACCCAAAAACACAAUAAAAAAAAAAUCCUAAAAAUGAUUGAAUUUUUUAUAUAUAUAAAUUUUUUUCAGAUAUAAAAAUAAUUAAGAUGAAAAAAUAGUAUAACAAUUUAUAACCCCUAGGAAGUAAUAAAAAUUUUAUUAAGAAUUUUUACGUCCAAAAAAAUGAAAUUUGACGUCAUACUACAUAUAAAAUUACCUAAUAAAAUCAUGUAAAUUAUAUUGAGAAAUUUGUCUCUCAAAAAUAAAAAACAUUAAUAAAAUAAUUGAUUUUUUUUUCUUUCAAAAAAGACUAGUUAUACGUCUCUUUCUAGGAUACACAUUUGAUGUACGUUUAACUAUUUUUGAUAUUCAUUUAAAUCAUUCGAUAUGUUUAUGAUAUAAUUCUCGAAAUGAGUUUCGAGAGGAUGUAGAAGAUAUAUGGAAACGGCUAGCGUAUAAUCGUCGAAGAAUUUUUAAAAUUAGCUUGUUAUCGAAAUUCUCGAAAUAUUAGUUCGGAACGGCCUACUUUGACGCGUCGUAACAUUUGAUGCGAUUGGCUAUUUCACACACCAUUAAUGACAUACAAUAUUAGGCCGUGAGUACUUCAAAAUUAUAUUAAGAAUGUAAUAUUUCAACUUCGUUUGAUAUUCUAUAGUGUUUGAAGUUUGUAUUAUUUCAGUCAUCACCUGAGUUGAGCAUUUCAAUGAUCAUUCAAAUUGAUUGGAAACAGUUGAACUGUCUCCAAACAUCAAAAUCAAACUGGGAAAUUGGAAGUCGAAUAUAUUAGAAGAAAGUUUCUGUAAUGACGACGUUCAAAAUUCUUCACUCUAAUCUAAUGUGUUGCUUCCACCAAUUUCUCAUUGUUCUUCUUACCUCCCGUGAAGAACUUGUACCCUCCAAAGAAAAGCAAACCCCAGCCAGAUAAGGAGACAAUCACAAAGUACUCUUCCUUCCACUCGGACGGACUCAUGGGGUCUUUCCAGAAAUCAACCUUAGGUGGCCCAUGAUGAUCAGCGGCGUCAGCAAGGCCACGACGGGGAAUCAUAGAUGCGGACCGAGCGAAGGUUGUAGCUCGACGCACUGUCGUUGCAGCCAACGAAGUAGCGAUGGCUUUGUGCUUUUUCUUUCCAAGAUCGAAUGGGCAUCAAACAACAAUUCUAGCUUUCAUUUUCUUGCCACAAUGUACCCAUGAACGAAGUGUCCCAAAUCGAAACCCAAAUUCACCCCCAAAUCCGUGAAAAACCCAAAAAAUUGCCCCCAAAUCUGCUGCACUUACUAGGCUGUAUUCAGGGUCCAAGAACUAGAGGAAGAAGAUGAAGGUUUUGGAAGUGGCUAUCUACACUUUUGGCCCAUUUCAUGUGUGAUGUGCCAUGUUGGUAGAUUUCGUUAGUUUAAAGUGAUGGAAAUCAGACGAGUGAUCAAUGAGUAAGCAAUGAGUAAUGUUUCAAUGUUUAGCGAGCAAGUAGUAAUGUAAUAUAAAGUUCAAUGAGUAUUCAUUAAAUUUAAUUUUCGAAGAAUGUAAAAGGCAAUUUUUUGAAAAAGAAGUUUUUUGAACACAGUUAUGUCACUUUUCUGGUAGCAAAUUACUUAACAAGUAACUUGUAAACUUAUCCAAAAUGCUAGAGACUUGAGAUCUAAGAUAGAUUGGCCUGUAUUUACUUUCUUUUCACCAAACAUAUGCUGCAACAAAACUUAGUUACUAACAACUUCCCUAAAAUAAAGAGGUAGUUGACAACUUUUAAACUUAACCAAAUGUGCUCAAGAGCCAAGGGACCCGAGAUGGGUUGGUCUUGGCACGACCCCUAAGGCAUACUUAUUUGUCCUAUCGUAUAAAGAGGCCUAACACAAUAUGGUAGACUAAGUUUGGUACAAAUUUCGAAAAAAUUUAUUUUUCUUCAAACUCAUUUUCAAUUACACAUUUCAUGUGAUUCGCAACUUUGAUAAACUAUUCCAACAACACAUUAAAUCUAUUUUUAUCAAAAUCUAAUUUUUAUCCAAACCAAAAAUGGGCAUAGUAUAUUUGGGUGCUCAGGUCAAUAAAGCCAACAAUUAUCUUUAUCUUUCACAGAAAAAUUUGGAAAAGUUUAAAGCGAGAGUUGAAUAGAAGAACUCAUUCUCCUAGUUUGAAUUCUCUCUUGAGGUUUCUCUUGGAAUGCCACAUCUUUGUUUGUUCUUUGUGUAUCUUUGCAUUUUCAUAAGUGUCAUUUGCAAAUUUCUUCAAUUCAUCAAGCUGCAACAAGCGUUGUGGACUGACUAAUUUCAUAUCCAAGUUCAACUUCUUCACAGCCCAAUAGGCUCGAUGCCCAAUUCAACCUGUAGGUGACAUGCUUUCCUGAGUACCAAGAAGUAAGGUGACAUUCCAAUUGGCGUUUUAAAGGCUAUCCGAUAUGCCCCAUAAUGCUUCAUCAAGCUUCCAAGACCAAUCCCUGCGGUUUGUGUUCACUAUCUUCUCCAAUAUUUGUUAAUCUCUCUGUUGGAGAUCUUUGCCUACCCAUUUGAUUGGAGAUGAUAACAAAGUUCUAGUUUGUGCCUGACAUUGUAUUUAGCCAAAAGGGAAUUGAAAAGUUUGUUGCAAAAAUGGGUACCUUUGUCACUUACUAUUGCCCUCGACACGCCAAACCGAGUGAAGAUGUUUUUCUGCAAAAAUUUCAAAACUACCUUUGCAUUAUUCAUUGGUAUAACAACGGCUUCAACCUACUUGAAUACGUAGUCUACUAUAAGAAGAAUAUAUACUUGGCCUGUGGAUGGUGGGAAAGGACCCAUGAAGUCUAUACCUCACAUAUCAAAUAACUCCACCUCAAACAUAUUAGUCAAUGGAAGUUUGUGACGUCUUCAAUAUUUCCCAUGCAUUGACACGGUCAUAUGUCUUCACAAAAGCAUAACAGCCCUUGAAAAGAGUUGGCCAGUAAAAUCUUGAUUGUAAUACCUUUGAAGCAGUACAUGUAGGACCAAAAUGACCUCCAUAAGUGGAGGAAUGACAAUGCUCCAUAAUUGAUUUUACUUCUUCUGCAGAGAUAUACCUCCUGAUUAUCAUAAAAGUGCAUGUAUUGAAGAGUGGCCUAUAAUCCCACAAUAUGACUUGACAUCAUAUAAGAAUUUCUUCUUUUAAUAGAAGGUCAAGUCAGGUGGCAUUUUUUCACAUGCCAAGUAGUUAACAAAGUCAGCGUACCAUGGGAUCCUUAAUGAAACUUCUAACAGAAGCUCCUUAGGAAAAAUUUCUUGUCACUUCUUCAUUUUCUAAUCGUGAGAGGUGAUCAGCAAUUACAUUCUCAAUGUAUUUCUUAUCCUAAAUCAAUACAUCAAAUUCUUGUAACAGCAAGAUCCAUCGAAUUAGGCAUGGCUUGACAUCUUUCUAUUUAAAUAGAUAUUGGAUAGCUGCAUGAUCUGUAUAAAUGAUUACUUUAGUGCCAAUGAGAUAGAAUCUGAACUUGUUACAUGCAAAGACCACUACUAACAUUUCCUUCUCUGUUGUGGUUGAAAACCCAAAGAUAGCUAACCAAGAGGGGGGUGAAUUGGUUAUAUAAGCUUUUUCGAAAAUUAAUUCUAGAUUUAAACCAAUACAAAAGUAAAUGAAUCAAAUAACUAUAAACACGAUAACAAGCAAAGAACAAUAUAAGAAUUUGAGUAAUAAACAAAUGUAAAAACUAUAAGUAAAAGGGAAUAGAAGCCAAACGAUAUGUUGUGGAGGUUCGACCCAAUGCAAUGAUCUAUGUUCCCCGUUACCAAGCUGUCCAACACGAGCAAUGCCUUUUUCACUAUAUUGAUUGACUUAUGGUGCAAUCAAACCUUCUACAAAACUUUUGGUGACUUACAAACAAGGAGCACCGAUCCUUUACAACGUCGAGCUUUCCGGGACCUCAACAUGACCCACACUAUUGAGCUUUACUGGACCUCAAUAUGACCUACACGGUAACUUACAACAAGGAGCACCAAUCAUUACAUAAUUUUGAGCUUUCCGAGAUUUCAACACGACUCACACUUUUAUCAAAAUGAUUUUACAAUCAAAUUCUCUCUUGAUAAAUAAUACAAAACAAAUUAAGUACUAACACUUCAAUGAAUAGCGACAAAUGAUAGCUCAAGUGUUAGAUGAAAAACUUUGAUUAAAAUGAAAAUUGAAAAUUAAGUUCAACCAAUCAAAAUAUUUCAAUGAGAAGAUGAAGAAAAAUCAAAUGCAAUGUAAAUCAAAUAAUCUUCUCAAGAAAUAUCUCUCUUUUAAUGAAUGAUUAUAAUAAAUCUAGUACUAAGAGAGAAAUGAAAAACUUUGUUGAAUAUGGUAAUUUUACAAAUUUGAUUCAAUGAAUCAAAGUUUUCAAUAUGAAGAAGUUGAAAAAUUUAUGCAAUAUAAGUGCAAAGAACUUCUUCGAGAAUAUAUCUCUCUUUGAAAAUUGAUAUAAAUAAGUUGAGCACAAAGAGAUAUGAAAAAUUUUGAUGAAGGAAAUUAUUCAAGAAAUUUGAUUCAACAAUCAAAGUUUUUCAAUAUGAAGAAAUAGAAAGAUUUAAGCAAUGUAAAUGCAAAUACCUUCUUCAAGAAUAUACCACUCUUUUAAGAAUGAAAUAAAUAAGUUAAACAUAAAGAAAGAUGGAAAACUUUGAUGAGAAUGAUGAUUAAUGAGUUUAAAUCAAUCAAAAUUUUUUAUAUGAGGAAACAAAUGAAAUGAAUGCAAAUGAAGGCUCAAAGAAUUCUUAAAACAAAAAUAUCUCACUUUGAUUCACUUGGAAAUCUUGUGAAGAAUGGAAAGAGUGAGGAUAUUUAUAGAGUUCAAAAACGAGGAAAAAUCUGUAUUUGCGGAAGACUAGUCUGGUGGACCGCCUCUUGUCCAGAAGAUCAAUAUAACCAUUUGUACAGCAAAAAUCAGAAGUCAGAACCGUCAAAUUGUGGAGGGUGUCUGGUCGAUCGCCUCCUAUAGCUGGUCGACCAGUCCGGUUGACCGUCUGGGCAGCGCGGUAUUUUUACUUUUUGGCCCUGUUUGUUCCGAUAUAAAAGUUUUAAAGUGCAUGGACAUUUGGAAAAUAUUUUUAACUAUUUUUUCAUGAGAAAAAUGUUUUUUUAAGUCCAAAUAUCACUUUUAAAGGUCAUUUUUAUAUUUGAUCAAAACGUUGCAUUGGAAUGACUUUUAGUGCACAAAAAUUGUUUUUGAUGCAUAGAAGGAUUUUGAGCUUAACUAUUCUUUGUCAAAUAUCAAAGUGUUAGUACCUUUACAUUUUGCCUAAGAAAUCAAGUCUUAGAUCUUCCUUUGAAGUUUCUUCCAUGUUUGGCUCUUGAACUUUUGAUCUUUAUCUUUCGUGUCAUUGAUCUUUAAUGCUUGACUUUUCUUGACGUUUAUUUUUUAAGCUCUCGUCUCAAAUGAUUUGAUUUGAAUGCAUAAGCAACUUCCAAUUGGAUCUUCAUUUCAAGUCCAAUAUAUGUUGCUUGAUAGAUUUUAACAUUGAACUAUCAUCGCUCAAAAUAAAUUAUUAGAAACAAUAUCAAUCUUGGUUGUUAUGAUCAAAACAUUGAAAAUGAAGUCAACCAUAGGUCAACAAUUUCUCCCUUUUUGAUUAUGACAAACCAGAUGAUUUGCAAGGUAGAAUUGAACAAUUUAUAUCAAUUUGAUAAAGGAAUAUACAUUAUGAAUUUAUCACAUGGUUUAUAUUCCCCCUUACAUUUACAAAUCAAUAACCACAUAUUUAAAGCAUAAAUUCACUAUUUUCCUCUUGUUCAUAUACUCAAAGUAUAUUAUAUUUUCAAUUCAAAGCAUGCAUAAUCAUUUCACUACGUGCAUUAUAUUUUCAAUUCAAAGCAUACAUAAUCAUCUCACUACAUUUCCCUCUUUUGGCAUAAGCAAAAAGAUAUAACAUUUAAGAUCAAAACAUGACCAUAGAGAAUAUUUAGAUAUCACAUUACUCCCCCUAUCUUUUAUACAUGUAUUCUCCCCACCUUUUAUAAGAGAAAUCAUGCUUUUCAGAUUUUAUCUUAAAAGGGUAGCAUAUAGGGAGUAUGUUAUAUACGAUCAAAACUUUAAGCCAACCAUUAGAAAGUAGUAUAAUAUUCCCCUCAAUCAAUCACAAGAUGCCAAAUAUGUGCAAGUUUAAAUAAGAGAAUAAUAAUCACUUUAUAGUCAAAAUAUGAGUCAAAGCAUGAGUGAUGAAAUGACGGAAGUAUAAUCAUUUGGAUAAAAUUUUUGCACAUAGAGUCAAUCAUACGAAAACAUUUAAUAUCAAUUUAGCCACAUACUUCAAAUUCAUUGAUAAUUCCCAAAUUUAGUGUUUAAGAAUUUGCAACCAAACAAUUUUAAGUAAGCAAUUUCCAUUUAGCAUAAUUCUAAUCAUUUCUUGCAAUUUGCGAUUCUUUCUUUCUACAACAUUAUCUUGUCGAGAAGUUCUAGGAGCCAAGAAGUAAUGUUCAUGGCCAUCAAUUUUGCAAAAAUUACCAAAAUCAAUAUUAUCAAAAUUCUUCAUCAUGAUCACUUCAAACAUAUAGUAGUACAUCCCUUUUCAUUUUGAACCUUUUUAUAAAGAUAUUUAAAUGAUUCAAAGUUUCACGCUUUAGGUUCAAAAAUAAGAUUCAGGAAAUCUAGAAUAGUCUUCAAUAAAGUGUAAUGCCUACCAUUUGAGUUUGUGAUCCUAGAUUGUCCAAAAUGAUUCAUGUAAAGAAAUUGAAUAUGUUUUGUAGUCGAAGAUUAUUGCUUAAGUUAGAAGAAACUCUCACUUGCUUGACAUGCCAUAAACUUUCUUUUUCACAAAUUUCAAAUAUGGCAUAUCUUUAACAAAAACAAUUUUUGGAAAUAUUUGAAAGUUGGUCCAUGACCCAAACUUAUGCCACAGUCAAGUAUCUUUUAAAUUUGAUAAACAUUUUUCUUCACUUUCAAAUGACAUAAACAUCCUUAUUUUGACUUCCCAUAAACAUCAUUUUUUGAUGUAGCAUCCUCCAUAAGCAUUUGGAAGAAUCAAGUUUUGAUAUGAUAAAAUUUAUCACAAAUUGACUAAAAAUUAAAAGGAUUAUGUUUAAUGUCAUCUACUAAGGGGACAUUUUUUCAAUAAAAGUAGAUAAGUGAUGACAAAUAAUUUCAAUUUUGAUAUUAUAGAGACAUAAAGAAACACUUUUAUCAACGCAUAAACAUAUAGCCACAUAUUUCAAAUUAACCAAAAAUUUUCUAACCCCUUUGAACAUGCAGAGAUCUAUCAAGAGCUAGAGGUUUAGUAAAAUUAUUGGUCAAUUGAUUUUCCACAAGUUAGUAAAUUUAGGUGGGUGCAUUUGGAUGCCAAAAACCUAAUGUCCUAGUGACACUAAAUAUCUAAAAAUCCAUUUUUCGGUACAAAUGUGCUAUGCUCUAUGAUUAAUUGAAAUAUAGCACAUAAGCACAUACUUAACAUAACAUCAGAUCAUCUAGUAGUUAAAAAGAAAGGAUUCGAUCAUACCUCGAUAUUUUGUUAUAUUUACAAAUAUACCUUGAUCAUCCAAUUUGAUUGAUGACUUCUUUGGAGUGUUUAUUGACUCCAAUUCUUUUAUUUUGAACUCCAUUAUUUCUUUUUGAGAAUAUAGCUUGUUUCUCGAUCAUGUGCUCAAACAUCCACUAACUCAAGACGGUUUGGUCUUUAUUUUCUUUGAUACCUACAAAAUAAUUUAACUUUUGCUCUUUGUUACCCAUAAAACUGUGGGUCCUUGAUUGUUAGUGUUUGUAGACUUUGGAAUCCACUUGUAUUUGCUCUCAAAGUGAAACCUCUUUUUAUUAAACAAUUAGAAGUUACAUGUCCAUUUUUGUUGCAAAAAUCAUAUGUCAUGUUUGAAAUAGGGAAAGUAGAAACUUUAAUAAAGAAGUUUUCAAAUGACUUUUGUUUUAAAAAUGGUUUGUAUCCAACUCUUUCUUCAUCAAAAACACAUUUUUGUUCACCAAGCAUUAAAUCCAAAACUUUCUUGCUUUGAGUAAAUUUGUGAACAAUUUGAGUCAAAUCUAAAAUCUUUUCUUUUAAAUAGAAGUUCUCCUUAAUUAAAGAAUCAUAAAUGAGUUUUUCUUUUUCAAAAUCAUUUUGAGUUUCCAAAAGUUUCUUUACUUCUUUUUCAAAUAAAGAAUUUUUUUUUUUUUUUAAGAGUAGAGUGUUUGAGAGUAAUUUUUUCAAAUUCUUCAAGAAGUUCAUCAUAUGAGGUAGAUAAUUUAUCAUAUAAAGAAUUGUCAUUUAUGUUUACCUCAUUUUCAAAGGCCAUGAAGCACAUGUUUGCAAUUUCCUCUUGAUUUCAUCUUCUUCAUGGUCAUCAUCAUCACUCUCAUCCCAUAUUGAUUGAAGUGCUUUCUUUUUGAUGAAUCUAUUCUUCUCUUCACCCUUUUCUUCUUUCUUUUUGAAUUGACGAUUGUUGAGGAAAAUUUUCCAUUUCUUAAUAAAAAGAACUAGAUCAUCAAGUUCUUCAUCAUUCAAAUUUUCACUUGAAGUGCCUUCAUCAACUAUUGAUUCUAAAGCAAUUUGGCGUCUUUCUUCUUCUUUGCUUUUCAUUGUUUUAUCCUUCGUCUCGGUGCGAUUUAACUCAUAUGUCAUCAAUGUUCCAUAGAGCUCUUCCAACAGAUAAGUUUUGAUAUCUUUGGUGUUCUCUAUCAACAUUCUCAAUGGGCCCCAUUCUUUCGAGAGUGAGCUAAGAAUUUUACUCACAAGUUCACUGUUAGUGAAUUUUCGAUCAAAGCCUUUGAGACCAUUAAUAAUAUCGGUAAAACGAGUAAUCAUGUCAACAAUCGGUUCAUUUUCUUUCAUAAAGAAAUUUUCAAAAUCUUUAACUAAGAAAUUUAUCUUAGUUUCUUUCACUUUGCUAGUUCCAACAUGAGUAACUUCUAAAGCAUGCCAAAUAUCAUAGGCGGAAUCACAUGUACUAAUAUGAUUAAAUUCAUUCCUAUCUAAAGCACAAUAAAAUAUAUUUUUUGCUCUAUUAUUUAAAGACAAUUUUUGUUUAUCUACUUCACUAUAUUCUUCUCUAGGUUUAGGAAUUAUUUGAUCUGGUUUACUAUCCUCUUUAAUAAACUUUUUAGGCAAUAUGGACCAAAUUCAAUAACUUCCCAAAUAUUAUAAUCUAUUGAUUGAAUAAACAUAGUCAUUCUAGUCUUCCAAUAAAUAUAAUUAGUACCAUCAAAGAGAGGUAGACGAUUUGUAGAUUGCCCCUCAAGAUUUUGAAAAAUGUGGUUAGCCAUUACUCAAGAUUGUUAAAUCUUUAAUUUCAAAUUGAGCAAUUUGCUCUGAUACCAAUUGAAAACCCAAGGAUAGCUAACCAAGAGGGGGUGAAUUGGUUAUAUAAGCUUUUUCGAAAAUUAAUUCUAGAUUUAACCAAUACAAAAGUAAAUGAAUCAAAUAGCUACAAACGCGAUAACAAGCAAAGAACAAUAUAAGGAUUUAAGUAAUAAACGAAUGUAAAAACUAUAAGAAAAAGGGAAUAGAAGCCAAAAGAUAUGUUAUGGAGGUUCGAUCCAAUGAAAUGAUUUAUGUCUCCCGUUACCAAGCUCUUCAACAUGAGCAAGGCCUUUUUCACUAUAUUGAUUGACUUAUGGUGCAAUCCAACCUUCUACAAAGCUUUUGGUGACUUACAAACAAGGAGCACUGAUCCUUUACAUGUUGAGCUUUCCGGUACCUCAACACGACCCCUACUAUUGAGCUUUACCGGACCUCAAUAUGACCCACACGGUGACUUAUAACAAGGAGUACCAAUCCUUACACAAUGUUGAGCUUUCGAGACUUCAACAUGACUUACACUUUAUCAAAGUGAUUUUACAAUCAAAUUCUCUCUUGAUAAAUAAUACAAAACAAAUUAAGUACUAACACUUCAAUGAAUAGCGACAAAUGAUAGCUCAAGUGUUAGAUGAAAAACUUUGAUUAAAAUGAUAAUUGAAAAUUAAGUUCAACCAAUCAAAAUAUUUCAAUGAGAAGAUGAAGAAAAAUCAAAUGCAAUGUAAAUCAAAUAAUCUUCUCAAGAAAUAUCUCUCUUUUAAUGAAUGAUUAUAAUAAAUCUAGUACUAAGAGAGAAAUGAAAAACUUUGAUGAAUAUGAUAAUUUUACAAAUUUGAUUCAAUCAAUCAAAGUUUUCAAUAUGAAGAAGUUGAAAAAUUUAUGCAAUAUAAGUACAAAGAACUUCUUCGAGAAUAUAUCUCUUUGAAAAUUGAUAUAAAUAAGUUGAGCACAAAGAGAUAUGAAAAAUUUUGAUGAAGAAAAUUAUUCAAGAAAUUUGAUUCAACAAUCAAAGUUUUUCAAAAUGAAGAAGUAGAAACAUUUAUGCAAUGUAAGUGCAAAUAUCUUCUUCAAGAAUAUACCACUCUUUUAAGAAUGAUAUAAAUAAAUUAAACACAAAGAAAGAUGGAAAACUUUGAUGAGAAUGAUGAUUAAUGAGUUUAAAUCAAUCGAAGUUUUUUAUAUAAGGAAACAAAUGAAAUAAAUGCAAAUGAAGGCUCAAAGAAUUUUUAAAACAAAAAUAUCUCACUUUGAUUCACUUGGAAAUCUUGUGAAAAAUGGAAAGAGUGAGGAUAUUUAUACAGUUCAAAAAUGAGACAAAAUUUGUAUUUGCGGAAGACUAGUCAAGUGAUCGCCUCUCGUCCGGAAGAUCAAUAUAGCCAUUUGUACAGCAAAAAUCAGAAAGUCAGAACGGUCAAAUUGUGGAUCGUUGGAGGGUGUCCAGUCGAUCGCCUCCUAUGGCCGGUCGACCGGUCCGGUUGACCACCCCUCUGAGCGGUUGACCGCCUCGAUAACGCGGUGUUUUUACGUUUUGGCCCCGUUUGUUUCGAUAUGAAAGUUUUAAAGUGCAUGGACCUUUGGAAAAUAUUUUUAACUAUUUUUUCAUGAUAAAAAUGUUCUUUUAAAGUCCAAAUAUCACUUUUAAAAAUCGUUUUUAUAUUUGAUCAAAACGUUGCAUUGGAAUAACUUUUAGUACACAAAAAUUAUUUUUGAUGCAUGGAAGGAUUUUGAGUUUAACUAUUCUUUGUCAAAUAUCAAAGUAUUGGUACCUUUACAUUUUGCCUAAAAAAUCAAGUCUUAGAUCUUCCUCCAAAGUUUCUUCCAUGUUUGGCUCUUGAACUUUUGAUAUUUAUCUUUCCUGUCAUUGAUCUUCAAUGCUUGAUUUUUUUGGCUUUUAUCUUUUAAGCUCUCGUCUCAAAUGAUUUCACUUAAAUGCAUACGCAACUCCCAAUUUGAUCUUCAUUUCAAGUCCAAUAUAUGUUGCUUGAUAGAUUUUAACAUCGAACUAUCAUCACUUAAAAUGAAUUGUUAAAAACAAUAUCAAUCUUGUUUGUUAUGAUCAAAACAUUGAGAAUGAAGAAUAGUGGUAUAAUUCAUCUAAGCUCCAUUCAGAGUUUUGCUAGCAUUGUGAAUUGCCCUUAAUAUCUUUUCACUCCUUUGUCCUAGAAAUGCCUCGACUGUGUAGUCACUGACAUCACGCAUGACUUCAAAUGUUUGACCCAAAUAUGGUGUUACCAUAAUUGGAAUUGUAACUAAUUUCUCUUUUAUUGCUUCAAAUGCCUUUAGCCAAUCUUCAUCAAACAUGAAUGUGGAGUCCUUUUCUAAAAGGUUGCACAGGGGUUUGGCUAUCUUUGAAAAGUCUUUAAUAAAUCUUUUGUAAAACUCGGCGUGUCCUAAGAAAUUCCAAAUGCCUUUGACAUUGGUAGGUGGUGGUAACUUUGCUAUUGUAUCAAUUUAGCCCUGUUAACUUCAAGUCCCCUUGUUGAAACAUGAUGGCCUAGCACAAUUCCUUCCUGUACCAUGAAAUGACAUUUUUUUCAGUUAAGAACUAAGUUCUUUUUUUUCACAGAGUUGCAAUACUAAAGAGAGAUUGGAAAAGCAAUUAUCAAAAGAAGUACCAAAUAUAGAAAAAUCAUCCAUAAAUACCCCCUUGAUGUCCUCUAUCAUGUGCAAAGAUUGUUAUCAUACAUGUCUAGAAAGUAGCUGGUGCAUUGCAUAAUCUAAAUGGCAUUCGUUUGUUGGCAAACAUCCUAUAAGAACAAGUGAAUGUUGUUUUUUCCUGAUCUUCUGAUGCUAUUGCAAUUUGUUUGUAGGCCCAAAAACCAUCAAGAAAAUAGUAGUGAGAAUAGCCUGCUAAUCUGUCCAACGUUUGAUCAAUGAAUGGAAGUGGAAAGUGGUAUUUUCUAAUUGCUUUGUUUAGCUUCCCGUAGUUAAAGCAAACCCUCUAACUAGUUACUGUUCUUGUUGGAAUAGCUCGUUGUCAUCAUUCUUGACUACUGUUGGGUUUGAGAGGCUAGGCACUUCUUACAAGUACUGGACAGUCAAAGGGCUCCACAAGCUCUAUAGAAGAGUACUUAACAUUCGUUGAACGAGCAGCAAAGGUGCCCUUGGGGUGAUCUUGUAGUUUCUACACUUCAUUCAGAAACUCAAUCAAAAGGUGAACAUUCUCUGGCUUCAUUGAAUGUCAUUAUAUUCCUUCCAUAUCCCAAUUCCAUUCAUUUAAUGCCCUUUGGUCCCCUCUUUCUUUAGUACCACCUGUUUUGAGCUAACUCAUUCACUGUCUGAAAUAGCAAAUACAAUUCAUGCCUUCAGCAGCUUUAGUAUCUCUGUUCGUACUACUUCAUUCAUAGUUUGAUUUAAUAUUCUUUGAUGAUCAAUGGAUGAUUUGUAAGAGUCAUCCAUGGGGAUUUUAUGCAUGCAAACUGUAGGGCUUAUACUCUUGAUAUCAGUGAUAGAUCAACCUAGAGUAGCCUUGUGUUCUCUCAACACUUUCAACAAGUUGUCAUCUUCAUCCCUAGUGAGUGAGGAGGAAAUGAUCAAUGGAGAUGUAGAAUUUUCCUCAAAAAAUGCAUAUCGAAGGUGAUCUGGACGUUUCUUUAAUUCAACAUUACUGUUUUUAUUACCCUUCUGUCAUUUAGUCUCACUGACUGCUAAAUAUCUUCACUUUGUGAUGGAUUAUCAUCAUUUGGUAAAGACCCAAGAGCCAGUAUACAAUCAACUAAGCCCUUGAUUCCCGUGUAAUCCCUUGUGGUAAUAAUGUCAUCCUAUGUUGCACCAAUCAUUAUACAAUGCUCCAGGGGGUCCUCGAUGAAUACACUUACCUCUUUCACUACAGAGUCAAUGAAGUCAAUUCUAUGGCAAGUGUUGGCAUCAUCUGAAAAUUUUGUUGCCUGGUAGUUAUUGAACAUCACUUUUUGUUCAUUCACUCUCAAAGUCAACCGUCAUUUUUGUACGACAAUUAGAGCUCUUCCAGUUGCUAAGAACGGUUUACCAAGAAUCAGUGGAAUUUCGUAAUCAUUUUCCAUAUCUAAAACGGAAUCAGCAGGGAAGAUAAAUUUAUCAACUUUUACUAAUACAUUUUCAAUAAUCCCUUAUGGAUAUGUAAGAGAUCGAUCAGCUAAAUGCAAGGUUACUGUUGUUGGCUUGACUUUCUCGAAGCCCAACUUCCUGUACACUGGGAAAGGCAUUAAAUUGAUGCUAGAUCCAAGAUCUUAAAGGGCUUUAUCGAAAGAGAAGCCUUUAAUGGUGCAGGGAACAGUGAAGCUACUUGGAUCUUUCCUUUUUUGAGAAAGCUUCUUUUAAAGAAUUACAUUGCAUUCUUGUCAACUUCACUAUCUCAUAUUCUUCCAACUUUCUCUUCUUCAACAUCACUUCUUUCAUGAAUUUGGCAUAGUUUGACAUCUGUUCCAAAGCAUCUGCAACUGGAAUAUUAAUGUGAAUUUUCUUGAAAAUGUCCAAGAACUUAGCUAAUUGUGCAUCAAACUUCAUCUUUUAGAAUCUCUGUGGAAAUAGAAGUGAUGGCUUGAUGAUUGGUGGGUCAUCAAAGAUUGAUAUGGAACGAGGCUUGUGAACCGCCUGCGUUUCUUCGACCUAGUUUUCCUGGUUUGUACUUAACUAUUCUUCUUCUUUAUUAGGGAUAGUGGUUGUUACUACUAUAGGCAUAUUUUCUCCAAUUUUCUUACCACUCCUUAAUGUAAUAGCCUUGCAAUAUUCUUUCAUAUUCACCUCUGUAUCUUGGGAACUUUUCCUGUUGUUGAGACUUCAUUGAUGUGGCCAACUGACCAAUUUAAACCUUAAGCUUUUUUAUUAUAGCUCCCAUGUUGGUCACGUGCAUCUCAAUAUUAUCCAGACGUGACUCAUCUUUGUUGAACCACAAUCUUGUCUCAGAAAUAAAAGUCCAAUGAUGUCUUAUAAGGAUGGCUUUCUUUCAUAAUAUUGAGUGCUGAAUCCAAACAGAGGUUGAAGUGUGUUCCUAUUGUUGCUACCGGGAUGAUAAUGAUUGGAAGAGUAAUUUUCUCUUUGAUUGAAGUUCUUGCUGUUGACAUAUUGAGCUUGCUCAUUUGCUAUUUUUGUCUCUUAAUGUGCUAAAGAAGUAGCCAUAACCGAAUAUGCCUUCUGCUGAUUACUCUAUGUAGUAAGUGUAGCUAUCUAAUUAAUAAGUGAUGAUAUCAGAGCUGCUAAUGCCGUUGUGGGAUCCACUUCAUGUAGACCCACUGCUCUCUUCAUGCUUGAUCUCUCAAUUGACCAUUGGUAGCUAUUCGUGGCUAUGUUAUCCAACAAUGAAUAUGCAAUAUUAGCUAUUUUAGUCAUUAGAGUCCCUCAUGUAGCUGCAUCCACUAUAAUUCUUGUUUGCCCAUUUAACUCAUUGUAGAAGAUCUCAAUCCGUAUCCAACUCUGUAAUCCAUGUUGAAAACAUCUUCUAAGCAGGUCUUUAAAUCUUUCCCAAGCUUCAUAAAAUAGUUUGAAGCCGAAUUGUCUGAAUUGACCAAUCUCGCUUUGAAGUUGAGCUAACUUGGAAGGUAGAAAGUAUGUGGUAAGAAAUUUUUGAGCUAAGUCAUCCCAGGUAAUAGUAGAACCAUACAGUGGUGACUGGAACAAAGCCUUAGCUUUAUCCCUCAAGGAGAAAGAAAAUAGGCAGAGUCUAAUUACCUCAUCAGUAACCCAAUUCAUCGUCACUGUAUCACAAAUCUCCAGAAAAGAGUUUAGAUAAGCAUUUGGUCCUCUAUUGGAGCUACCCCAAGCUGUUUCUGCUAUACUCUAUGUAUGAGUCUUGGCUUCGGUUCGAAAUUAUUAACAGCAAUAGUUGGUUGCGUGAUACCAGAGUAGUUGUCAUUGGCUCGUUGUUUAUUAUUUUCAUUAGCCAUUCUUGCUUCCCGUUCUGCCAUUGCUUCAUGUUCACUUUCCUACAUAUCCCUUAGAAAGCGAAAUGUGCAAUAUGGUUUGAGAUAAAUAGGCAGUAUGUCAAGAUUCCUAAUUCUUCGCAUACACAGCUGAAAAUACAAACAAGGAAAUUAUUAGAGAUGUAAAUACUAUAAAAUAAAAAUAAAUAAAAAAAUCUAAAUUAAAAUAAAAGCUAAUUGGUAAUAACAUCAAUAGAAGUCAAAUAAAGCAAUUUCCGACAACGACGCCAAAAUCUUGUUAUGCAUUUUCUAUAACCUAAUUUAUACCUCAAGUUUACGGUGCCAAGUUCUUUAAUAUAAAAUUGGAAGUAGAAUGUCAAACCCACUGGGAUUGUUAUCUUCUUUCUAUAGAAUACUAUAAUUAUUUUAGCUUUUACUUUAUUUAGAAAAUUAAAUAUAUAAUCAAUGUUUUUAUUCUAAACUAACAUGGAUAUGAUGACAAUUUAAGCAAUUUAACGCAAUUUAUAAGAGAUUUAUCUAAGUGAGGUAGCCUAGGGAUAAAUUUUACCACCUUAUCAACAAUGUUUUUCAACUUCUCCAGUUACUCCUAUCAAUUUUUCCAAAAUUUAAGAACCGUGGUAUAAUCCUAUUCACUCUCUCGAGUGCCGAGUAGAAUUUAUCUCUAUGCUUUAAUUCUAAUAUCUUUGUUCUGAAUCAAACAUAUAGAAAUUGUCUAGUAUGUGGUUCUUAAAUGAAAUAAGCAUAAAAGAUUUCAUACUUUCUUUCAAAACCUAAAUAAACUAGGUUAUUUUAUUAUUAGAUCACGUCUAAAUCUCCCUCUCUCGAGUGCCAAAAUUUAAAGUGUCAAAUCAUUCAAAUAUUGAUUAGGUAAUUGAAAACAUUACGCACAAAUCAACACAAAUAAAUUAAAGGAAAAACAAUAGAAAUAACUGUAUUAGAAUACAAACCAGUCUCAAGUUAAGUUACAUCAACCUUAGAUGUAGAAUUUAGUUCAUGAUUGAGAUGAAUGACAUAAUCAAAUCAAAGGAAAAAAGAUGGAGAAGAAAAAAUUAAGAAAAACUUGUUUGCCGCUUAAAUUCUUCUCCCAAUUUGUAGUCUUCUUUCCUCUCAGACGAUCUCUCUUUUUCUCUUUUUUCUUGAGCUAUCCUCUUCUCAAUCUAGUUCUUUAAGUUGUUAUUUAUACUCUCCUAAUAUAUCAAGACAAAUUGGAGUUGGACCGGGCUGAAACGAUUUUAAAAAACCUGAAUUUUCUCUUUUCUUGGUAGUGGACCGACGCCAUAACCCCUACGUCUGGUGCUGCAGCGCCAACACUUCUGCUAGUUUGUAUUUUUGACUGGGUGUUGCGGUGCCUGCCCUGUGCCCAGCGUUUUGCUACUUCUUUAAUUUUACUGGGUGCCUACGACGCUGUAGCGCCUCAUGUACUAUUUCGCCUCCUUUGCUUGAGCACUAACUUCUUUUUCACUUUGUUUUUCUCUCCUUUCAUCUCCAUUCCAUGCCUUCAUGAUCAACACUUUAGCUUCAUUCAAAGCUUCAAAAAAUGCCAUUUUAUCCAAGUUAUCUAAACUAUAAAAUAAAAUGUACACACAUUAAAACGCUCAAAAGUGCUCAAGGACAAACCAAAGACCAUGAUUUAGAGGUGCUAAUUCGAUGAGUGAAUUACACUAAUCAAGUUUCAUAAUUUGUCUACGAUUGUAUACUUCAAACAUGGUUGAGAGUCUGGAUGCAACUAUAUAUCAAGGAUACUCAAUUUUUGACAUGGUAUAGAAUUCAUCAUAUGAUAAUUUUCAUAGUUUACUAUGAAUUAUUUCUUACACAAGAUGAUGAUACCAUUGACUAAGUUAAUGAUAGAGUUGUAAUGUCGAAAGUGGUCUUAAUGGUACAAUAACGACGCUCCUGCAUAAUUUGGUGGCUCCUUUUGUUCCAAGCCAAAAAGGCAAAUUUGGAAAGAAGAUGAAGAAAAUUAUCGAUAUGCAUAAGAGCAACAAAAGAUCAAAAGUAGAUGGCAAGCUUUAAGGUAAGUGUUCCAACUGCAGUCGAAAAUGACACUAGAGAAAGACUUCCCAAAUGUACCAGCUAGAAAGAAAAGUAUAGGUGAGGUUUCUCGUUAGUGGGUAAUGUUUAGUGGUUAAUAUUACAAAUUCCUGACUUGUAAAUUUUGGAAUCACUAAUCGUAUCUACAUGUUGAUAUGGGUGUUUCAGGAAAGCAAAAACUCAAUUAAUGCCAAUUUAAAAUUAUUGUUCGCACAAAAACAAUAGUUUUAGCAAAAGCAUAUGAGUAUUUUGCUUUUACUUCCAUAGUGUUUUUAGGUGUUUGAUUCUUAAAGACUAUUAUUAUGUAUAGCUAAUGAAGCAAAAAUUUAUUUUCUAUUUUCGAUUUAAUAGGAUAAUAUUAUUUUAUAAAAUCAGCGUCUAACAUGCUUAGCAUUUUAAUGAAUAAAAUUCAUGUUUGAGUUGGACAUUUGAUUGAUGGUCUUUAUAUUAUAAACUAUUCUGCAUAUGAAAUAAAAAUGUUACUCUUUGCACCAUAAAAUGUCCCACCAUUCUAGUGAUACAUAUCUAUGGCAUCUUGGAUAAAUCAAUCUUAAGGGAAUAUAAAACUGAUUAGAGAUGGUUCUCUCAACUCGGUUAAGAUCGAACCACUGACAGCUUGUGAUUUAUGUUUAUACGGCAAUAUGACCAAGAUAUCCUUUUUUGACAAAAGAGGUAGAGCCAAAGAUGCAUUGGAACUAGUGCAUUUUGAUAUGUGUGGAUCUAUGAAUGCACUUGAGAAGGGGAACUAUGAGUAUUUUUUUUAUAGGUGAUUAUUUUGUAUUCAAGUACAUUUACCUAAUAGCUUGAAAGCUAAAUACUUUAGAGAAAUCAAAAGAGUAUAAGACUAAAGUCGAGAAAUAUUUGGGAAAGAGUAUUAAUAUACUUCGAUCUGAUCGAGGUAGUGAAUACCUGUCGGGUGAAUUCAGGGACAACCUAACAAAAAAAUGGUAUUGUUUCUUAAUUGAAUACGUUUGGUAUGCCCAAACAAAAUGUCAUUUAGAAAUAAGAAACACGUGUUAGAUAUGGUUAGAUCAAUGAAGAGCUUCACAACUCUACUUAUUUCAUUUUAGGAUAUAUGUUGGAAAUAGUUGGAUAUAUUCUUAAUAUAGUUCCUUCUAAACCUGUUCUCAAGACUCUCCUGAAAUUUUGGAAUAAAUUCAAAUCAUGUUUGCAUCACAGCAAAAAUUUGGGGGUUUAGCAUAUGUGUUGAAAGAGAUGACACAAAAGUUGGAGUCUAAGUCAGAGAUGUGCCUGUUUGUGGGAUAUCCUAAAGAUACUAAGGGAUAACUUUUUAUAGUCCUCUAAAUAGGAAGGUUUUUGUUAGCACAAAUGCAACCUUCCUAGAGAACAAGUUCAUGUUAGAGGAAAUAAGUGGGAGCACUUCUAUUUCGUCAAUUCCUAGAACACAACCUGAGACAGACAUUCCAUGGUGUCAAAUUGGGCAACAUGAUUUGAAUAGGAGAGAUAAGUUGUCAUUUGAUCCAAUAGAUCAAUGGAACGUUGAAAGUAAUGAGGAGGUAAUAGCGUCACCUAGUGGUAGUGCCAACAUUGAUAAAAAUAUUAUAUUUCAAAUGAUGUCACUGUCCAAUAUCAAUUGUCCCUUAGACAAGUUGGAUGAUUAUCAAUCCACCUUCAAGGUACUUGUUGAGUAGAGAGUCUAAUAUGGUGAUCUGACUUCAUAUAAUAAGGUCAUAGAUGAUGUACAUGCAGCGAUCUAUUUAUAGAUCAAAGCAGACAUCGAGAUCUUGUAAUAGGAAUUCGACAAAGUGAUUAAGACAUAUGGUUUUAAUUAGCACUUUGAUAAAUUGUAUGUCUAUAAGAAUAUAUCAGACAAGAUUAUACUUUGCCUAGUGCUUAUGUACAUAAUAUUUUACUUAUUAGAAUAAUGUAGAUGCGUUAUUGUCCAUGAAAGCGUGCUUGGCCCAACAGUUUCAUAUGAACGACUUAAUGGAGAUAGCAUGUUCUAGGUUUCAAAUCUUGAGAAAUUGAAAGAACAAGAUGAUAGCUUUUAUCCUAAGUUUUAUAUGUUGAAAAUAUACUCGUUAGAUUUGCUAUGCAAGAUUUUGCGCUGGAGCAUCCAAUCCGACUCUUUAAGGAUUAGUUCGCGAAGACUUGUAAAGAAAUUAAAUAGGUGAGUAGGAUACCUUAUGCAUUAGCAAUAAGUAAUCUCAUAUAUGAUGUGCUGUGCAAUAGACCUGACAUUUGUCAUAUUGUUAGUGUGGUGAGUCAAGAUCUAUUUAAUCUUAGGAUUGAAACAGUGAAUGGCGAUAAAGCCUAUCUUUUAGUACCUCUGGAGAACAAGGAGUUAUAUGCUCGUUGCUAGAUCUUAUUUUGAUAGGUUAAAAGGAUUCAAACUUCUAGAAAGAUGAAGACUAUCACAUGUCUACAUCAGUAUCAUUGUUUACACUUGAUGGUGGGGCCAUUAUUUGGAGAAGUAUCAAGCAAUCAUUCAUUGUUGAUUCCACCAUUAAUACUAAGAAUUUACUAGCUUAUGAAGGUACAAAUUUGGCUAUAUUAACUUAGAAAAUCCUUAUGGACAUCGAGGUGUUAUCUGCAUAUGUACGUAUUUACAUUUUAUUGGCAGAUGUUAAAGAACAUUGAUUCGUCUUAGGGUUAAACACAUUGAACGGAAAUAUUCUCUUAAGAGAGAUAGUUGGUAAAGAAAAUGUGGUUUUCAAUAAGAUUGCUACUGGGAUGAACUUAUAGACUUGUUAACUAAGAGCCCGUCGGCUAAGGUUUUCAAGGGAUACCACAAGAUAUGAUGUUGCAACACAUGGCACAUAUACUCUAGGGCAAGUAGGAGAUUUAUUGGAUUGUGUACCCAUAUAGUAUAUUUCGUUAUGAUAAAAUAAUUAUUUAUAAUAAAUAAAUUGUGAUUUUAUUUAUUUAUUGCAUUAUUUAUUAUUGAGCAUACAAAUUAAAGUGUUUAUAAUUACUUGUGAUAAUAUAAGUUGGGUACUUGUGUUGAGAAUACAGUGUGACACAACUUAUAUUUCGGUCAUAAAUAAUUUAUUCAAUCAAUGUACAAGGGUUGGCACCUAGUACUAAAAGGUAGUAGUGUUGAUCAUUUCACUAUUCAGAUUUGCGAUUUGUCCAUAUCACAGAAAUAAUUAAAGAUAACACUAGUACACUUAGGGUGCAUUGAAUGGACCGCGUGUCGAGUUUAAUUCUAUAACAUGAUCGUGUAGAGAUUAAAAUUAUAGUUGACCACCAUGUAUUACAUCUAAACCCCUUGACAGGGUUAUAUAUAUCUUUUCGUGAUUUUAACAGUUCUUUGAUUCAUCAAUGGAUGAGAUCAAUUUUAUUAGUCAAAUAUUUCGAUGAGAUGGGAACUUGAGAAUGAGCGGAGUAAAAAAUGAAUUCAUGUCGAGAACUGUCACCCUUAAAAGUGGGUAGUGACUACUUAAGUAUUUUCUGUUGAACAGUUAAAAUCUAGAGACAGCUAAAAUUUGACAUUUGUGAUUAGUUUGCAGGACCGUUGAAGAAAUGCUACUUACGUUAGUAAGAAUAAUUAGAAAGGUAAAACGACCAUUUAUACUCGUACUUAAUUAUUCGAUCUUGGACGAGGACAAAAUACAUAUAGAGUAUGUCAGAGAAAAGUAUACGGAUUUAUUGACUUUUGCAAUCUUAUAUAUUCCAAUAGUUCAGUCUUUUGCCUUUAGUGGCAAAAAGUGAAGACUAAUAUCUGGUUUUGGUGAUCUACGGUCGACUAGAAAGGAUCUAAUUAUUGGAGCUUAGAUAAUUAUAAUAGUUUUUGGCUUAAUUUUAAUUACAAUAAAAUUUUGUAAUUACUAUGAAAGUUGUAAACUUAAUUAUAAUUAUAAUUGAAGUUCUAGGUUUAAGCAUGUCAUUAAAUGUAAACUAAUUGGAUUUGAACUACUAAUUAAAACUCCUACUUGGAUUUUAAUUUGAACUCUUAUUUGAAUGUGAAAUUAUUAUUGUACAUGAUUGUAACUAUCAUAUCUCUAUAAAUAGAGACUAGAUAGAAACUAGACAUCCUAUGGAAUUAUACAAAAAUCAUAAUACAUAAUUCUAUGAUGUUCAAAUUUAGAGAGAGAAAAAAGAUAGAAAAAUUUAUUUUUCUUACUUUUAUCAAUUGUCUAGAUAAAAAAUUAGUUUCUUAAUUUAAUUAAAAGAAUGUACCAUUCACCGAUAUAGUCUUGAUUUUGGAUAAUACCAAAGAAGAUUUGGAGGUUUGAAGCAUCAAGUUUUUGAAAUUUAAAAGCUGAAAGUUCGAGAUUUGGAAUUAAUUCAAGAAUUGGUCAUUAAAUUUAGGUAAAAAUUCAAAUUCUUUAUUUUUGAUAUAAGAUCUACGUGAACAUCUAAACGAUCUUAUUUAUUGAAUUAAAGAAAUUUUUAAUUUUUGGAUAAUUUCGCUUUUGCAUUUCAAAAACUGGUAUCGGAGAAAUCUAGAUUGUUCACGUGCUUUUUAUUUCUAAAUCUUGAUUGCAUGUUAUAACUAAACGAUGUCUAGGAAUAUUUUACUAUGUAAUGUUAGAAUGAUGGUAUUAUUUUAAACUGAGAACCAAUUAUUUAUGAUCAAUUCUUGAUUGUAAUUCGUUAUUUCGAAUAUGUAACAAGAUUGGUGGAUUACGAUUUCAUCAUCUUGAUUUAAUUUUCGUGUCAAUUAGAUUUAAAAUUGCAAGCCCACGGGAUAUAGAAAUUAUGUAAUUUUUGUAAUUUUAUAUCUUAUAAAUUGAUUGGAGAUUGAAGAUUGGGACGAUGGAGAAGAAAUCAAGAAGUGCACCCAAAAAUAAUAAUAAUAAUAAUAAUUUGUUUUGCUGGUAGCAAGUUGCUGCGUAGCCAUGCAGCAAUAUAUGGCGUUUGACUCGUGGAAUUCUUGACUUUGAUUUGUACUUGCUUUCGUAUGGAUUGAAUCAAAUCUAGAUAAAUUGGGUCUCGGCAUUAAUCAAUUUUUUUUCAGGUACGGUGGCGGAUUCCUAUUAUUGUUUACGUUGCUAUUGUUGGAUCCUUGAAUAUUUUUUUGGCUGAAAAUUUAGAUUAAAUAUUGGACCGCUGUCCAAUUUGUUUUAAUUCAAUUGUUGAGUCGAUUUUUUGGUUCACAAAUAAUUGUUAAUUUAUUGCUUUAUGGAUGCUUUAAAUUAUUAUUUGAAAUAUUGUUAUCCUUAAUAUCAUAGCAUAUAGAUUUAUUUAUAAUACUGCUCGCGAUAUUAUGAAUAGGAUGCAUAUCAUUUAACGUUUAUCUUUCUCUGAUUAAUUUCAUUUAGUUAAGGUCUGGUAGUAAAUAUAUCUUAAAAUAACUAAACAGCCUGAAUUUGCUCAGAAUAUUAUUAAAAAAAAAAGGUCAGAGUAAUCCUGCUAGAUUUUUGUUUGUGUAGCGUAAAAAUACUCAACUAAUUUAUAAGAAGUUAAUGUAUAUUAUGAGGGUUAAUUUCACAAACUGUCAUUGAACUACAGAAAAAUUACAAAACAGUCACUGAAGUUUAAAACUUUUAGUAACGGUCACUUAAAUAUUGUUACGCUUUCAAAAAUGGUCACUGAAGUUUAAAAACUUUUGAAAUAGUCACUGAAGUUGAAAAACACUUUUUUAGUUUUUUUGGUUACAUUUGCGGCACUAUUUUGGCUACUUCCAACCACCGAUACCAUCGAAUUUUGAUACUGUUAGAAAGCCCACAACGUCCUCUUCAAUUACCACUGAAAAUCUCCCCGUAACACCAAGGAAUUCGACCUGAAAAUCACUGCAAAAGUCGCCUCAAAAAAUCUGAAAAUCUGCCCAGAUUUUCAGAUUUUUGGGCGAAUUUUAUGGCAAUUUUCCAGCGACUUUUGAUCACCAAGACUGUCGGAUUUUGAUAUUGUUGGAAAGCCCACAAUGUCCUCUUCAACUACCAUCCAAAAUCUCCCCCAAACUUCAAAAGAUUUGGCCGGAAUAAACCCGCAAAACAUCCCAAAAAGGCGAACAUCUGGGAUGCCAACUUUGUGAGUUUAUUCCGGCCGAAUCCUUUGGAGUUUUUGGGAGAUUUUGGAUGCUAAUUAAAGAGGACAUUGCGAGCUUUCCAACGAUAUCAAAAUUUGGCUAUUUUGGUGGUCGAAAGUUGUCAAAAAAUUGCUGCAAAAAUCCACCAAAAAUCUGAAAAUUUGGGCAGAUUUUUGCCAUUUCGGGUAGCCAAUUUUGUAGGUUUAUUCCGGCCGAAUCCUUUGGAAUUUGGGGGAGAUUUUUUAUUGUAAUUGAAGAGGAAAUUGUAGACUUUCCAAGGGUAUCAAAAUCCAGUGGUAUUGGUGGUCGGAAGUGGUUAAAAAAUUGCCACAAAAGUAGCUCAAAAAUUUUAAAAUUUCAGUGACCAUUUUUGAAAGCGUCCCAAUACUUAAGUGACCGUUACUGAAAGUUUUAAACUUCAGUGACCGUUUUGUAAUUUUUCUGUAAGUUCAGUGACCGUUUGUGAAAUUAACCCAUAUUAUGAAGACUUGUGUGAGGUGAGUAGAAUUUUAUAUCUAUAGUACCUCGUAAAACAGGGAUUCCAUCGAUGACUACUAUCUUGGAAUGUAAUAGCAUGCCUUGUAAAAUUGUGUAGACUCGUAGUUUGAAAAUUUUGGAUUUUUUCUACUAGCAUGCUUGGAUCUUGGGCAAAAGGAUAUUUGCCUGUGUUUGUCUACCAAUUAUUCAACAAAAAUGAGUUUUGAAAUAGUGACCUUCUAGGGAAAGUAUGAUUAUAAAGUGUUAUAAGAUUUGAGAUUUACAUGCAAAAUAUUUUAUUAUAAGAAUGUGUGGUUGAAAAUGAAUUUUAAAUUUUUUUUAAAAAAAAGGUGUUUUGAAAUAAUGAUGGACUCUUAAUUACUGGAAAUAAUAUAAUAGCAAGGAACAAGCACAUUUUGGACUAGAAUUAUUCAUUGAACACUACAGCGUUUCGAAUUUAGAAUUGCAGGCUUCUUUGAUCAUUGAACAAACACUUAAUUUUUCUUAAAACAAUAUUGAAAAUGUGUAAAAUAUUGAAGUGUAGGUUAAUUCAUCAUAUUAUUAAUUUUUUAUUGUCAAUUGUAUUUGAAACAGAAGUUUUAUACGUAACUAGAAAACUUUUGUUGUGCAAAAAUCCCCCCAUCCUUUGUUUUCAAAUAUAGAGUCUGUUUGAGAGUGAUUUUGAGAAUUGAUUUUUUGACUGUUAGGAGAAAAAUGGGGUCUACCUGUAAGAGAAGAAAUCAAAUAUCACGGCUGAAAUAGUGAAAUAACGGUAAAAAAACCAAUUUUUUUGGGAAAAAAUCACUCCCGAAUAGGUCUAUAGAAAUCACCUUUCUAUUGAAAAUCCCUAAAUCAAAACUAUUCGUAGCAAUUUUUUCGAACUUAACACAAGUACACAAAGUACCAAUUCAACCAGAUUUCUCAAAUACCUUCACAUAUCGUGGCACAAAGUCACAAUAAAAAACAACCAAAAAAAGAGAUCAGCAAAAUCACCCUAAAAUCAUUAUUUCUUAAUUUUAGAUCAUUUCUGGUCAAAGAACAAUAUGGAGCAAUUCAUGUUUGGGAGAUGUGUUAAUGAGUUAUAAUUUCAACAGGAAAGUAAACCCAACAACUCGUUACGAUUAUUGGUUCAUGCAAUGACAUAUUAAAAACUACACAAGCUUGACCAAGCAAAUUAUCGGUCAGUUAUUAAUGCAACAAAAAUUUCAACGUUAGUCAUAAAUAGAGAAAAUUAAUCAUCAGAAACAAGAAGCAAUACACGAUUUGCUGUUUAUAAGAUAGCUUAUCGUGGAUCGACAUUAAAAGUUUAGGGCAAGUGAAUAAAUCCGUAGAUCUUUUAGCAAUAUUUUUUUUAAAACAAUAUUAUUAAAACUUUUUAGUUAUUUGGUUGUUAAUUCAAAAGGUUUGAUGAAUAUAUAUGGCUUAAUAAUACAAAAUGUCCCUACGUUUGACUUGUAGCGUACAAAACGUUCCCACGUUUUAAAUUUUUGCAUUUUCACCCAUAUUUUCACGUUUCAUUGCAAAAAANNNNNNNNNNNNNNNNNNNNNNNNNNNNNNNNNNNNNNNNNNNNNNNNNNNNNNNNNNNNNNNNNNNNNNNNNNNNNNNNNNNNNNNNNNNNNNNNNNNNNNNNNNNNNNNNNNNNNNNNNNNNNNNNNNNNNNNNNNNNNNNNNNNNNNNNNNNNNNNNNNNNNNNNNNNNNNNNNNNNNNNNNNNNNNNNNNNNNNNACUCUCUAUCUCUUUUCUUCUUCUCCUCCCCCUUUCCCUCUACCUCUUCCUCCCCCUCAACCUCCUCAACCACCACCGCCACCAAAACUAUCGAAAUUUCACCCUUCUACCAACAAUUCUACAGUAAAUAUUCUACCGAUGAAGGAGUAAAAUUAAAGGAACAAAUUUGAAAAAACUAUCACCAAGCCCUAAAAUCCAAAUGGGGCCGCCACCUUAAAAGCCAAAACAUUCCGACCAACCAGCGUCUAAACUGUUGGACCUCCAUACCACCAGAAGCCCUCACUCCUCUCUGCACAUACCAUCCAACAUCCAACCUUCAUGCCGAAAAAUUUGGGAAGAAUUGCAAGCCAAAAUACUCAACUCGUGAAUGCAAAUAUUGGUGGCACCAUUUCUGACGAGACUCAUGCCAUUCAUAACACACUAAUCAACUAUACUCACUAGGAAGCUUCUUUUCAUGAUCUUAAAACGUCAACAGAUGCACAAAGUCAAAAUCUGUAGCAACUUUCAAUUUCUUUUUGGGCAAUAACUGGCCAGAAAUUCUAGGGCUCAUUAGAAUGAAAUUGAUGGAAGCGCAUUAUUGUAGCAGGUUCGACAUGAUGUAGCGAAGUCGGAAUGGGUGAUCCACGACGAGGGGGAACCAUUGCCGAUCCCGAAAGUGAUGGAAAAAGAAGCGUUUUGCGCGAACGAUAAGCUGCGAUUUGGUUGAUUCUUGCCAUAUUAAAUUGUUGUUCGUUCAAUUUUUGUGUGGGAAAGUGUUUGAGGGUUGACGGCGGCUGUUUGUGGCGUGAAUUUCGAUGUUUUAUGCGAUAGUUUGGUGGUGGUUGGUGAGGUGGAGGCCGACAGUUCCAUGAAUCUCCAAAUAACGAGUGGGUGGGGGUGAGGUGUGGGAAGAAACAUGAGGAUGUUUUGUGCUAUCGAGCCUUCAAAAAAAUUUGAGUCUAUAGUUGUAAUCUGUUUUUUAUUUUAUUUAAAUAGGAGGGUAUAUUGAUCAUUUUAGAUUAAAAAUGGUGAAAAAAAUGAUGUUUUUCGCAAUGAAACGAGGAAAUAUGGGUGAAAAUGCAAACAUUUAAAUGUAGGAACAUUUUGCACAUUACAGACUAAAUGUAUGAACGUUUGGACUAUUAAGCCAAUAUAUAACCGAUAACAACAUUAUUAUAAGAGUGCAUUUGUUUGAACCACAUAUUUAUUUGAGAAAAAGUAAUUGUUUCCUAUCAUCUUUUACAGAUUAAACGUAGGGACGUUUGAACUAUUAAACCAAUAUAUAACCGGCAACAACAUUAUUAUAAGAGCGCAUUUGUUUGAACCAGAUAUUUAUUUGAGAAAACGUUAUUGUUUCCUAUCAUCUUCCUAAAUAACAUUAUUUAACAUGCUGUAAAAUUUGUUCCGUCAAUUUUAAUAUUAAAUUAUCACCGUACAAUUAUUUUAUUACAUAACGUAUUAUAUAAGUUUUUUUUCCCCGAUUUAAAUCACACGUGUAAUUCUUUUUUAAUCAUUUCAUGCCCCAUCAUAUAUAUGUGUGUGUGUGUGUGUGUGUGUGUUAUAAAAUGAGAGGAAAGGAGAAUAGAGAAAACUUAAUAAACUUUUUGUGUGUAUUAUUGAAAAUCAAAGCCCUAUAUUUAUAGGUAAGAAUCAGGGAUACAAUGGUAAUAAUUUCUAGGGCUACAGGGGUACAAAUGUCAUUUACCAAUAAACUUUAAUGGACUUUCCAUUUACAACACUCCCCCUUGAAUGAUAUAUUACAAAAUAUCUGCUUCGUUAAAACCUUGUUUGAUAAAAAUCCAAUGGAAAAAAAUCAAACGAAGGAAAAAGAUUACAUUUAUUUUAGAGUAUUAAAAUUAAAUGCUGCCUGAUUAAAACCUUGUUAGGAAAACCCAAUGGGACAAAACUUAAGCGAAGGAAAAAGAGUACAGCUACUCCCCCUGAUGUUGAUCACUGAAAAUCUUUGAAUCGACGCAUUCCAAUCUCAUGAAUUAAUUUCUUGAUUGUAGAUGUGGGCAGUGCUUUUGUGAAUAGAUCAGCCACAUUGUCACUUGAGCAAAUUUGUUGAAUAUCAAUGUCACCAUUCUUCUGAAAUUCAUGUGUAUGAAAGAAUUUUGGAGAAAUAUGCUUCGUCCUGUCGCCUUUGAUAUAGCCUCCCUUGAGUUGUGCGAUACAAGCUGCAUUAUCUUCAAACAAAAUUGUUGGACUAUCUUUUGUUGAAGUCAAUCCACACGAUGAUUGGAUAUGAUGGGCCAUAUUCCUCAACCAUACACAUUCUCGCCCUGCUUUAUGGAUUGCAAAAUGAUUUGAGGAUGUUGCUGUCAAGGAUUGCUUCACAGAUCUCCAUAAUAUAGAUGUUCCUCCACGUGUAAACGCAUAUCCUGUUUGUGAUUUAGCUUUAUGUGGAUCGGAGAGAUAACCUGCAUCUGCAUAUCCCACUAAAGCAGAUCUUGACUUUUGAGAAUAAAAUAGUCUCAUAUCAGUAGUACCUUUUAGAUAACGAAAAAUAUGUUUAACACCAUUCCAAUGCCUUUGAGUUGGUGUAGAGCUAUAUUUUGCAAAGAGAUUUACAGAAAAAGCUAUGUCAGGUCAAGUGCAAUUUGCAAGAUAAGUUAAUGCUUCAAUUGCACUAAGGUAUGGUACUUCAGGACCAAGAAUCUUUUCUCCAUCUUCAAGUGACGAAAUCGAUCUUUUUUCAUAUCAAGUGAUCGAACAACCAUAGGUGAUGGCAAUGGAUGUGCAUUAUCCAUAUAAAAGCGUUUCAAGACUUUUCUGUAUAAGUAGAUUGAUGAACAAAUAAUCCCUUUGGAAAAUGUUCAAUUUGUAAUCCAAGACAAAAUUUGGUUUUCCCCAAAUCUUUCAUCUCAAAUUCAUUUCUCAAAUAAUCUACAGUUUUGUUGAGCUCUUAAGGAGUUCCAAUUAAAUUUAAAUCAUCAACAUAAACUGCCACAAUUGCAAAUCCAAUAUUUGUUAUCUUUAUGAAAACACCGGAUUGUUUUAAUCCAUAUAAUGAUUUUUGCAAUUUAAUUGAGAACAUAGUUCUCGGACAUGUAUCAUUUAUUCCUGGCACCUUAAAUUCUUUAGGGACUUUCAUAUAUAUAUAUAUAUAUGUAUGUAUGUAUGUCACUGUCAAGUGAACCAUAUAGGUAGGCAGUUACUACAUCCAUAAGGCGCAUAUCGAGCCAUUGUGACAUGGUCAAACUAAUUAAGAACCUAAAAGUGAUGAUAUCCAUUACGCAAAAAUAUGUUUCCUCAUAAUCAAUUCCCGGUCUUUGGGAGAAACCUUGAUCCACUAGUCGGGUUUUGUAUCUUGUAAUUUCAUUAUUCUCAUUUUUCUUUCGUACAAAAACCUAUUUGUAUCCAACAGGGAUUACAUUUUCAGGUGUUCGAACUACUAGUCCAAACACUUUUCGUUUCUCCAAAGAAUUCAAUUCUUCCUGUAGGACUUCUUUCCAUUUUGGCCAAUCAUUUCUAUUUCGACAGUCAUUAACAGACUGUGGUUUAGGAUCCUUAUUUUGCAUAAUAUCAAGAGCCAUGUUAAAGGCGAAAAUAUUGUUUAUAACAAUAUUAUUUCGUUCCCAUAAUUUAUGAGAUAUCAUAUAAUUUAUUGAGAUCUCAUUAUUUUCAGACACCUCUGGUUCUUCAAAAACCGUACAUUCAAUAUUUGAUUGAUCAAUCUUUUCUAAUGUGAUUUCUUCUGAAGUUUUUGGUUGAUUUUUCUCCUGUACUCUUCUUUUUCGAGGUACAGAGUCUUUUGAACCAACUAGUCGACCACGCUUCUGGCGUAUUUGAGAUUCAUUUGCCACAGCAGAUUAUCCUGUAGGGACAUUAAUUUUUGCUGGAAUAUUUUCUGCUGGAAUAUAUAAUUUUGUCACUUUUCUCGUGUCAACAAAUGCAUCAGGUAGUUGAAUUGCAACUCUUUGCAAAUGAACGAUUUUUUCAACCUCUUGUUCACAUUGAUUGCUGCGGGGAUCAAAGUGAGAUAAAGUUGUUUCAUUCCAAGAAAUUCUAUCUUGUUUUUCAAGAUUUAGUUUUUCUCCCCCCAAAGUUAGGAAAGUCAUUUUAUCAAAAUGACAAUCUGCAAAACGUGCAGUAAAUAAGUCACCCGUUAAAGGUUCAAGAUAUCUAAUAAUAGAUGGUGAAUCAAAACCCACAUAAAUCCCAAGUUUUCGUUGGGGACCCAUUUUAGUACGUUGUGGGCUUGAAAUAGGAACUUGGACAGCACAACCAAAAACCUGUAGGUGAGAGAUAUUUGGUUCAUGACCAAAUGCAAGUUGCAAAGGUGAAUAUUGAUGAUAGGCAGUUGGUCUUAUACGAACAAAGAUGCAGCAUGUAAUAUGGAAUGACCCCAAACAGAAGUUGGGAGUUUUGUUUUCAUAAGUAAUGGUCUAGCAAUAAGUUGUAGACGUUUAAUAAACGAUUCCGCUAAACCAUUUUGUGUAUGAACAUGUGCAACUGAAUGUUCAAUUUCAAUCCCAAUUGACAUACAAUAAUCAUCAAAUGCUUGUGAUCUAAAUUCACCAGCAUUGUCAAGAUGAAUAGUCUUGAUUGAGUAAUCGGGGAAUUGUGCUCGCAAUUUUAUGAUUUGAGCAAGUAGUCUAGCAAAUGCUACAUUCCUAGUUGAAAGUAGGCAAACAUGUGACCAUCUUGUAGAAGAAUCAAUUAAUACCAUAAAGUAACGAAAUGGUCCACAUGGUAGGUGUAUUGGCCCGCAUAUAUCUCCAUGUAUUCUUUUCAAGAAAGUUGGAGAUUCAAUAUUGACCUUUGUAGUUGAAGGUCUAAUGACUAACUUGCCUUGCGAACAAGCUACACAUGGAUAAUCAUUAGAUAAAAGAAUCUUCUGGUUCUUUGAAGGAUGUCCAUGUGAGUUGUUUAUUAUUCGACGUAUCGUUAUGGCUCCUGGAUGUCCAAGUCGAUCAUGCCAAAGUAUAAAACUUUUUGAAUCAACGAACUUCUGGUUCAUAACAUUAUUUGAUUCGAUCAUUUUUAUAAAUGUAAAAUACAUGCCAGACGGGAGUGAAUGAAAAUUUUCUUUUAUCUGCUUCUUGCCAGAUACAAAAGAAGUGAUGUAAAGAUAUUCAACAUUAUUUUCUUGCAUCGUCUCAAUGUGAUAUUCAUUGUAGCGAAUAUCUUUAAAACUAAACAAGUUUCUUCUGAAUUUGCUAGAAUAAAGUGCAUCGUCAAUAUAUAAUUUUGUAUUAUUUGGUAAAAUAAUACAAGCUCUUCCGGAGUCUUCAACGAUAUUCGACACACCCGAUAUCGUGUUAACAUUAUUUUCAGCUAAUAUUAAGUCCAAAAAGUUUUUUUUGUCUUGAAGAAUAGUAUGUAUAGUUGCACUAUCAAUUAAGCAGCUAUCUUGACUAUUCAUCAUGAAUCUAUAAAUAUAACAAAAUAAACAAAAUUUAAAAAAAUUUGAAUUUAGAUUUAAAGAAAUAAACAUUACUUAAUAUCAAAAAAUAAACGGUACCUAAUAAAGUUUUAUUUUUUAUUAUUUUUAUUUUUUUUUUGUGCGAAAAAGUAAAAACAUAUUUUAAACUGAAUUUUUAAAACAAAAAAAAUACUAGUAAAUUAAUCUAUAUCUUCUAUCACACCACCCCCAACCAAAUGGUCAAUAUUUCCAUUUGGAUCAGUAAAGAAAUCGGAGACAUCCAAAUGAGUCACAUCAAUUGGACCAUCAUAAUCAGCAAAAUUAGUUUCCAAUUUUUCUUUUCCUUGAUUGAUCUCUGGUAGAGAUCCACAAGAUGUUUUGAGGUACGACACGUACGUGCCCAAUGCCCUUUCAUUCCACAUCUGAAGCAACUUUCUUCAUGCUCCUUUUUAGAUUUGUCACUCUCGUUUGGUUUGUGCCUUUUGAAUUUAGUGUCUUGUUGUUGAUAACUUUGUUGAUUAUUUUUUCCAUGAUUUAUUCCACAUACACGUCCGUGUCCGUGUCCACAUCCAAGUCCGUGUCCACGUCCACGUCCGCGUCUUGAUAUUGUAUUUGUUUCAGACAAUGUAGUACCAUUUGCUUCAGGCAAUGGUACAAAAUCAGUUGGACGUAAUCCAUGAUUUUUCAUCAACAAUUAAUUAUUUUGUUCAGCAACUAGUAGGCAAGAUAUAAGUUCUGAGUACUUUUUGAAGCCAUGCUCACGAUAUUGCUGUUGCAGGAGCACAUUCGAGGCAUGAAAGGUGGAGAAAGUUUUUUCCAACAUAUCUUCAUGGGUGAUUUUUUCUCCACACGAAGUCAACUUUGAACAUAUUCUGAACAAUUCAGAAUUGUACUCACUAACCGUUUUAAAGUCUUACAAACGAAAGUGCAUCCACUCAUAACGGGCUUUGGGGAGGACUAUAGUCCUCUGAUGACCAAAUCUUUCAGUUAACUUUUUCCAAAGAACUUGUGGAUCUUUCUCAGUGAGAUAUUCAAUUUUUUAAUCCAUCGUGAAGAUGGUGACGAAGGAAAAUGAGUGCUUUUGUACUAUCCUGCAGGGAUUCAUUGUUUCCUUCUUUUAUUGUCUCUCCCAACCUAUUUGAGACGAGAUGAAUAUCAACAUCCAGUAUCCAUGACAGAUAAUUUUUACCAGAUAUGUCAAGUGCAGCAAACUCAAAUUUCGUAAUGUUUGCUAUUUGUUUAACUACACAAUAAAAAAAUACAAUUAGUUUCGAAGAAUAUGAUUAAUCAUCACAUGUUAAUCAAAUAGUCAAUAUCAACAUGACUUUAAGUUACGUGUUUUUCUCUAGGGAUAAACACUAAUUUGAAAUAAUAUGUUCUUCAAAACAUAUGCUACUUCUGGAGCACAUUAUAUUUUGCUAUUAUUUCUUCAAGUGCAAUAUGUCAAUAUUCUUCUGGAAUAUUGAGAGUUAUAAUUUAUCCUCUUCAGGAGCAAAUAAUAUUCUUAUAAUGUUGUGCUACUUUUGGAGCAACAACGAAUAGAUCUAUAAUUAAUAUUCUUCUAGAAUAUUAAUUAUAAUGUUGUGCUACUUCAGGAGCAACAACAAUUAAAAAUAAAUUUAGUGUAAUGUUUCAUAACUAAACAUAAAAAAAAAUGAUAAUACAUCCAAUUGCUCACCAUUAAUUAAUAUACAAACACGUGUAAAAUAUUAUUUUGAAUUAAUAACGUGAGUCGAGUGAAAAAAAAAAAAAAAAAAAAAAAAAUUGGUGACAUGUAGAAACCUAUCCACAUAUUAUGACACGAAAUUCAAAUUAUGUGCAAUUAAAACAAUUAAUUCAAAGAGAGGUACAAAGAAAACAUAAUGAUCGAGAAAGAUGAGAUCACAUAUUGCAGAUUCAACACAUGUAUAUGUAAAAUUCACGUAUUAUCAAAUUAAUUUUGAUAUACGUGAUAGAUGAUUAUGGAAAAAAAAUUACUACCUUCUAAGAGUUUCGUGCUAGUAAUGUGUUAUAAAAUAAGAGGAAAAGAGAAUAGAGAAAACUCAAUAAACUUUUUGUGUGUAUUAUUGAAAAUCAAAACCCUAUAUUUAUAGGUAAGAAUCAGGGAUACAAUGGUAAUAAUUUCUAGGGCUACAGGGGUACAAAUGUCAUUCACCAAUAAACUUUAAUGGACUUUCCAUUUACAACAAUAUAUAUAUAUAUAUAUAUAGAGAGAGAGAGAGAGAGAGAGAGAGAGAAUUAAUUUGUUUCCUUAAUUCAAACAGUAUAAUUUAUUUAGUAUUCAAAUAGCAAUUUCACGGUCAUGAGACUAUAAUAUCAAUAUUUUGUUAUAGAGUUUAAAAUUUAAAUUUCGCUGGAACUUCAACCAAGAUUUAUUACAAUUUAAUUAGUGAAUGAAAAUUUUCAAACUUUAUAUCAUUGCAUAAUUAGUCAACAAAGUUUCAAUACAAAUAUUGUUGACCUCCAAAAAUGUGUCAACAUGUGUCACUCCUAAUUAACGCACAUGUGGACAGAUAUACUCAAGUACGUUAACGAAAUAUUCAAGCUUGAAAAUGCACAUGAAGGAGGGAACUUAGAGAGGGCAAAUAUUCAUAGAAAAGAAACCACGAAACUCCUUUUUUCUACUACCUCUUAAAAGAGAGGCUUUAAUAUUACUAUUUAUUUAUGUCACAUUACUUUUCACACUACAUUCAAUUUAUCCGAUUUUACUACAGUAGUUUAUUCAUGUAAGAAAAUGGGACAAGCUUUCUUCUCUAAACCACAUAGUCUACUUCUUCUACUGCUUUUCUACUGUUUCCACAUCUGCCCUUGUACAAUUGUUGUGGGCCCGCAUUCAUUUCUCAAUGUCAGUGAGUAGGAAAAUUAUUUGUUACAAACUUAACUUUUAUGGCAUGGUGCUGGUAAAUGUUAUGAAUUCUCGCUUUAUCCUCAAUAUCAAAAUUGAUUGAAAAUAAUGUGAAGCAUUAAGUUAAUGGUAUUUUUGACAAAAUGAUUAUUAAAGUUAGGGUGUCAUGGUCUUUUCAAUUUUCGUAUAAUAAAUGCAGUCUAUCAUUGUCUGUAUAUAAUGUGUGAAUUUCGAUUCAAAUCUGCUUUAUCUAAAUCAUUUCUCAUGAAAAUUGUUUUCUUCUGCCGUGUUUCUUCUUCAUUGUUUACCUCUGUUUCUCUGUGAAACGAGAAAACAUCUUUGAAAUAUCUACUACCUCUUAAAAGAGAUGUUUUAAUAUUACUAUUCAUUUAUGUCACAUUGCUUUUCACACUCAUCCAAUUUAUCCGAUUUUACUACAGUAGUUUAUUCAUGUAAGAAAAUGGGACAAGCUUUCUUCUCUAAACCACAUAGUCUACUUCUUCUACUGCUUUUCUAUUGUUUCUACAUCCGCCCUUGUACAAUUGUUGUGGGCCCGCAUUCAUUUCUCAAUGUCAGUGAGUAGGAAAAUUAUUUGUUACAAAUUUGACUUCUAUGGCAUGGUGCUGGUAAAUGUUAUGAAUUCUCGCUUUAUCCUCAAUAUCAAAAUUGAUUGAAAAUAAUGUGAAACAUUAAGUUAAUGGUAUUUUUGACAAAAUGAUUAUUAAAGUUAGGGUGUCAUGGUCUUUUCAAUUUUCAUAUAAUAAAUGCAGUCUGUCAUUGUCUGUAUAUAAUGUGAAUUUGGAUUCCAAUCUGCUUCAUCUAAAUCAUUUCUCACGAAAAUUGUUUUCUUCUACCGUGUUUCUUUUUCAUUGUUUACCUUCAUUCUUUACCUCCGUUUCUUUGUGAAACGAGAAAAUAUCUUUGAAAUAGUAUAGAAAUUAGACACCCGCAAUAUUUCAUAUUUACGUUCAUGUACGGUAAUAUUUUUUUACAAAAAACUUUUCUAUUUAUAUUGUAGAUUAUGGACGAUUUUAGCUUCCAAUUUUUUUUUGUAGAUUUGAACUAAAAUUUUUUGCUGUUUAUGUGUAUAGGUUAGAUAACAUUAGUUAUCUCGUGGAAUCGAAGGCUGCAGUGGAGAGAUCUUUCUCAAAUAAGGGUUUUGAAUUUUAUUUUUUAUUUUUUGGUCCAAUUGAUGUUUUGUGCUUCUAUGUAUAAAAUUUUCGAAUAUGUAUGUACUAUGUGAUUUCAUAACUUCCUAUGCAAGGUCUCAAAUUUGAGCCUCGUGCUUUUAAAGUUGAGAUGAUUUUAAAUUUUUUACCCAAACCUUAUAAACCUAAUUCAAUCAUUUGCCUUCCCUUAUCUUUACUUUACUAAUUCUAGAGGGAGAAGAAAGAACUCAUCGAGAUUCGAGAACAAAAGAAAAAUGAAAACAGGAAGUAUUUGACCAUCUUUAUAUUUGGAUACCACUUCAAACAGUAAAAGUCAUAAAAACGGAGAAGUGGAAAAAGGCAACAAGAAAUUAAAGCUGGGGGAAAUUGGUUUUCUGUAAUAUACGGUGAAACAUGAAAUCUUUAUUUGCAGAAUUACUUUAGUUAUAUACUUUUUCAUUAAAAAAGAUACUUGGUUAGAGGUCGUUGAGACAUAAGUUCAUCAAUGUAAAUCUUUUAUUACCUUCAAUAGAAUAUCGAAAGUUGGAUACUAAAUACUAAUGAUGAAUUUUAGAAAGAACUUGAAUUGACACAAUCAAAUCUUCAAACUUAAUAAUAUGGAAUACUAUGUGCCAUCAUUUUUUGUUUUUAUUUUUCAUUGGUUAAUUUACUUUAUGCUCAAACAAGUUUGUGGUUAUGUUUGUUGUCCUCUUUUAAUGUCUAAAAGAACUAUUUGAUUUCGAGAAGCGAACAAUACAUUUGUUAGCAUGCCAUGGUAUUGACAUUUUCUUUUUGUUAGUAGUCUUUUGUAUGAAGUGCUAGAGGACACUAGGUGGCCUAUUUUUUGUAUCCUUUGUGGAUCUUAACUAGCAUUUAUCUUUCAAUAAAAACAUAAGAUAAAUAGGAUAAUAUUUCAGAUGUGCUUGACGCUAUUUUCUACGUUCCGAUGAUGUAGGACAACUGUGUAAUCUUUUGGUAACGGCAAUUUCUACGUAAUUCAGGUAUAGUUUCUUUAAACAAUAUCCAUUUUACACUAAUUUUUUUCAAUUUUUCUUAGUGAUAUGUGAAAUAUCUUUGAAUAAUUUUUAUAUACAACUUUCAGUUCUUUUCUUGACUAUUUUGCGUAUUUCCAAUUUUCAACUUGUAUAUUUUUGCUUCAUUACUUUCAAUUGCUAUCCUUAUUCUUUUGUGCACUUCCAGUAGUCAACUUAUGAAUUUAUUAAGUUCAUGAUUUUUGAUCAAUUACUUACAUUAUAUAUUUAGAAAAAUAUUGUAUGUGUAGGUUGAUUGGGUGGGAGCAAAAUCACUAAAAUUAGAGAUGAAAACCUCGUUCCUUUUUGGAAGUCUUUCUCUUCUUCAUCUUCAAUUGUAGUAUAGCAAAAACAUUUACAAAAUAAUAAUAGUAUUUAUGUUUAAAAAAACUCUUCAAUUUACAAAAAUCGUAUGAAAAUAGUAAUGUUUUUUUUCUCCUGCAUUUAAAUCCUACAAGUCUUAUUAAAAUUUUAUUUAAUCAAUAUUUGAGGCAGCAAUGUUUAUGUUUAUUACUAUUGCAUUCAAAUAAACGAUUUUUGUGAUUAAACUUUAGCUAUAUGCAUGUUUUUAAUGUUGUGAAAGUUUUAUUAAUUUGUGUUUGUCAAAUUUUUUCCUAUUGUGGAAAUUGAGUAGUAUUAAUAAUUUUUUUUUUUUUGCUAUUUCAUUUACUGUAAUGAUUUUUUUUUUCAUUAAAUUAGAGGUGAAGUUUUGUUCUCCAUGAAUUCUUCAAAAACAUCUGCUGAUCAAGAAUCUAGAUUUUGUAACAUUGAUGGUACUUCUCAAAAUACAAGUAAAUCAUAUACUGCCUUGAUUCGCCAACAACAAAAUCAAAGACAGGCAGAUAGGAGGAAUCGAAUUCAAACUCCACACGUUGAUCUCCGUAAAAGGAUAAAUGAUUCUACACUAUCUAGAAAAAAUAAUUUAGGUGCUUCCCAUGCUUAGAAGUUUACAGUUCCUCAUAUUUUCCAGGCUUCCACUUCAAAUCAAGAAUCGACUAAUAUUGUUCAUUCUAAAGUACGAGGAUUUUCUAACCUAUUGAACAUACCAACUAAUGCAUAUGUAUUACCAACAUGGAACUACUGUGAACAUUGUGGUGCACGAAAAUUUUAUAGAGAAACUAAAGAGUUUUGUUGUUCUGAUGGAAAAGUUAAACUUUAUAUGUCUGAUUCACCAACUAAAUUGUAUGAUUUAUUUACUUCUAAAGAACCUGAAUGCAUGGAAUUUAAGAAAAUUGCGCGUGGAUAUAAUAACCAUUUUGCUUUCACUUCGUUUGGUGUAAAAUGUGAUAAAUAACUUUUUAGAACAUAUAAAGGUAUUUACACUUUCAGAGUUAAGGGACAAGUAUAUCAUUAUGUGAAUCAACUUAUGCCAGAAUAUAAUAAGUCUUCUUAUAUGCAGUUAUAUUUUUAUGAUACAGAUAACGAAAUUGAAUAUCGUAUGAAAAUUUCAGAAAAUUUUGUUGAAUCUACUUUGAUCAUUUUGAUUGAAAUCUUGAAAGUAAAUCCAUAUAGUAGAUUCUUUAGGUCUUUAAGUAAUAUGACUAAUUUGCAUGACCAUCGAAUACAAAUAAGAUGCGAUCCUGGACUUGAUCAAAGAGUCUUCAAUACUCCUUCGGCAUCUCAAGUAGCUGCUGUAUGGGUUGAAGAUGAUGACAAUGCAAAUAUUCGUGCUCGUGAUAUUAUUAUAUAUGGUCAUUCUGGUGAUUCACAUAGAGUUCAUUAUUAUUAUGGUUGUUAUGAUCCUUUGCAAGAUCCUUUACUUUUUCCAUUUGGAGAAUCUCGUUAGCAUGAAGGUAUUCAAAGAUACCAAAAGACAUAUUUUGAAACUCAAAAUUGGCUGACUGCAUAGCUUUUCCUAGCGCAGUAAAUUUUGCAACCAAAAUCAUUGAAAAAGAGGCCAAAGGUUUGCUAAUACACUUUUUUGUAUGUUUUCUAACUUAUAUAAAGUAAAUGUUCUAGAUGGAUGUAAGAUGCUUUUUUUUUAUCCUCAUGCAGUGCUCAAUGGAAUGAAGAAACGAUCUCAGGUUUCUUGUCAGGAGUACUAUUCCUACACGUUACAAAUUAGACCUUCUGGUAAGUCUGUGUUACUUCACACUGGUAGACUUUUUCAACAAUAUGUUGUAGAUAUGCACGUUAAGAUUGAAACUACCAAAUUAGACUAUUUUCGUAGCAACCAAAAGCAAAUUCAUGCUGAACUUUAUCAAUGUAUUGUAGAUAGUAUUCAAAAUGAGGAAACAAGGGGGUCAAAAAUUGGUAAGAAGAUUGUUCUACCAAAGACUUUCACAUGUGGGCCUAGAGAUAUGCUCAAAAGAUAUUUAGAUGCAAUGGCUAUCGUUCAACGCCAUGGAAAACCAGAUAUAUUUCUAACUAUAACUUGUAAUCCAAAUUGGCCUGAAAUUAUGGAAGGACUGAAAUACAAUGACGAAGUUCAAAAUCGACCAGAUUUAAUUGCAUGUAUAUUUAUAACAAAAUUAGAAGAAUUAAAAAAGGUUUUGUAGAAAGAAAAUAUUUUUGGCCCAGUUAUUGCUCAUAUAUACAUGAUUGAAUUUCAAAAAAGAGGGCUUCCUCGUGCACAUUUAUUGUUGAUUUUCAAUUCUGCCCAUAAAAUUUGUUGCGCUGAACAAGUUGAUAUGAUAAUGUCAUGUGAAAUUCUCGAUGAGAAUAAAUACUUGCAUCUUCAUUCUGUAAUUGCAAAACAUAAUAUGCACGGUCCUUGUGGAAAUCUUAAUCCAAAAAAUGUGUGUCUGUUGGCAAGCAGUGAUUGUAAAAAUAAAUAUCCUAAGGAUUAUUGUAAUAGUACAAUAUUUGGUGAUAACUCAUAUCCAUUGUAUAGACGUCGUCAUAAUGGUAUUUCUAUUAAAGUGAGAGGUCAAAUGUUAGAUAAUCGAUGGGUUGUACCAUAUAAUCCUUAUUUAAGUGCAAAAUUUGACUGUUAUAUUAACAUUGAAGUAUGUUCUUCUAUUAAAGCAGUAAUGUAUUUUUACAAAUAUGUGUAUAAACGACAUGAUCGUAUUAAUUGUUUCAUAGGCAAAAGUGAAAUGGACAAGGAAAUCGAUGAAAUUUCUGCUUAUCAAUCAACUAGAUGGAUAUCUCCACCUGAAGCUAUGUGGAGAAUUUUUUCUUUCAAUUUGUCAAAAAUUUAUCCUACUAUUUAUACUUUACAACUUCAUAUUAAAGAUCAUCAGCACGUAACUUACAAUAAUAAAGAUGAUUUAUCUAUUAUUAUUGGGAAUGAGUAUAUGAGAAGAACAAUGUUAAUAGAGUUUUUUCGGAUGAAUAAAGCAAAUGAAUUUGCUCGAACAUUGUUGUAUCGAGAUUUCCCAACACAUUUUGUGUGGAAUGCAAAUGGGAAAGUUUGGACCGCUGGAAAACAACACAUUGUUAUAGGACGAAUUGUGACAGUCAAUCCAUCUGAAGGAGAACGAUAUUUCCUUCGUGUUCUUCUGAAUCAUAUUAGAGGUCCAACAUUAUUUGACAGUUUUAAAACUUUAAAUGGAGUAACUGUUAAUAUAUAUCAAGAAGCAGCACUUUUACAUGAUUUGUUAAAAGGGGAUAAUCAUUGUGAAGAAUAUCUAUCCGAAGCUAUUAUUUACAAAAUUCCUAAUUCUUUAAGACGCCUUUUUGCAACACUUCUUACACUUUGCAGCCCUAAUCAUCCAAAGCUAUUGUGGGAUAAAUAUAAAGCCUAUAUGAUUGAUGAUUAUGUACAUCGAAACAUAUCUGUUGAAGAUGAUGAAGUCCAAGCUAUGGAAGACAUCAAUUCUAUAUUAGAAUCAUUAGGUAAAAACGUAAAUGAUUACGGAAUAGUUUCAUUCUUCGUAAAUAUAGAUGAGACUCAAAUAUUGACGAGAAUGGUUGCAGAGGAAACAAUCAAUUUCAAUAUUGAACGAGGCUUCAAUUAUGUAGAGCAAUUUAAUAAAGAACAAUGAUUUGCAUAUGAUAUAGUUAUAAAAAAAUAAAAAAUGAAUCAAGUGGUACUUUCUUUAUUGAUGGUCCAGGGGGAACAGUGAAGACUUUUUUUUAUACAAAGCUCUUAUAAUUAGUGUAAGAAGUCAAAAUUUCAUUGCUUUGGCAACAGCGUCCUUUGGAGUCGCUGCAUCUUUGUUACCUGGAAGUCGCACAGCUCAUUCGAGAUUUGAAAUUCCUUUGGAAACAGUUGGUGAAGUGAACUGCUCUGUUAGCAAGCAAUCAGCUUUAGGAAUGUUGUUGAAAAUGUCUAGGUUAAUAAUUUGGGAUGAAGCACCUAUGGUAAAUCGUUGUGUUAUUGAAGCUGUAAACAGAAUGAUUAAAGAUAUUACUGAUUAUAACUUGCCUUUUGGUGGGAAAGUGAUAGUUUUUGGAGAGGAUUUUCGACAAGUUCUACCAGUGGUGCCGAAAGGGAAAAAAGAAGAUGUAAUGAAAGCUAGCUCGGUUUUUUCAGACCUAUGGCCUUCCUAUUUACAUUUACCAUUGGUUGAGAAUAUGAGAGCAAAGUUAGAUCCUAUGUUCUGUACUUACUUACUUAGAAUUGGAGAUGGAACAAAAGAAGAAAAUACUUGUAAGUGCGUUAUACUUCCGAAUAGUAUAAUUCUAUCAUUUGAAGAUGAAAUCACAUCUUUAAAAAUUUUGAUACAUCAUGUUUUUCCUAAUAUACAAACAUAUGCUGACAAUCUACAUGAUAUGGUAAAUAGAGUUAUUCUAACGCCUACGAAUGAAUGUGUUGAUUAUAUUAAUAGGAUCUUACUUGAACAAAUUCCCAGUGAAAUUUUUACAUGCUACAGUUUUGAUGAAACAAUUGAUAAUCAAAACAAAGCUUGCAAGAAGAUUUAUUGAAUACUUUAAUACCAAAUGGUAUUCCACCGCAUGAAUUGAAACUUAAGAUAAAUUGUCCUGUAAUGUUACUGCGGAAUAUCAAUCCUUCUGAAGGGUUAUGCAAUGGAACACGCCUUACUUGUCAAAAAUUUGAGAAAAAUGUUAUUUUAGCUGAAAUUACAACUAGUGAAUAUUGUGGAAAAUAUGUUUUCUUACCAAGGGUCCCUUUUAUACCUCUUCGAAGUGAUAGAAACUCAAUUCAAUUUUAGAGAACUCAAUUCCUGAUUAGACCAUGUUUUGCGAUAACUAUAAAUAAAGCACAAGGUCAAACACUUAAUUUUGUCAGUCUAUAUCUUCCAAAAUCGGUUUUCUGCUAUGGUCAGCUAUAUGUAGCAUUAUCAAGAGCAAAAUGAGUACAUCUCUAAAAGUUCUAUUGAAACCAUCAAGCAUAGACAAUUCUCAUAAUACAUGUACUAAAAAUGUUGUGUACAAAGAAGUUCUUUCUUUUAUACAUUGACAGGUAUAUUUUUUUUUUUCAUUCAAAAAUUUUUAUAAUGAUUUCCUCAAAAUUUUAAUUGCAUGCAAAAAUAUGACGUUACUAUUUUUUCAUUCUUUACAUUUGCUAUAAAAAAAAUUUACAGGUUCUAUGAGUGGGAUUCAAAAGUUCUUUUCAAUUCUUUGCUACAUGUGUACAAUGGAAUCCUUAAUGACAACUUCAAAUAAAACUCAAGUUUGCAGAAAGUAUAAUUUUGAUUUGUUAGUGUUAAAAUACUUUGCUAGAUUGGUAACCAAUUUUUUUAGUGGAAUGUGGAAAUAGAAUGUCAUUUCUCUAUUUUUAGAAUAGAUUUACCUUCAAAAGUUUCACACUUUAAUGAAUAUGAAUUUUCACAUAAAUAUUCUUCAUCAGUUAUUGAAAACUAAUUAUCUUGACUAAUGCCAAUAAAGGCACUGAAAACAAACAUUGAAAUAAUAAAAAGGAAUUCGAGAAUCUAGCUUAAUUGAAAAUUCAUCUCAGCUAAACACUCAAUCAAUUGACUUACUGUUUGAUUUAGAAGAAAGCGUAGAUUUGUCUUCUAUUUUCCGGAUUUUUUAAUUGCAGAUGAUUAUUAUUUAGAAAAUUUAUUCUUGGCAAAUUAUGAUAUCAUACAUUUAUCAAAAAAUUGUUACAUCUUUCGACUUCUAAGUAACAAUUAAAGGAGAUUAAGAGCAUCCUUAGCCUUGCUUAAAAAUACAUGAAAAAAGUAUUUUCAAACAUAUUUGGAUAAGUUACUCUCGUUUAAUCUUAAGUAAAAGUUACUUACUGUGAAAAUAACUCACUUUACUAGCAAAAUAGGAAAGUUAAUUCUAAUUUUGAUUAAUUAAAGAACUACUUGUUUACUCAAAAGUACACCUUUUAUAUAGCCAACCAUGUUGAACUCAGUUUAUGUAUGAACUUUGCUGUUGAUAAUUACAUUUAGAAUUUAACAACUGAGUUUAUUGGUUGAGCAAGCAACUUUUAGUCUUUUAUGAGGUUGAGGUACUAUCCUUAAAGAAAGCAAUGCUACUAUUUAAAAUUGAGAUAAAUCUCUAUAUCGGCAUUCUAAUCAAUACAAUGAUGCUGACUACUAUUGUCAACUGUCACUUGAGUGCAUAACAUGAAUUAUUUCUAGGACCAUAUGAAUUAAUGUUAGUUUUAUUAGCAUUAUAUGUUUUAUUUGAUCAUUUCCACUACUUUUGGUGAUUGAUUCCUUAUUUAAUAAACUCUGCUAGGUGAUCAGCUAGCAAUAGCAAAGAAAACAUGGCACGGUUUGGGAAUGGGUGCCAACAAAAUGUAUCCUUCAUCUUCUUUACUAAGAAAUAACAAAGAUAAGUCAAUUGUUGUAUUGCCCGUUGAUGAGCUGAUUGGAAAGGUUGAAAACUCUGUUAGUGUGUGCAAUCUCUCAUUACAUAAUAUCUUUACAUGGAUACUGGUUAAACUAAAAAUUACAUAUAUUUUAUUUUUGAAUUUGUCUUUGGAAAAUUCUGCAUGUCUGGCUUUAAACGCGAUGAUCACACUUUUCUCAUUUUCAUAAGAAUCUUUAAAGUGAUAUUCAAUUAUUGUAUUGCAUUUUCUUGGCAUUUUGAUUUAUUAGAUAAUAUAUUACUUUUUAUUUUCCAAUAAACUUGCUUCCUUAUUUAAUGAAUACAUAUGUAUAUUUGGAUACACAGCACAAAUAUGAAUUGUUAAAUCAACUACUUUUUCAUUCUUUCAAAUAGUUAAUUUAAGCAUCAAUGCUCUUGUACAAAGCCUUAUUGUUGUUGUACUUGCUAUUAAAACUAAACUUUAUAUAAAAUCUAAAAAAAUUCCGCAACAAUUCAAGUUUUUUAUAUUUUGAAUCACCAACUGAAUUAUAAUCUAAAUUAAUAUACUUCAAUCAUGACGACUCUAAUAAAACUGACUUGCUAAUUAGUUAUUUAUGUUUGCAUUUAGGUGACUGAGGGCAAUGACAAAUUUUUUUAAGGAUUUGAUCAAGCUAAUGUGAAGUUGUAAAGCAUGGUUUAAUAGGGAAUUGAGUUCUUUUCAAUGGAAUUGAUAUAUAUAUAUAUAUAUAUAUAUAUAUAUAUACAUAUUGAUUUAUAUAGCAUUUUUCUUUGAGAUGUUAUAUAGUUUUAAUCUAUUAUUUUUUAUUUUUUCUACGUGUACAAUUAGCUUUUUAGGUUAGUUGAAUUAUUUCAACUUAAAGCUUUGGUUAAAAAUAAUGUUUUCAUUUACUCCACUAAAUUUUUUUUCUUCAUUAGCAGACAUUAUCAACACAGAUGUCGCUGAGCUCGGAUGUUUAGUAAUAUUUAGUGAGUUGUUUAAAUCUUUAGAUAUAUGUGUUAAUAGUUUCACAUAUCUCGUAGCGUAUCUUAAUUUUAUUAUAUUCAAAGACCAUUUCACUUUCAUUAACUAUUUUGGUGAAAUAAUCAUAGUUAAAAUAUGACGACUUCAAAUAAUAUACACUUCACACUAAUUUCAUUCUUCUUUUUGUAUUUAUUUGUGUUUUACUUGAUAUUCGUCUACAUUUAAAUUCUCUAAGAACAAUAGCAAAAAACUAAACCCUAAUUGCUUUUCUAAAAAUAAGUUUCUAAACUUGAUAAAUUGUCAAGAUUAAAUCAUUACACGUCUCCAUCAUUAAGCUUUUAGAUAAGUUUCUUUUGUGUUUAAGGUUGGUUCUACAAUUUAGAAUUUUUUCCACGAUGACUGAAAUGAAAAUUUAUUAGUGAAAUGAUGAAAUUGUUUUCACACUGUAAAGUUUCAAUUCAAACUUCCAGUUUUUUAUUCAUGCAUGCUGCUUAUAUUGGUUUUAACUAAUGACAGCAUGUACUAGAGAGGGGAAAACCUCAUGAAAGAAACCAAAUUAUUAGUACAAGAACUAGAUCUAUAGUACAACUGAGCCAGCAUAAAUUUACUUCAAAUGUUGUUGAAAAAUGUCUACAGUGUGGUGAUUCAACUGCAAGGGAGAUGCUGAUAAAGAAUAUUAUUGGGCAUGAUGAUAAAAACGAUAAUUUAUUGGUAAGUCUAUCUAAAGCUUGGUGUUAACCAUUUGUUGAAUUCAUGUGGUUCCUGUUGCUAAGUGGAAAAUGCAUUGGUAGAUCAGGUAUUACUGAUUUGGUGUUCUCAGUUAAUAAACAAGCAUUAGAAUUAGUAUGCAUGUCGUUAUUUAUGAUGUUAGUCUUCAACAUUUUGUCAUAUUCUAUCGUGGUUUACCUGUACUUAUCCUUUAUUUGGUGCAUGAGCACAUGUAUGCAUCAGGUCACAUUAAUAUGCUUUAUCAUAUUAUCAAUUAAAAUAUGUAUUACAUAUUGAAGAUAUUUAUUAUUUUGUGUUUGAAGAUUAAAAGCUUAUGUGAGAAAACUAAAGAGGUAAUAAUGAAGGAAAGUAUACAAAUUUCUAUUAUCUUUCUACUAUUAUUUUUGUUGAACAUUAAAACUUGUGUAUUGGCCUAAAACACACUAUAAACGCUACUCAAGUGUUUAAUAUUUCAUGCUAUAGAAUAGCUACUAUAGUUAAUAUUUAGAAGAUAUGAAUUGUUGAAGAUUAAAUAUUUUUUUUUUCUUUUAAAAAGUAUAUUAGGUCUACCUAGAAAGCCUUUUGCUUUUGUUUCAGAAGUGAUAAGGAGCUCUAAUUAUGUAUUUGAAGACAAGAUUAUGCAGUAAAUUUUAAACUCAUGUUUUACUUCUCUUAUGCUCAAGUAUAUUUAAAUAUUUUCUUUUUUUUUUUUAUCACAGGAUAAGUCCAGCAAAACUUCUCAACAUGAAAGGGGACAGACAUAAUAGUAAAAAGUCUGGAUGCCUUAAAGAAAUAUAUUUAAUUUUAUAAAAUUUCUUUUUAUACUUUUUAAGUAUAUAAAAGCGUUUCUUUAGCUGUAACAUAAAAGAUUAUCUUUCUAUGAAAGAGUAUUGUUAAAUACUCAAUAAGUAUCAUUUUGUUCUUUUACAAGUUUUGGUAUUAUGAUAUACAAUUUAUUUUUCCUCCUAAGUUAGACUUUUUUUCAUACAAGAACUAAAGUUGUAAAAUAAGAAUCUAAUCAUAGUAUGCUUUGUUAUAUUUUCCAACUUUCUGGCUUCCGGAGUUUUCUAUUUAGUCUUUCACUUAAUUAAAAGCUAAUGCAUCUCAUACAAUUCAUACAUUUUUCGACCAUAAAUUGAAUUUUCUUCUUAGUAAUGUAAUAAAUGAACACGAUAAUUCUUCAAAAGACAUCAAUCCAAGAGAAAAUAAAAGAAAAAGGACAAACAAUAACGAUAGUAUUAAUUAACCUGAUAAGACCUAUGAUAAUAUAGGUUAAGAUGCUUGACUAGAAUAUCCCCACAGGUUCCUUAAUAAAGUUCCUUAAUAAAUUUCUUGUGCAUAAAGCACUCGUAUUUGAAACAUAUGGAUUAACAAUCCUUCUUUUAAUUUGUAAAUCUAACACCAUUUAUUAAAUUUUAGCAAAUUGUAAAGUGAUAUUUUUUAAAAUGAACACGUGCACCAGUAAAAAACUAACACAGAAAAAUACCAACUUCCCAUAAAAUGCUUUUCAACUCUACAUAUAUAUCUACGCGAUGAUAAAAAAUAGUACCAACUUUCCACGCAAAACUUUUAAACACAAAACCAUCAUCAAAAUUUUCUUUUAGCUUAAUUCUCAUCCACACAAAAAGAUAUUUUAUAGCACCAAGUGUAUGGUUGCAAAUUAAAACAACGAUUCUUCUACCGCAUGUUCUAUUAAUAUCUUCUUUCGACUAACUAUUUUAUAGUACCUUCACUUUCUCCUUCAACAUCAAAAUUCUACAACAGUAUCAUAAACAUUACACUCUUCAACUGCAACUACCAAAGUUUAAAAACUCCAUUUUCAUUUUAUUAUUGGUAAGUUUUGCACGUUACUACCAUUUUACUAUAAUUAUUUUUUAAUCGAAAAGAAGAACGUUAGAUUAUUCGAUAAAUUUUUUUUAGAAUUAGAAAUAUUAAUAGAAUUUUUUUACAACAAAUUUAACGUAACAUUGACAAUCGUAGCUAUCUGUGUUAUAACUUCUUCUUCACAUAAUCAUAGGAUAUCAAAAAUGGCCACAUUUUAUAAAAUUAUCCCACAGAUUUCCACUUUUGAGAAGAAUUGGACUGCAAAAAUCAUAGUUACGGGAAAACAAGCACCUAAAACUGCUCGAAAUACCGUUAGCCGCUACCAAAAUCUUCUCUUAAUGGAUUUUGAGGUAAAUAUAUAUUCAUAACUAUUAAAAUCUUCUCAUUUCUGUUCUAAAUAUUAGUUUUGCUAAUAUAUUUAUAUUGAACUUGUUUUCACGUUUGAACAGGGUAACAAAGUUACUGCCAUUAUCUAUGAUGCAAAUAUUACAGCCCUUGCAGAUGAGCAAACACUAGGGAAAACAUACAUGUUAUCAAAUGCAACUGUGAAAGACAACGGAAAUGAGUUCAAAGGCUCACUUCAAGACAAAAUUUGGACCAUAACAGCAAAAACAAAGAUAGAAGAACUUAAUGAGGAUAAUUUAAACGUUCUCUUCUUGAGAUAUGAACUCACCGCAUUCAACAAACUAGAACGAUACAUGGAUAGUAAUGCAGAGAUAAGUAUGAUUAAAAACACACUAACUUAUAGCCAAUAUAAAUUUAGUUAACAUUUUAUAAUCGUUCUAUUUAUAUUCAUUUUAUCAUAUACAAAAUAUGAUAUCAACACAAAUUCCUUGUUACAGGUAUUAUAGGCAUCGCUAUAGAAGUUCGUCAAAAAAGAAUUAUCCAAACCCAGUUUGGCACACAAGCAUGUCUUCAAGAUGUUGUGCUUAUAGAUAAAUCUUUCGAAACGGUCAUAUUAACGCUGUGGGACACUUUUGUUGAAAAUGAUUGUGUUACAAUAAUUGAUAACAUCGGAAGCAAACCAAUCAUAUGGGCGACUAAUUUAAAGGUUUCUUCAUACAACGGUAAAAAAAUAGAAAUAUAAUAUUUCCUUUACAUUUAUAUUUUAAGUAAAAUAAACACUAACUUUAUUAUUGAAAUUUUUUUUAGGAGUUAUGCUUUCUACAAAAGUCAACGACACUUUUUUCAUUAAUCCUGGAAUUGUAGCUGUCACAGACUACAAAGAAUGGUUAUCAAGCAGAACUAAGAAAUUUCUUCAAUUUUCCUAACUUCAUAAAUAUCAUUUACAGUAGUAAAUCUCACACUUAAUUGUUUGCUUUAUUUAUGCAGGAUUGAAACAAACAAAGAAAAGCUUGACAAGCUAAUCGAAGAUAAGCCAUCUAUUGCAGUGACGCCACCCAAAAUUUCACCUCCACACGAAAAUAAAUUCACACCAAUUGCCGACUUACAAGGAGUCCAUUUGGGAGUAAUUUCAAAAACGUUUAAUUAAAUAUAUAUAUAUAUAUAUAUAUAUAUAUAUAUAUAUAUAAUGUUCUUUGACCAAUGCUAAAAAAAUCUACAAUUUUUCUUAUUACUAUAUUUCUCAUCUAACCACGUAGAAACGUUUCGUAUGCAGAAAAAAUUCUAUUGGGUCAAAGUGCAAUGAAAAUUACUUCAAUGAACCAAAGGUUUUGGUAUAUGGCAUGUAGAAAUUGUAAGAAAACGUCAAGUGCAGACUUGGGACAAAUUCAUAAGUGUCGUUUCUGCAAAUUUGAACAUGCAAAAGCAAUACCAAGGUAACAUGUACCUCUAAACCUAUAUUUAACUAUUUAUUGAAAACAACACUUUUUUCAACAAAACUUAGUAUGUAAUUUAAUUUACUUCACUUUAUAGGGUAGCUGCUUUUGUACAUAUUGAAGACAAAUCUGGAGGCUUGGAUGCAACCAUGAUAGGAGAAACGACAUAAACUUUACUGAAAGCAAGUGCCAUCGAAAUUAUGAACCAUUUUGAAAAGGUUAACUCCAAAUACUACUAAAUUUUUAGUAAUUAUUUCCAUAUACUUCAACACAUUACACUUGAGUACAAUUUGAAUAUUCCAGGAUGUGGAUACACAACUAAAAGAUCUCAUAAGAGUUGAGAACGAACAAGAACAGCUUUUUUUACCUAAAAGUAACACCAAAAAGCCAAAACCCACCUGAAUACUGAUAUGAAAUUAUCUUCAUAUUCAACUCUUCAACAACGACUGACGUUGAUUCUUCAAAUACAAUCAUGGAAUUGGAUUCUUCUCCUGCAACGACUGACGAUAGUUCGAACAAAACGUCUACAAAAAGUAAAGAGAAGAUGUACAUGACAGACAAUCAAGAUUCUACAAACACCGAUGAAGUACCUACACCAAAUGCAAAGAGGGCUCUCUUUCAAACUCGAGACCAAAAAACCGAAAUUCGUUCCAAGAAGAAAAUGAAGACUGAUGAACACGUUGAAGAUACUGAUGUCCUUAGCUCUAGAUAAACCUCAACUCGAAAGAUUCACAUUCGUUUUGUUUUGGGAUAGUAGGCAAUCUAACUGUGGCCACUUCUGUGAUUCUACAAGCAACCUAAUCUAUAAAUCUCCAGUAGACUAAUGAGUCUUCGGUUAGAUUCAAUUAUAUGAUUUUGGGUUUCCAAACAGAACAGGUUGCUUUAAAUAUUUUGGUAUCUUUUUGUUGUUAGAAAUGUAAAUACUCACUCUGAAAUCACAAAAUUGUACUCGUACCGUGGUUGACACUAAUAGAUAAAACUUCUUUUGCUAUCAAUAAAGAAUAGUCUUCUAAAAUACAUAUUUUACUUUAUUUAUUAGUUAAACAUUAACUCCUCCUCAAUUCCACUUAAUCGAAUACAUAUCUCAAAACACAAGUUCAAUAUACUUGCAUUUUCCAUUUUGUAAUUUUUCAAAUUAAUUUUAUAUGUAUACGUUUUUUUUUUUUUUUACUUCCAAUAGAGUUUACUUAGCUUUCAAAUAAGUUUUUAAACAAACUGUUUCAUUUAUAUAGUUAAUUAUCUCGUUCAGUAAAUAUUCCCAUAAACUUACAUCGACAAUUACGUAUAACUUUCCUCUUUAUGCAAACUCUCUCUUUUAUUUUUUUUAAAAAAAACUAAAUAAUUUAACGAAAUCAAGAACAAAAAGAAAAUAAUUGUAAGUAGCAAAAAAAAAAAAAAAGGUUCUCCUAAUUUUUUUUUAUUAAUUGAGUUAAUUAAAAUUAAAAAUCAAAAUAAUAAUAAUAAUAAAUCAAACAAUUUGAAUUUACACACUCCAACUACUAAUAUUUACUUACCAACUAUCAAUAUUACUUACCAACAUAUCUACCGACAUCUAUCUACCAAAAUAAACAAAUCAAAACAAUUUGCAUUUUGAAUAUUUAUUUCAUUUUUUCUAUAUGAAAUUCAGACAUAAAAGCAAAAGAAUGACUAUAUUUUCUUGCAAAUGUUUUGAAAUCCACACAGCUAAGUUCUUUAUAAGUAAAUAAAUUAUGCAGCUGCAUUAGUAAGUCAAAUAUAAAAAGCUUAAUUUGUCAUAAUUUUCCUCUUGAUUGUUUUUUCAUUUUCUUUUAACUGCAUGCUUGUAAAAAAACGAAAUUCACUUAUGCUUUAUUUUCAAAUAUGGAUAUCUAAUUCAUCAAGAAAAGACAACGUCAGGAUGAAAGGAAGAACCAAUUUCAUUGAUCUAAAUGAUUUUACAUAGAAAGAAUUAUAUAUUACGAUAAUUCACAACAGGAUACAUAUUACAUUCAACCGUUUAACCACUUAUAUCCUAUUGUUUUACUAUAAAUAAAAAAUAGUCAACUUAAAUACAUAUUUCGGUUUGUCUAUUACUUAAACAUAGUUUCCUCUUCAAUUCUACGUAUCUCAAAACACAAGUUCAAUAUACUCACAUUUUUCAUUUUGUAAUUAUUCAACAAAGUCUACUUACCUAGCUUUUAAAUAAACUUUUAAACAAAUUUUUUAAUUUAUACAGUCAAUUAUUUCAUUCAGUAAAUAUUCCCAUAAACUUAAAUCAACAACUACGUAUAACUUUUCAUGCAAACUCUCUCUUCUACAUAUAUAGCUAAAGAAAAAAACAAAAAUGAUUUAACAAAAUCGAGAACAAAAAGAAAAUAACUCAUAACUGAAAAACACCCAAAAAAACAUUCUCCCUAAUUAAAAUUAAAAACUAGAAAAAAAAAUAAAUGAAACAAUUUACAUUUAUACAUUUCAACUACCGACAUUUACUUAUCAACAUCUAUCUACCAACAUUCAUAAUACUAUCCAAAACCUACCUACCCACAUUCAAUCAUUUAACCAUCCUUUCACGACACAUUUCACACAUUUCAUACAGAAACACAUUUGUUCAACUUUCAAAGUUUUCAAAAGCAAACAAAGUUGAACCACCAAAAAAGGUAAUCUUCUUUCCAAUAAAAAUAGAUUUCGAAUAUAUUUAUCGUAUAGAGAAUAUGUAUUUACCAAUACUAUUACAUUAGGAAAAUCAUGCAAAAUGCAAAAAAGGUUUUUAUAGAUCACUAUUAAAGUUUUUUGCCAGUUCAAACUCAAUCUUGCAGUGUUCAAGUAACAAGUUUUACAGUAUUUUAAUUCUAAGAUAGGCAUGUUGACUUGUUUAUUUUUUUUUUAUCAAAAUGUUUUUUAGGUUAACAUUAUUCUGAAUAAUUUAUCCUUGUGUACAUAAUAAUAGAUGGAUUAUUAAUGUGAUAUUUUGACGAAAAUAGUCCGCGCAGUGUGGAAUCAGUUGCUUCCGCACUGCACGGAGCGGUUCGGACAGUGUGACUCCGCGGAGAGUGCUCAAUGUUUUUUUUUUAAUUUUAAUUUUUCUACGUAUUUUUGGUAAUUUUGCCAUAACUUUUGCUACGGUUAUCAGAAUCGCGCUCAUGACCCCAAUUCGAAAAGCUCUUUUCGACGCGCACAUCCUAGCCACCUAGUUUCAUCGGGUGGGCAUCAUUUUCGAGGUCAGAAUCUGUUAUUUUUCCUUUCAAAUCGCCAAUUAUAGUUAUUCUCUUACUUUCUAUCGUUCUAAAUAUUUUUAAAAAAAUUUUGACUUCAUACACUUUUUAUAAAAAAAAUGAUGUAAACUGUAUUAAGAAAAUUAUCUCGUGAAAAUAAUAAAAAAUAAUUGAUUUUUUAAGGAAAAAACGAGUUAUAUGCAUUUUUUAACACACACGUUUGAUAUACAUUUAACUAUUUUCGAUAUUCAUUUAAAUCAUUCGAUGUGUCUAUGAUAUAAUUUUCGAAAUGAGUUUUGAGAGAAUAUAAAAUAUUUAUGGAUUCGACUACCAAACAAUUUUCGAUAAAUUUUUAAAGUUAGCUUGUUAUCGAAAUUUUUAAUUUUUUAAAUGAUGUCUCUUUUUACAUUAAAAAUAAUUUAAAAGUUUAUCAUGAAAUUUUCUAAACCACGUAAAAAAAUUUAUCAGAUUAUUUACAAAAUUAAUUUUGUAGUAGUAGUGAUAUAUUAAUUAAGUUGAAAAAUUAAAAUAGAAUUGAAGGAUAAAAUGGAAAAAUGGAAAUACUUUACAAAUGAACAGUAAUAACAUAUUCAUUCUUACAGUGUAGGAAUAGAGAAAGGUAGGGAAAGUAAAUACAAAAACCACUGAAUUGCAUCAAAUUCAUUAUAUAUUGUUUGAAUUUUAAUUAUAUAAAUUUAUUUAUUUUGUUCGAAAGUAUUGAAAUGAUUAUUAUAUAAUUUUGUUCUUGUAUGUCGACAGAGAAUUUUUUUUAUUCAUUUCUGUAAUUGACUUUACUUAUUUUUAUAGUUAUAUUUUGUUUUUUUUAAUAUUAUUUUUUACAAUUAUUUUUCUCCGCUCAAUAUUGACUUAUUCCAAUUUCAUAAAUUCUUAUAUAACAUUUUCUUCAAAUAUAUUGCGUAAUUAUUAAAGUUCACAAAUUUUAUUUAUUUAAACUGUAUAUUAAUCAUAGUGCAAAUUAUAUUGUUUCCAUCUAUAUAUUGUACUAUUAAGUUUCAAAUAUGAAAAUGUGAGUAGCUAUCAUUUCCAUUACAAUACAUGUAUAGUUUCAGAUCAACGACAAAAAACAAUGCUUCAAGUAGUAUAGAUAUAAUCUUAAAUUUAUUUUUAAUAAAGUUGUAGUACGUAAAAUAUCAUUCAUCAUAACAAAAAAAAUUUGUCAGCUUCUAAACAAUUAUGUUAGAUUAGUAUAUGAAUUAAUUUGUUGACUAAUGAAUAGUUUUUUUUUUUAAUAAUUUUUGCAAAUGUCGUUAGAAUACAUAUUAUCUCCAAAUCAAUGGUUCUCUACUACGAUUACUCAAUUUGCAAAUCAUCAAUAUCUUAAAGAUUUUGUAGAACUUAUAGAUGCUGAUGAUCAAGCUUCAUUAUUGUGCAGUCCAUUCCAUGGAUUCAUUUGCAGAAGUAUGUAUAAAAAGCAAAAUGAAAAAUUUAGCAGCAAAUUAAUACAUGAGUUCAUAAUGAGACUUAUAAACUGCGGUAAAAAUAACGAAGUUUGGGUACAAUUACACGAUCAUGGAGCCCGUUUUGGCCUACAAGAAUUUUGUCUAAUCACUAGAUUACCAUACCAUGAAGUUACUGUUGAUCUCAAUUUUCGUAAUACUCGACUUAGAUUCGAGAAUGAAUGUGUUCAUUGGUAUACAAUUAUAAAAGGAGGAGCUGCCCAGUGUGCAAGUAAUUUGAAUGCAUUACAACAAUACAUAAAAGGAGAAUUACUUAUAUAUGCUCGUCCGUGGAUAACAUACAACUAUUUAUUGAUUCUAUUCGCAUAUCCAGGCAACACUUGGUUUCUUUUUCUUGUCGACUUUCAAAAGUGGAAAUUUCUUGUAUAUGAUUGCAGCCACAACAUUCAUACACCGGACGCAAUUAAAUUACGUGCAGAACCAAUUUUGACUGUAGUACAAUCAUUAUUGGUAUUUACAGACAUUUUCUUCGACAAACCAACUUUAAGAAAACAUAGAAAUAAGCAUAUGAAAUUGGAAAUCAUACCGCAUCUAUCUUGUCAAAAUAAUGGGUAAGUAUCUCAACAAUUUACUGUAAUAUUUAAUUUUCCAUUUAAUUCUAUUUUACAUUUACAACAUUAACAUAAACUAACUUCAAAUUAUUUUUUCUAUAGGCCAAAUUCUGGAGUUUUCCUUCUCAAAUACAUUGAAUGCUUCGUUUUCGGAUAUCCAUUAGAAGCAGUUUCGCCAGAGAAGAUAUGUUUAUACAGAUGAAAGAUUGUCACGGAUAUCUAUCACAAUGAAUAUUUUUUACGUCCAUGUUUGUCCUAAUCAUAACAAAUUAUGAAAAUUCAGUAAAAUUAUUAAAAUACAGUAAGAUUCUUGUAUCAAAAUUCAAUCUAUAAUUUUGUAUUCAUAGCUUCAAAAUUAUUUAUUUUAAAUAUUUCUAUACAUUGGAAUAAAUGUAGGUUCUUCGGUGGCAAAUAUGAGACACUACUUAACAAGAGAGAUUUCAAAGUAUCGCAGUAACAUUUUGUUCUGGACAUGAUGAUUUUUUAUGCUGGACACUAAAAACAAGAUAUAUCAGUUCAACGGUGCAAGCUCCAAUAUUCACGAAAGGGCCAACGCAUUAGAAGUAAUUCAGUUUUUAUAAGUGAAAUAUCAUGAAGGGACGUGUGAUGUUGCAAUUGUAAGUAAGAACUCUUUUAGUUGCUAUGGCUGUAAUUCUAUUUUCUUUUAUACAGUUGUCUUUUUAUAGAUGCUACUUCUAUAUUUAUUUUAAUAUCUAUAAAUAUUGUUCCACACUUUGAUGAUGGAAAAUUACAAGUUGAGUCAGAUUCUGGUGAACUCUGGGUCUUCUUUGAUGGUUUGCUCCAAUUGGCAAAAAUGUUGCUACAAAAAAUGAUAUUAUUCCUGAAAACACUCCAACAAAAUUUUAUUGGUAAUUAUUCUUGUUUAAUUUUAUCGUUUUCUUUUACGAUAGGGCUAUUGCUCAUAUUGCAAAUGUUACCGAGUUUAUGCUAAUCAAUAAUGGUUUACUAAAUUGAAUCAGCAUGAUGAAGUUGUUCUGCUUUGUUUACUUUGCCCUAUCAAUCAAGCCUACAAAAUAAUAUUGGAUUAAUCAUUUUUAGGGAAAAUGAGUUUUUCAAUCACACACCAUUCGGUUAUAUAGAAUUCACAAAAGUACAUUAAAAUAAGAGAUUUGAAGUUGUUUGCUUUUUAACCAAUAGUUUGACUGAUGUGCGUUUUACAUGCCUUUUCUUAUUUUUAAAUUAUGUUCUCAAUACACACACAUCUUAGUGACUAAUCUUAGUGACUGUCCUUCAUUUUUAUCAGCAUUAGUAUGGCAAAGUCUAAAUUGUACAUAGCGAACUUUCCAUGUCACUUCUGAAAAAUAAUAAAUGUUAUUUAAUGAAUUAUCGUGCUGAAGUAUUUGUUUGGCACUCAAUGCCCCCAUUUAAUAUCAGGUCUGAUGAUACACAACUAUUUCGGCAGACGCGUUUAUAUGAAUUUUUUGGGAUACAUUGUGGUUUAUGUUUAUUGAAAUAGCAAUGUUGCUUUCAUUGAAAUUCUUCGAAGUGAUCAUCGAUAUUAUUUAAACAUUUUUUUUGCAUGUAUUUAAUGUUGGUAGUCCUUGUAGCAGACUUGUGGAUACAAACUCUGUAUUGGGCCAUGUACUACAAGAUGAGCGGUAAAUUAAUCUUUUCUUAAUUUGUUUGAAGAGAACCAUAGCCUCAAUCUUAUGCUUUCUAUAAUAGAUGUGAUCUUAUGAUACAACAACUUCCAAUAGUAUAAUAAAUUCCAAUGUACAUUAGGUGUUAAAUCUGACAUUUCUUGCAUAUUAACCAGUAUCAUAAGAUAUUAUGACCUAGAGAACAUAGCAACCUCUGAUUUUUUGCUUUAUUCCACUAAUGUAUCUCUACAUCAGUUUAUUAUUUGAUUGUUGAAGUGAAAUUUCUCAUGUUCAUAUGUUCGUCUCUAAUUUUCUUGUAAUGCUUCAAUAGCUAUGGCAACGACAUCAGCAAGUAUCAGUUAUAUAUGGAUAUGUUGGUAGAGUGUAGGAGAAACUCCAGUUCUAUGAUGAGCUCCUAAGUUUGGUAUCUCUAGCUCAUAAGCUCUGAUACAACAAUUGUGCUCUAAUUUCCAGUGAAUCUUUUUAAACUAUAAUUGGGUAUUCUUGUCGGUGGACAUCGUUACCAUUGAACAUCUUAAGGAUACUUUUUCAGUAAAUAAUGGUUUGAAAAUGCAAACAUGGUACAGAUGUAUUUUCUUAAUUGCUUCAAAUGGAUAUGGCCUAAUUUUAGCAUUUUAUUAGUGUAAUGCGUAUUAAUGUUACGUUGAUAUAUUCUAUAAUCACGAACCGGAGCAUGUUCUAUCCUUCUUGAAUUACACUUACACUUGUUUGUAGUACAAGAUCUGCAACGUACUAUUAUUGCUUACCAUGUUGUGAAAGUUAUAUAUGCUUUAUAUUAGUAAUUAUUAAAAUCCUUCUUAACUUAAUGCCUUGAUGAUAGAUUGUGAUAUCGUAACUUAUUAAAUUUUUGUUAAUAGUAGCUCUAAAAAUGAAAUCUGGCUUAUAGCCUCCUUAAUUGUUUUAGAUCUGGCUUCAUUUAGAAUUAUUUAGCACUCUUUAAUUGAAAAUGGGUAUAAUUUUCGAACCUUUGAUUUAAAAUGAUGAUGAAUUUCUAGCUUUACUGUCUGCCAAGUACCAUUCUUGUUUUCCAUAAGUGUCACCAUACAAACAAUUUUGUCAUGGAAACGUGGAAAAAGCUGAAAGUGGAAGCUAGAAGUGGAAACAUGGAUGUAUCCAUCCAUCAUUCACAAAGCCUAGGCAUAUUUUCAUAAAUCUCAACCUUCUUUGAACAUUUGAAGUGCUUACAAUUUUUCGUGGAACCUUUAAAAGUAUUGAAACGACAAAUGCAAUGCAAUAUUUUGUUACGCUAAUAUUACCUUAAAAAUAAUAUCGCCUGUGCAUCGCAUGGGCAAUAGACUAGUAUGUAUAAAAAUCCAUCUCCUUCAAAUGUUACAAAAAUUGCUAUUUAUAGUGAUCAUGCCGACGUGAUCAUCGUUGGUUCAAAUCCACGUGGUCUUAUCUGCUAAACCCAGGUCUCACAUCAUCAUAUCUCACAUUAAUUAUACUGACAGACAUUUGACAAGGGAUCAACUGCUCUACACUCCUAGGCUGGCAUUCUUAAUAUCUAUUUAAUGAGGACAUCACAUCAAUCAUUCUUAAAGAUAUACUUAUCAAACCUACUCUUGAGAACCAUGGACCACAGGUGUGAACGAGUUCAGCAAAAGGCAGAAAAGCGCUUUGACCAAAUGAUGACAAUACUUCAACAAUAGUGCCUCUGCCAAUAUCCCUUUCUUUUUUCUUAAUUGACUACUACGUGUAUGCACGCAGUACUUCUACAUGGCCCCAUUGGAAGCAUUACAUGUGGUCAAGGAUUAAAUGUUGUGUUGGGAUUGUCACCCAAUCAAAGCAAUAUUCAGAAAACUAAACCCACGAAAACAGUAAAUAAUCAACAAAAAGAAAUUGGUCAUCUAGUUCGACUACUCGAGAGGCUCAAAGGUAAGAGUCCAUCACUAUGUGCAAGAUUCUCCCAAGAGUUUUAAGAUUAGAGAACAACAAUCAGAUUAUUGACUCAAUAAAUAGAUCAUCAAUCUACAACAAAUCUCACAAUAACACUAUCUAACCGACAUAAGACCAAGACGCAAGUGUAGAAUAGUUUUUUACAGUUCAAAACCAACCCAAAAAAGGCCUCAAAACUUCCUGUCACGAACACUAUACACAAGCCUGGGAUUACAACAGACCAAAGGCCACAAAUCAAGGCAAAGAUUUGAUUUACAACAAAGAACGAACCACGGAUCUGAAAAUCAGAGGUGAUGAUAUUAGAGAGACCAAAAAUGCCAGAAACUCAGAAAAGAAAACCAAGAAAAUGAAAUGAACCCCUUCAAACUGUUUAUAGCCAAACCCAAGGGUCAAGACCAUUUUCAUUUAAGCCUCCACCGUUAGAUCAGAUCAACGGUCUAGAAGAGUAAACAACAAACACAGAUUUAGGAGAUAGUGAGAUAGCCAGUAGACUUGUAAGUUAAAAAAAUGUUUUCCCACUUAUAAAACGGGUUCUUGAUUUUUGAAAACGCAAUUUUACAAUCUUCACCUUGUUUUCUCAAACCCCUCGCUCUCUCUAGUUGCUACAUUGCGCUUGACAGUAUUUUACCGUAUAUCAUUGCCCUAGGUACCUGCAAAAGAUUAACCUGUAUCAAUAUUUUAUAAAGAUAAACAAGAUUUAAACUUACUACUAGUUAGAAUUUUGGUUCCCAUAUCGGAUGAGUUCACAUUAGUAUGAAUUUUUUCAAGUAUAAUCUCACUACGUGCAAUUUUCUCUCGUAUGAAGUGAUACUUCACCUCAGUGUACUUAAAUCUCUCUUGAUAAACAUGAUUUUUACAUAGAAGCAAAGCACUUUAACCAUCAGUGAAAAUUAUAGGUGACUUUUGCAAAAAAUUUAAUUUUUCCAAAAUUUCCUUUAAUCAGAUACAUUCUUUUAUAGAUUUAGUAAUUGCCACAUAUUCAACCUCCGUGUUGGAUAAUGUGACAACAAAAUAAAGUUGUGACUUCCAUGUGAUGCAGUUAUCACUAAGUGCGAAAAAAUAGGCAAUAGUAAACUUUCUUUGAUCUUUAUCCCCAUCAAAAUUCAAGUUUAGAUAACCCUUUAACGUAAGCUAUUCAAAUCUAUUUUCAAACAUCAAUCCCAUAUUUAAUGUCCCGACUAUGUAUUUUAGAAGCCAUUUUAAACCAAACUAAUGAGGUUUUUCCGGAUUAGACAUGAAUCUACUUCGAAAACUUAUAGCAUAAGUCAAAUCAAGCCCAGUAGUGAUCAUAAAAACAUGACCCAUCUCAUGGCAUUAGCUUAUGGGAUAUUCUUCAGUUCUUUCAUUUUCAUUUUUAGUUUAAGGUGAUUAAGAUGAUGAUAAAUUCAUAUGGGCUGCAAAAGUUACAUUCACAUGCUAAGCUUCUUUCAUACCAAAACUUCGUUCAAAUAAGUACUUUGUGUUAUAAUUAAAAUAUUCUCUUACCUAUUUCUAUUAAUAACCAUUCCUAAAAUUUUUUUGGCAUUUUCUGAAUCUUUUUUAUCAAAUUUAGACUUUAGAAGAUUUUUAUGUCUUAAAAUUGGCCAAUAGCAUGUCAUCAACACGUAGAAGUAAAUAAACUUCACUACCAACCCUAUAUUAUUGUAGUAUAGACAAUGAUCAUAUUCACUUCUUUUGAAAUCAAUCUCUCAAUAUAUAUGUUUCAAAUCUAAUAAACCAUUGCUUUGGAUUUUGUUUGAGCCCAUACAAUGAUUUUUGCAACUUACAAACAUAAUCUUCCUUUUCCUUCACCUUAAACCCUUAGGGUUGACUUAUAUAGAUCUCCUCAUCUAACUCAUCGUGUAAAGAAGCCAUAUUGACAUCUAAUUAUUCAAGUUCUCAAUUGAAUUGAAUAACUAGUGCAAAAAUCAAUCUAAUGCUCUUGUAUUUGACAAUCGGAGAAAAGAUCUCAUUAUAGUCAACACCCUCUUUUUUAAGUAAAGCCUUUGGCUACAAGCUUUAUAUCUCAAAGGGUUAGAUGAGGUAAUCCCAUCCUUCAGUUCGAAAAUCCACUUGAAUUGAACAACUCUUUGAUUUUUAAGUUUCUUUACUAAUUUCCAUGUAUUAUUUACAAGUAAAGAUUUCAUUUCUUCUUUCGUUGCAUCUUUUCAUUUCUCAGAUUUAAAGCUAUUCAUGGCCUUUUCAUAAGAUGAAAGUUCUAGAGUUCGCCAGAGAUAAAGGCAAAGUCAUUCAAAUGAUUUAUUUCAUACCUUGGAUUUUGUUUGACUUGUCUCCUUUCUCCAUCUCUAAUCAAUUGAUAAUCCUGAACACUUGUCUCAACAGUAGGAACAUUUGGACUUUCAAUUUUAGUCCCAACCUCAAUUUGAGCAACAUUUUCAUCAAGUUGUUGAAUGCCAACUUCAAUACUCUCAACUUGAGCGGGGUUUAACCUUGCUAGCUUUAUCUCACUCCGUAAAGAAGUAUCUUUAUUUUGCUCUUUUAAAUUAUAAAUUUAAUAUUUCGUACAUGGCAUUUUUUAUUCAUUAAAUACCAUAUUUCAGCAAUUAAUAAACUUAAUGCCCUGCACAACCAAUACACACAACCUGUAUCCCUUCACACCUGUCGAGUACCAAAGCAUAACACACUUAGUAACUCAAGGGUCCAACUUUCCCUCAACUUGAUGGGCAUAUGCCGCACAUCCAAUCAUUCUAAUGUGAGAAAGGGUUGGGGGCUUACAGGUCCAAAGUUCCUGUGGAGUCUUAAAUUCAACAGAACUACAUGGAGAUCAAUUUAAAAGAUAUAGCAUAUAUCUAAACUUGUUCAUUAGAGUUCUGUUCAUUCUUUCAUCGACCCCAUUCUGUUAAGGCGUGUGCUCAAAGCUCACCCUAUGUGACUUUCCCAACACACAUGUUUCACAAAAUUCAAGGGGCUCAAUCAUAUCUUUGCCAAGUAAUUUUCAGUCACUUGAUACUUGAGAUCCUUAUUUUCUACAUGUCCCAUUCCGUUAUGCUACAAUUCUAACUUGUUUUCAAUUAUGCUCAAAGAUUUAGCUUCUUGAUAAACAACAGCCUCCCCCAUUAGAUAGUACAAUCCAUUUUUUUCUAGUCCUUUAAAGAUUACCAAAAAUCCUUUCAUAACUUUCAAAGUGUUAUUUUCAAACUUGAAAGAAUGUUCCUCGUCUUCAAGAAUUUCCAUUGAGAUGAGAUUUCUUUUCAGGCUUGGGACAUAUUUUACAUUUUUCAAUUGCCUGACAAUGCCAUCAUAUAUCCUGAUGGCAAUGUCACCAAUACCAAUAACACUUUAAGAGUUAUUAUCACCCAUGUACACUUUCCUAGGUUCAACUUAUUUGUAAUUAUUUAACAAAGAUUUAUUAUGACACAUAUGGAAUGUACACCCUAAAUCCAAGAUCCAGUCCUUAUCAACUUCUUCAUUAGACACAAUCAUUACAAGUAGACUAUCUAACUCAGAACCAAUAGAAGAAUUAUUCAAUUUCCCAAUAUUUUGAUCCUUUAGCUUUUUCUUCCAUUAAAAGCAAUCUUGUUUAGAGUGACCUAGUUUCCCACAAUGUAACACUUCUUAUUGCUUUUAUCUCUUGAUUUAGAUCUAGUUUUAGAUUUCAGUUUAGAUCUUCCGUUGUUGAAGUUAUUCUUCUUCUUCUCAGCCAUUCCUCUUACAAACAUACUCUCCUCUCUUGAACUUAUCCUAAAUUCUCUCUUGACCUCCACUUUCCUAGACUUUAGAGCAUUAGUAACAAUUGUUUGUGUUAGGUUGUCUCUUGAGUAUUUUAUUGCAUUCUUAAUAUCUUUAUAAAAAUUAGGCAAUAAAUUACGAAGGAUUACCACAAAAUCCUCAUCCUCAGAUUUUUUAUCAUUAUGAGUAAGGCUCUUAACUAGGAUGCUAAAAUCACUCAAAUUAGCUUCUAAGUUUUUCCCUAUAUCUAUUUUAAAACUAACGAGUUUCUCUAAAAGGUAGAUUUUAUUAGGCAAUGUUUUAGUCAAAAACAAAGCAUCUAAUGCAGCCCAUAAAGCUCUAGGAGUUUUAGCAAUUUCCACUCGUCUUAUUAUGUUAUCAGAUAAGUGCAAUAUGAUAGAAUUAUAUGAAAUUUUCAUUCAUAUUUAUAAUUUCAUCAGGCUUAGCUUUCAAUUCGGCAGAAAAAGUUUCAAGAUCAUCCAAGGCUUUAGCAAUCCUUUGUUGGACCAAUAUAACCCUCAUUUUCCACUUCCAGAUAAAGUAACCCCCCUUUCCAUCGAAUUGUGAUAAUUCGACCAUCGAACCCAUUGUAGGUUCUAUAAAAGGGUAGCUAUUACUCGUUGACAUUAGUGAUUCUUAAUAUGAGAAAUCACUUAAGUUGCAUAAAAAGUUUUGCAGUUAAUGACAAUUAAGCUGAUCUCCGAAUGAAAAACAACAGCAAUAUAAUAUACGCAGACUGCAAUAGUAACAAGAAGAAACGAUUUUAGAUUUUUCGCAGAUAGUAACACUCAGUCAAACUAAAGAAACUGGUAUCCUAAACGUGUUCCUAUUACAAUUAGAUAAUUUAUCCAAUUCUUGAAUAAAACAAAUCACAGUAUCAAUAGAUUCACAUAUUAAUAAUUAAAUCACGCAAAUCAAUUUCUGUAAAUUUGUAUAGGAACAAUCUCAUCAAAUAGUGUAUAAAAAUAUUCAACCAAACUCCAGUGCUGAUUUCAGAACCGAAUAUUCCGUUCAGUUCGAGUUAUUGGUAUUGCAUAGAUCAAUAACUUUAAAUCAAAUUUCAUAGAUGCCUUACCCACGCCUCACCAGACUCCGAUACCAGUUUAUUGGGAUUUUGCCACCCAACCGAAGCAAUAUUCAGAAAAUUGAAACAUAGACCCACGAAAACAGUAAUAAUCAACACAAGAAAUGCUCAACCAAUUUGACAAAGCCUACUCGGGGGACUCAGACGUAAGAACCCAUCACUAUAUUUAAGAACCUCUCAAAAGAGAGAUUAAGUUUAGAGUACAACAAUCAGAUCACUGACCUAAUUAGUAGAUCAUCGAUCUAUAACAGGUCUCACAAUCACACCACCUAACCGACACAAGUGUAGAAUAGUUCUUUACAGCUCAAAACCAACCUAAAGAAGCCUCUAAACUUCCUGUCAUGAACACUAUACACAGGCCACAACGCAAGCCUGAGAUUACAACAAACCAAAGGCCACAAAUCAACGUCAAUAUCUGAUUUACAAUAAAGAAUGACCUACAGAUUUGAAAAUCGGAGGUGAUGAUAUUAGAGAGACCAAAAAAUGCCAGAGACUCGGAGAAGAAAACCAAGAAAAUGAGAGGAGAAUGAGAUGAACCUCUUCAAACCGUCUAAGCCAACCCAAAGGUCAAAACUAUUUACAUUUAAGCCUCAGCCGUUAGAUUAGAUCAACAGUCUAGAUGAGUGAACAACAAACAUAGAUCCAGGUGAUAGUGAGAUAGCCAGUAGAUGUAUGCCAAGUGGACUUGCAAGUUAACAAACGUUUUUCUCUUAUAAAAAAGGGUUUUGGAUUAUUGAAAACACAAUUUUACAAAUUGAAUUUAGUACAUAAAAAACAAAAUUGAAAUUUUUAAAACAUAAACACGGUAAAGCAGGAAAUUACUGAAAUAAAUUAAUUCAUUUGAUGUAUCAUCUACAUAAUUUGUUUUUGAGUUCCAAUAAUAUUUGUUAGCCAGGAAUCGCUUCAUGUUUAAGACAUUCCAAAUAUUAUUAUCUUUGGAAAUACAGUGAAUUAGAAAUUGGAAUUUUUUUUUUAUAUAUAAAUGACAAUGUGCAAAUUUUUAUUGAUUGAAAAGUUUUAUUACGUGCAAAUCUUCAAAUUUUCUUAAAAUUUAAAUAUUUGACUUUGACUAAAUAAAAAAUAACUUUUUAAUAUACUAGUUUAGGCUCCGUGCAAUGCACGAAUUGUAUUAUUUGGAGGGUGAUAUUAGCGUUUUGAAUGUUAAUAAUUGUAUAAGGUAAAUUAUGUUCAAAGCGGGAGGAGUAAUGAAAAAGUUUUUCAUUAAGAAACUGUUGAACAAAGAUAUGUUUUUAUAUUCAUAAAAAUUAGGAUCUUCUUGGUUGUUUCUGUUAUCAUUUUGAAAGUGUAUGUUUUAGUUGGAUGGAAAUGGAGAUCUAAAAGCAAAGCACAAAUUGAGAAAAAGCAAGAAGCAUCAUUUAGCGCUUAUAGACUACAUCUAAUAUUUUUUGAAAAUAAUAAUUGGUACAAUGUUGAAAGUUAAAUAUUUACAUGUUAAUUAUUUGAACGAAGGGUAAAUAAGCGAAAGGUUUAUUAAAGAAUUUUGUACAUAUUUUACAUUUUUUUUAAUGCUAUACAUUUAGAAAAAGAAUCUGAUAAAUAUAUCUCAAUUUAUUUUUUUGCAUAAUAUAUAUGAUGAGAAAAUUGCACUAUCUCUAAUUUGGUUUAGUUGUCUAGUGAUAUAUUAUAUUUCUCAUCUUUUUUUUCUUUUUCUUUUUUUGUCAUUUGCAAAUGAAAUAGAGUUAGCAAAAAAAACACUUCUUGAGUAUGAAACAAUUGUCCUUUAUACCUGUUCCUUUGAACUUAUUCCCAUGGCAUCCAUUGUCUUUUUUGUUUCUACACACUCUCCGGAUUCAUCAAACUUGUCUAAGUUGUAGCAAUUUGAUUGAUUGAAUAACGGAACUUUUUGGAUUGCCCAACAAAUUAAUAUGAAAUUAAAAAAAGGUGAUGACUUAUGUCAAGGAUGUGUUCACUUAACAUUUACAAGCGAGCUCAAUUGAAUUCCUUGGAGCUAUGUAAUCCUAGAUUUCCCUUUUGAUUAAUAAGAAGAUAUUCCUUGAAUGAUGGGUCAUAUUUCUAGAAGAAAGUGAGCAUAUUUUUAAAUUCUGUUUUGCCACUUAAAUCAGAACUAAAGAGACAACCAUCAGCUGAUGCAGCAAGAAAUAAAGAAUAAGUUCAGUGCCAAUAGCCCUUUCAUCAACCAAGGAAAUGUAUUCUACACUGACGAAAAGACUCUGAUUGCACAUUCAUCAGAUUCGAAGAUUCAAGACCUAAUCACUUCAGUAAUAAAUAGCACCAGGAAUCAACCAAUUAUAUGAUCACCACUGCCUAGAGAAGCAAGAUUGACAGAAUUCAAUUAUAUGGACAAGUGAUAUGUAGAAGAGAGUAGGACAAAAAUGGCUCAAAGUCUCAAGCAACAUUUUCUUAAUAUGGAUUUCGAUUUAAAUUUUUAAAAGCUUGCAAUUAAUAUAUGGUUUGCUCUGUACUUAUCACUAAUUCACAAUAAGCAUAAUAAUAUUGAGGAAACCUCCCAAUAAUUUCUACCACAGAUGUUUGAGUUGCAUCUAAGAAGAGAAAUAUCCUUUCCUUUACACAAAUAUCAGGGUGUACGAACAGUGAUAAAAAAUUGCUUCUAUUAAUUUAAUCAAUAAAUGUCUGAGAAUAAGACAUGGAAAAUAAUUUCUACCUUUUUCUUAACUAUCAUCACAAAUAUAGGAAGAAUACCCAUCCGUGGCUGUGCCUAUAACCUGAUGAUAAACAUGUUCUCCAAUAUUGUUCAUCAACAUCUCAAGAAGCUGUAAAUCCGACAAAAAACAAAGUCUUAUCAAUGCUUCAAAGCAAGUGAUCAGGGGGACAUAUACAAUCCACCGUAACUAAAAGAGAUCCAUCAAAACAAGCAAAAAAAAAAAAAUUAUAUACCCUAUAAGUACUUACCAGUACUGUAAACAAUUGUGUGUUUGAAUCUUUGCUUCCCAGGUAUUCUUUAUAACUUUUAUAACAUCUUUAGCUUGUUUGUAUUACAAAAAUACAUAAAAUAGUGGUGAAGUGGGUAGUGAGAUUCAAAAACACAAUUAAUGUUAAAUUAAACAACACUAAUCUUGUCUUAAGAAUUAAACUUCAUUCAGCAAGAUAAAAGUAACUUCAGCACCAUUUUACAGACUUAAACAACAAAAGUAUUGACUCCUUCAAAUUCAAAACCACUAUAAUAGAUAUUGAAAUUGAACAUUUAGAGUACAAAAUUAAUAAAUGAAGAUAUAUCAACUCCUGUUAAAGUAUACGUGGAUCACCAGCUUACUGAGUUUCUUUAGCUUCUGGUACCAGAUGCAUCUAGCUAAUAGAAUAAUAGUUAGGUGGGGCUGAAUCUUCAAGUUUGAUAUUAACUAUGUUCGAAGGAACCAACAUUGAUACUUUUUCCUCAUUCCAUUUCCCAUUUUGUGAAACCUGAAGUUGGAACAGCUUUAAUAUCUCAUAUUUGCCAUCGAAAAACCUACAUUUAUUCCAAUGUAUAGAAUAUUUAAAAUAAGUAAUUUUGAAGCUAUGAAUAUAAGAUUAUAGAUUGAAUUUUGAUAAAGGAAUCUUACUGAAUUUUCAUAAUUUGUUAUGGUUAGGAUAAAUAUGGACGUAAAAAUAUUUAUUCUGAUAGAUAUCUGUGACAAUCUUUCAUUUGUAUCUUCUCUGGUGAAAUCACUUCUAAUGGAUAUUCGAAAACGAAGCAUUCAAUGUAUUUGAGAAGGAAAACUCCAGAAUUUGGCCUAUAGCAAAAAGUAACUUGAAUUUAGUUUAUGUUAAUGUUGUAAAUGUAAAAUAAAAUUAAAUAGAAAAUCAAAUAUUAUAGUAAAUCGUUGAAAUGCUUACCCAUUAUUUUGACAAGGUAGAUAUGGUAUGAUUUUCAAUUUCAUAUGUUUAUUUCUAUGUUUUCUUAAGCUUGGUUUGCCGAAAAAAAUGUCUGGAGAUAUCAAUAAUGAUUGUACUACAGUCAAAACUGAUUCUGCAUGUAAUUUAAUUGCGUCUGGUGUAUGAAUGUUGUAGCUACAAUCAUAUACAUGAAAUUUUCACUUUUGAAAGUCGAUAAGAAAAAGAAAUCAAAUGUUGCCUGGAUAUGCAGAUGGAAUCAAUAAAUAGUUGUAUGUUAUCCACGGACGAGCAAAUACAGGUAAUUCUCCUUUUAUGUACUGUUGUAAUGCAUUGAAAUUACUUAUAGAAUGGGCAGCUCCUCCUUUUAUAAUUGAAUACUAAUGAACACAUUCAUUCUCGAAUCUAAAGUUCAUGAUUGCAUAUUCUUUAGAAAACGGGGGAAAUCCAUCAUGAAUAAGUCUUCUCAACAACGUUAAUUCUAUAUCAAUAUGUUAGUAAAAAAAUGUAAAUUAGAUAAAUUAUUAAUGGAGUAAAAUUAAUUAUGAUUACUAAAGUUGACUUACCACAAUAUUUAUAUCUUUAGUUAGAUUUAUUAUAUUUAUUAGCGACUGUCUUCCGUAUAGAUUGUCGAUUUCAUCUUUCCAGUAUGCGCUGUUUAAGAAAAAAUUAAAUUGUCGUCAAAUAAGUAAAAUACAAAUUAGAAUAUUUAAGUUACCGAGGUUAAAUUUAAUAACUUAUCUGAUGGAUUUUGUGAUAUCAAUUCUUUAAUUUUUUUGUAUUUGUCGAUGUUAUAGUCUUCUAAAAAGUAGUUUGCGUUGUUGAUAGAGAUUGUGUCUGUUUCUGCUUACCUUUUUCUUCUUUAGUCGAUCUUUCAACAUUUUUUGUAUGUUUAGAUGUUGAAGGAAUUUCGAAUUCAACUGGACUUGUAUGAGAAGGCACAUCUCGUUGUAUAGAGGCGACAAUUGUUUCCGUGCGUGAUUUCCAAUCGGAUAACUAAUUCUGCAUAUUUCAAUUUUUGUUCAUCAAUGUAAGACUUCGUUAAACUGAAACUGGUAUCCACAUAAGAUUGCAUGUUAGAUUGUAUGCCCUGGAAAUAGUCUUGUUGGUCUUUUUGCUGAUGUUCAAAAAAUUGUUUCUGAUUGUCAAGAAUUGUCUGACAGAGGGCUUCUUAUUUUUCAAAAAUUGUAUGAUACUGAGCUUCUUUCUUUGUUGAUUCUUGAAUCAUCUGUGUUUUUAAGCUGUCGUAGAAACCAAAGACAUCUUGUCUAUGUAUAUUGAACAUUUGUUCCAUAUCUUGUUUAGUUAUAUAGUUUGAGCUACCAGAAGAAGUAGAUUCAAUUCCAUUUGAAAUGUGGAUAGUUCUUUCUUGUGUAUGUAUGUUAUCUGUUGGAAUUUGUUUUGUUACAUUGUCCAAUUCACCAUUGACAAUGUUGUCUAGUGUAUGAUGUUGGUUAUCAAUUGGUAGCGAAAGAUUUGUAUACCAGAAUGUUUCCAAUUCUGCUUCAGUAGGAUUUAUCGUUGCAAUUAUUGGAAUCUAUAAUUGUAAUAAAAUAUCAGAUGUAUUUUUUUAAAUUUAUUUAUAAAAAAUUAAAUAUAUAUUCAAUUAUAUAUUGAAAUAAACAUACCUCUUGAGCAGCAAAAGACUGCCUAAUAACAUGUUCUGUGAAUAUUAUUUGAGGCUGCUAUUUAUGCAUUCGUGGACAUUUUAAGCUUGUACGAAUACGAUGAUCGAAUUGUCGUCCAAUUUGAGGAAAAGCUUCAUAUAUCCAAUACUGAAAUAUAAGUAAAAAGAAAUAUUAAAGUUUUUAUAUGAUUAAAUUAUACGUAAUGGGGAAAACAAUGAAAGGAAAAUACCAGGAAUGCAAGUGGAUAACCAUGCAACGAAUAUUUACAGUCUGUUUCGUCAUUUUGUUGUAUUCUUCGUACUCUUUCAAGCUGUGAUUCUUGUAGUGAAUUUAAUAAAAUAAAGUAUGUCUUACGUCCCCGUGGAUACAUAAGGAACUCAUCAAAUUGUUCAACCAUUCCAAGAGUUCUGAAAUCGAUGUAUCUUCCAGUUGAUUUUAAAAUGCAUUCGACGAAUAUAACUAAUUCCAACUUAAAUUUAUCUUCUCAUCUUGACACAUAUGAAAUACUUCAGAAAGUCUAAUCAUAGUAAUUCUCUUUGAACCAUUAAAGUAUUCAUCCCUGAGUCGAGUAUUACUAAAAUUGAGAUUAACAGUAACUUCAUGGCAUGGUAAUCCAGUGAUUAGACAAAAUUCUUGCAGGCCAAAACGGGCUACAUGAUCGUGUCAUUGUGCCCAAACUUCGUUUUUUUACCGCAGUUUAUAAUUCUCAUUAUGAACUCAUGUAUUAAUUUGCUGCUAAAUUUUUCAUUUUGCUUUUUAUACGUACUUCCGCAAAUGAAUCCAUGGAAUGGACUGCACAAUAAAGAAGCUUGAUCAUCUGCAUCUAUAAGUUCUAUAAAAUCUUUAAAAUAUUGAUGAUUUGCAAAUUGAGUAAUCGUAGCAGAGAACCAUUGAUUUGGAGAUAAUAUGUAUUCUAACGACAUUUGCAAAAAUUAUUUAAAAAAAACCAUUUAUUGGUCAACAAAUUUAAUCAUAUACUAAUCUAACAUAAUUCAUUAGAAGCUGGCAAAUUUUUCUCUUAUGAUGAAUGAUAUUUUACGUACUACAACUUUAUUAAAAAUAAAUUUAAGAUUAUAUUUAUACUACUUGAAGCAUUGUUUUUUGUCAUUGAUCUAAAACUGUAUGUGUAUUGUGACGGAAAGGAUAGCUACUCACAUUUUCAUAUUUGAAAUUUAAUAGUAAAAUAUAUAGAUGGAAACAAUAUAAUUUACACUAUAAUUAAUAUACAGUAUAAAUAAAAUAUUUUAAUUUUUCAACUUAAUUAAUAUAUCACUACUACUACAAUAUUAAUUUUGUAAAUAAUCUGAUAAAUUUUUUUUUACAUGUUUUAGAAAAUUUCCGGAUAAACUUUUAAAUUAUUUUUAGUGUAAAAGGAAACAUCAUUUAAAAAUAAAAAAUUUCGAUAACAAACAAACUUUAAAAAUUCAUCAACGAUUGUUCGGUAGUCAAAUCCAUAAAUGUUUUAUAUUCUCUCAAAGUUCAUUUCGAAAAUUAUAUCAUAGACACAUCGAACGAUUUAAAUGAAUAUCAAAAAUAGUUAAACGUAUAUCAAACGUGUGUGUUCAAAAAUGUGUAUAACUUGUCUUUUUUUCUUAAAAAAUCAAUUAUUUUCUUAAUGUUUAUUAUUUUCGCGAGAUAAUUUUCUCAAUACAAUUUACAUCAUUUUUUUUAUAAAAUGUGUAUGACGUCAAAUUUUUUUUUUUUUACGUAGGAUAAAUAUUUAGAACGAUAAAAAGUAAGAGAAUAACUAUAAUUGGCGAUUUGGAAGGGAAAACAAUGGAUUUUGACCUCGAAAACUAUGCCCACCCAACAAAAGUUAUGGCCAAAUUAUCAAAAAUACGUCCAAAAAAAGCUGAACUUUGAACACUCCGCGCAGCGCGGAGUGUUGGAUACUCCACCUAGCGCAUAGUGUUUAGUGAAACACUUACAGCAGCGCGGAGUUCAACAUUUUUUUCUCCAAUAUUAAAGAGAUGAAGAUUGCAGCUCCACACAAGAACUAAAAAAUAGUGGAGUAAAUUGUUGUUCUCUUUCUCUUCUAAAGUAAAGUAACAGGAAUAAAAACUUUUCUUGUGUGACUUGCGUCUGCAAUUAAAAUUAUCUGAAAUUGCAAAAUAAAACUUUUGAACAAUCUCAAUUAUGGAAAAUUUAUCUGUAGCUAAAAUUAAGUAUAAUCAAUUUGACUCCGAUAACUGAGGCUCUAUUUGAACUAACAAUCCAAUGGCUACCACCCAUAGGCCGAGAGAAUUUAGAAUUUCUUACAUUCACCAUGUUGGGUGUAAGAUCAAGUCUUGAGUAAUGCCCCAUGACAUGAAGUUUUAUAUAAAAGCUUAUCUUUACUACUUCAAAUCAGCACAGGUUGAGAGUAUAUAAUGUAUAAAUGUUUGGUAUGAUUUUUUAACGCAACAAUAUUUGCUAACUUUCUUAUUGGCUAAACUAUAUAUUCUUUAUAGCAUAAAUAAAUUCUAAAUUUAUUUUCAUUAAAUAAAAAUUACCUUUUCCAAUAGUAGAGUAGGUGACGAGAACGGUGGCGAUGAGUUCGAUUUUGGAAAAAUAGGCUGCGAGAAUGGCGACCUUCGAUUUUGGAAGUUUAACAAAUGUUUGCUUGUGAAACAAAAAUGAAAUGGUUGGUAAAAUGAUAAUGGUUAAAUGGUUGAAUGUAAUAAUUGUCAUAUAAUCAAUGUUGGUAGAUAGAAGUUGGUAUGAGUAAAUGUUGGUAGUUGAAAUAUGUAAAUGCAAAUUUAAAUUUAAUAUAGUUUAUUUUAAUUGAUAUAAUUAAUAAUGUAAUUAUGUAUUGGAAUUAUGUAUUUGUAAUUUAUAAAAGAUUUGUGUAGUUUUGAAAUUCAAGAAAUCUUUGAAAUUUAAUAAAUUAUUGACGUAUUGUGUUAUUAGCAAAAAGCGAUAGAUUAAAAUUUAGUUUUUUUUUUUAUAUCCACUAUUGUAUAAAUUUAAUUAUUGGAAAAAAAAUCCAUAAAAUUUUUUGCAUCUUUAAAUACAAAAUGAAAAAUGCAAAAUGUAAUAAAUUGUUGAAAUGUUGUUUAACAAAAAUAUAAAGAUUGUUAUACAUUAGCAAAAGAUAUUAGAUUACAAUAUUUACACUAAAAAAAAUUGUUUUGAAAGCAACUUCCUAACUUUCAAAACUAUUCUUAGUUAACAAUUGACAUUACUUGAAAAUAGACGACGCAGUUUUGUUUACAUUAUGACUAUCAAUUGAUACAAAAGUACAAAACUAAUGUAGUGAUUUUCAACUUUGCAAACUUAGUUCAUCUUCCAUUUCAUAGCUUUUGCGAGGCUUCUUUUUAGCCUGUGAGUCUUUUUAGCCUGUGAGUCUGAUGUAAUAAUUGCGUCUGCAAUUUCAAAGAGAGACCGUUUGACAUUUGUUGCAGUUAUUUUUUUAGUCUCUGGGGAGACUAUACACAUCUUCUCUUUGCCUUUCGUACUUGUUUCCUUCAAAUUUUCCAGCAGUUCACUUGGAUUGCAGUCAUCAACUGUAACAUUUGAAGCAUUUGUUGUUGUUAAAGAGUUCAAUGCAAAGAUAAUUUCAAAAUGGUAUUCUGGAGGGUUUUGUCGUUUGUGUGUGACUUUCAGACUGAACUGUGCUUCAUUUUCACUUCCCAUUUUCAUCACUUUGUCGAUUUCUACAUCUAAUUCAUGUAAUAGAAGUAAUGUCUUACAAUAGUAAAUGUUAAAGUACUAAAAUAAAUAAUAUUAAACAAAUUUUACCUUUUGAAAAUGGUUCAUUACAUCAUUUGCAGUAACUAUCAAUAAUUUUUCUGGCGUAUCGCCAAUAAUGGUUGCAUCCAACCAUCCAGAUGUGUCUUCCAGAUGAACGAAAGCAUUCACUCUAUGAAUGAUUUUUUUUUUUGCAAAACAUAGCAUGUAUUACGUAGUUUUUUAAAUGAAGCAAUAAUACAACGUAAAAAUUUAAUAUAUGUUUAAUAGUACAAGUUACCUUGGAACAGCUUUUGCAUGUUCGCAUUUGCAGAAUCGACAUUUAUAAAUUUCUCCAAAGUCUAUGUUGGAUGUUUUCUUGCAAUUGUUGCAAGCCAUGUACCAAAACUUUUGAUUUUUGGAAAUGAUUUUCCAAUGCGCUUUGACCCAAUAAAAUUUUUUUUGAAAAAAAAUUUAGUUAUAUUUGACAAAUAAUAUUUCAAUAUAGAAUACGAAAAAAAAAUUAUGUUACUCGUAUAUUAAAUAAAAAUAUAUUACCGCUAAAUACACUCCCAGUAAAUCUGCAAUUCGCAUGAAUUUGUCCUGAGUUGGAGGCAAUAAUUUCGACGGGCUUACGAUGACAGAUGGUUUAUUUUCUGUAAGCUUGUCAAAUUUUUCUUUGUUAACCUCCAUCCUAUAAGAAAAUAAAUAUAAAAAUAGUCAAAAAAAUAAUUAUUGUGUUAAUUUUUUUUAUUAAUGAAACAUAGUUAUUAUUUUGAGCACUCGUUUCUAUAGUCUGCAACAGCUAAUAGAUCAAGAUUAAUGAAGAUGGUGUUAUUGGCUUUGGUUGAAAGGAUAAUGCCUGCAGAACAAAAAAAAAGUAAUUAAUAUAUUAUUGCAAUUUUGUGAAUGUUUGAAAUCGAUAGGCAUGCAAGAUUAUACCAUUGAAUGAAGACGCCUUAAGAUUAGUAGACCAUAUAAUGGGUCUUUGUGCAAAAUUUUCAACAAUUGUAACACAUUCUCGAUCCACAAACCAUCCCAUAAGGUUAGCAUCACUAUUUGGUAUUGUUUGUCCAUCAAUAUAACAUCCUGAAGAGUAGCUUGUGUACCAAAAUGGGUUUGGAUAAUUCGUUUUUGUUUAAUGUCCAUAGCUAUACCUAUAACACCUACAAAAAAUAAUUUUCUUUAUAUAUAUGUCGCAUUUAGUUAAUUUAAAGACAUAAGAUAACUGUUGAAUGUGAUAAUAAAGUGAUGUAUUAGAAAUCUUACUAAUGUUGAUAUUUUUAUCCAUGUAUUGUUCUAAUUAAUCAAACGGAGUAAGUUGAUAUUGUGAGAAGACAAAGUUUAAGUUAUUCUCACAUAACUCUGCAAUUUUUGUUUUUCCUGCGAUCGUCCACACUUUUUCAUCGUUUGAGCUUUUAAACUCACUUUUGUUAUCUUUCACUGUUGCAUUCGAGAUGACAUACGUUUUUCCCAGCUUUGGCUGAUCGUUAAGUGCAGUAAUAUUUGCUUCAUAGAGUGUUGCUAUAACUUGAUUACCCUGUUUAACAUUAGUGCAGUUGAAAAUAGUUAUAAAAUAUACAGGUAUAAUAAAAGUUUAAAAUUAUGAAAAAUAUUAUUACUUAUGUACCUGUAAAUCCAUGAGGAUAAUAUUCUGAUAUCUAGUAGUUGAAUUACGAGCAAUCUUAGACGAUUGUUUUCCUAUAAUGACUACUUUUGCAGACCAAUUCAUUUUUGAAGUUCCAAUCUGUGGAAUUAGUUUAUAUGAUGUAACCAUCUUUGAUAUCUGUCAAUAAGAAUAACAAAAGUUAAGUACAAAUAGCUAUAAAAAUGAAAAGGAAUUUUUGUCAGGAAAUGAAAAACAUACUGAAAAUGUUUGUUUUGAAAAGUUGGUAAGCAGAAAUGAGUUGCAACAUGUGAAUAAAGUUGGAGUACAAAGGUAUGGUAUUUAUAAAACAUCUAGAAAAGAUAUUUAAUAGAUAUUUUAAAAUUUUUAAUAUAUAAUUUAGAAGAAUAAAGGUAAAUAUGCUACGUAAGCUAUAUGUGGAAGGAUAAACUUCAAAGUAAUUGUAGCACGUAUCAGUUGGAAAAUGGGAAAUAUCUAUUAUCAGAUAAGAUAUAAUUAUAUCUAUCUAUUCAUCAUUUAAUAUAAAUUGUACUUGUGUAUAUUAAACAAAAGAUCUGCUAUUAAAUAUGUAACUUUGUUAUACGUAAAUGUUUAAAGUAAUAAUUAUAGUAAUGAAAUAAAAAAAUUGCUAAGUUAGUUAAAUUUUUUACAUAGUUGUUUUGUUUUCGUUUAUUUAUCUUUUAUAUUUAUUAAUAUAAAAGUUUUAAAUAUGAAUAUUUGUAAAUUGUAACUACAUAUAAUUAAAUGUUUGAACCAUUGUAUAAAUUUACUUGUUUCAUUUGAAAAGUACAGUUUAAAAUUUUAUAUAACUAAAAUAUAUAAAAAUGUAAUUGUUAUUAUCAUUUGACAUAGAGGUUUUACUUUUGAAUUCUUAAUUUAAUUAUUAUUAUUCGAUUAAAGUAAUAGAUAAUACAAAAGAAAUAUAUAGAAAUAAAUAAUGUAAGUAUUACAUUAUCAUAUAGUUGAAAUGCAUGGAUUUGUGUUUUUUUUAAGGAAAAAUUAGUAUACUUAAUUGUUUUAUAAGCUAAAAAAUUUAAAGAAUUCUUUAAAGUGGUUAAUAAAAUCAUUUUAUGUUUUGUUGUUGUGAUGGUAUAGAAAUAAUUUGAAUAAUAGUAAAAAUAGUUUUAUAUAUCGUUGUAGUCAUUGUACGAGCACUCCUUAAUACUUUGGAGUAUAUACAUUAUGAAAUACAAAAGAAGACAUCAAAAUUUGUAAAAAAAAAACUUUCUAUGUCUAAAACAUGAAUAGAUUUUUUAAUGUAGCACUAAAUAAAACGUAAGGCAAAGAUGAUCGUUAUCAUUAUUGAGGCAAAACCAAGAAGGGUAUAUAUUUAUGUCCAUCCCGAGUCAUUUUCCUGUUUCCUUAACUAUUGCUAAUUGAUGACCUGCAAAGAUUUACAAUAAUGAAUUACUAACAUUGUUGAAUGAUGAGGCAUUCAUGCUAGAAUUUCUUUAAAAAAAGGAUGGCACACUAAGUAUAUUGAGAAUUUGCGUUUUAUCUAACUUUGAUAAUUAAUGGAAAAGAUUAGUUCUAAAAAAGAUUGGAUAUGGAAAACAUGCGUAAUUUAGUUUCCCAAUCAUAAAAAAUUAUUGCAACCAUUAAUAUUAAUUGUACAACUAUAAAUAGUACACUUACCAUUUUGCUCUGGCACAAUAUAGGAACUACACAUGUAGCCUGUUGGUAAAUGAGAUAUUGACUCAUAGUGUGUAACAAAGUAUACAGCAGCAUCAAACUUUAGUUUCUUUUUCACAAGUUAUGAAUAUAUUCUUUUAUGUUUCGACCAUAAUCCACAAGAAUGUAUCAAAUUUGUAACAAGCAAGAAAUAUUAAGGAACAUAUUUUGUUUAUGAAAUAUAAUUGAUGUUUAAAUGCAAAAGAAAACUAUUCGCUAAUAACUUUAAAGACAACCAAUAUCCUACGCUUUAAAGUACAAAUGCAAAUAGAUGAGGAAAUUCAUAUGUGUGGCUAUUUACUUGAGUAGGUUAUUUUAUCUUUCUUUGAAGUAAAUAGAAUGUUCUAUUAUAAAUGAAUUAAAUAUGUGGAUAAAAGAAUACGUAUAGUUCUACUUUAUAAAUAAUAAAUUUUUUUGUAAAACAUAAACUUUUGAAAACAUUUAAUUUUUUGUAUGAUUAAUGUUUAUACAUAUGCAUCAUCAUCCAUUUUUCUAAAAUAAAUGCAAAAAGACAUUUCGAGAAAAGAAAAAAAUUAUCGUCUUAAAAAUUAAAUAUCAAUUUAAUUACCUGGAAGGAUAAGAUAACAGAGAAAAGUUGGACAUUUAUAGAAAUGAUAAUACAAAAGGACAUGCAAAGCGUUAUGAAAAUACGAAAUGGUAUAUCAAAAGUUUUAGAAACACGAGCAUGUGAUAAUUUGAAUAUGGAAAACAUAUGUUAACAAAUAUAAAACUUUGAAAUGCAAGUCAUGUGUUAUGAAUAAUAAUGUAAUGUAAAUAAGAAAGCUUAUUAUUGAAUUUUCUUUCUUGAGUUCUAAGUUACAAAUUCGGGUAAAAUGAUUCUACUAUAGACUAUACUUUAUUAAAAAAUAAACUUAUUUAAAUUUUAUUAUUUAAAUACAUCAGCAUUACAAUUUCUAACCAUAGGUAGAGGGAUUUGCUAUAAUAGAUUGAACUUUGAAAAAUUCAUCAUUCUCACAUUUGGUUUUUUGAAUGCUGGACUACUUAAAAUAUAAUAAAGCAUAAUCCUCUAAAUGCACACACAAAAUUUAUAUUUUUUUCUUAGAAUGAAUUAAUUUCUUAAAACUCUAGAAAAUAAAACUGAAAAAAGUCGCAGCCAUGGUACUUUUCAACAAAAAAAUCGAUGGAGCGAUAAAAUCAGACUAUAAAAAAUCCAAAAAUUCAUGAAACAGAAGAACAUGAGAAAAUUUUCAAAUAUUCUUAAAUAAAAAGAUAUCAAAGAGGCGUAUGAAAAGUAAAAACGUACCUUUUGUGGAUGGAAUUCUUUUAGGAGUUGCAACACUUUCAUCUCUUAUACUAACAAAUUUGAAAAAUGCCUCGACCUUCCAUUUGAGAACGAUAAUUAGCUUAUUGUUUUGAAUAGACAAACAUUAGUGUAUAUGUUAAUAUAAGACGACAUUAGCAAGAAAUAGUUACCAAGAUUAUGCAAUCGAAAUCUAAUGAGUAGCAGAAAGAAUUAAUUUUAAGCAAUUUACAUCAUCGUAGUAGGCUGCACAACAGUAUAUUUUUUUCAUAAACUCUAUUACAUUCUGCAACAAGUGGUGUCACCUAAUCAAUGAGGAAAAAGUAGCAAAGUAAUAAAUACUCAGUUAGCGAAUAUCAAUUUAAAUUUUAAGCAUUCUAAAUUAAUUUACAAAUAAAGCAUUUGCUUUCAUCACUAUUAUAUAACUUAAAAAUUAUAUAAAAAUUAAUAACCCAUACAACAUUGCAUCAUCAUAUAAGUAUGUUUUAAUAAUACAAAACUACCGACACUAUGUAUUGAGUAAAUUGUUCACUUUACCUAUUUAGAAAAAAAGUCUUCUUAACAAAAGUGUCUACUCACCAAUAAAUACAAAUAAUAAUAUAUUUUUAACAUUUAUUAGUAUAAGAAAUACGAAGACACAAAAAAAAAAAAUAGACAAACUAUUAAAUGACUAAUUGCCUAAUUUCUUUUAAUGAGCAUGAUUAAAUUUAUGACCAAUUGUAUUUUGCUAUUCAUCCUAAGAAAUGAUCCGAAAAUAUGCUUAACAAUUAAAAAUAAAUAUGAAGGGACUUCUAUGUUUUUAACUUCCACUAUUACCAGGAAUAAAAAGAAAUGAAUGUGAUUAAGCUUGUUAAGACGUUCAUUAAAAUUAAUUUUACUUCAUCCUUUACCGUCCAAAUAUAAACUAUAUUUGAUGGAUGACAUAUUUGCUGGUAUAAAGAUGAAAAUGAAAGUUAAUAAUCACUUAUUAUUGUAGAUAAAAGUUUUUAUCUUUAAAUAAACAAUAAGAAAAAAAGGCAUAAAAUGGUUGAAACUUUGAAAUACAAGUCAUGUAUUAUGAAUAAUAAUGUAAUGCAAAUAGGAAAGCUUAUUAUUGAAUUCUCUUUCUUGAGUUCUAAGUUAGAAAUUCUGGUAAAAUGAUUCUACUACAAACUAAAUUUUAUUAAAAAAAAUAAACUUAUUGAAACUUUAUUAUUUAUAUACAUCAACAUUACAAUUUCUAACCAUAAGUAGAGGGAUUUGCAAUAAUAGGCCGAACUUUGAAAAAUUCAACAUUCACACAUUUAGUUUUGUGUAUACUGGACUACUCGAAAUAUAAUAAAGCAUAAUCCUCUAAAUCCACACACAAAAUUUAUACUUUUCUUCUCGGAAUGAAUUAUUCUCAAAACUCUACAAAACAAAACUUAAAAAAGUAGUAGACGUCAGUACUUUUCAACAAAAAAAAUCGAUGGAAUGAUAAAAUCAAACGAUAAAAAAUCCAAAAAUUCAUGAAAUAGAAGAACAUGAGAAGAUUUUCAAAUAUUCUUGAAUGAAAAGAGAUCAAAGAGACGUGUGAAAAGUAAGGAACGUACCUUUUGUUGAUGGAAUUCUUUUAGCAGUUGCAACACUUUCAUCUCUUAUACUCACAAAUUUGAAAAAUGCCUUAACCUUUCAUUUGAGAACGAUAAUUAGCUUAUUGUUUUAAAUAGACAAACAUUAGUGUAUAUGUUAAUAUAAGACAACAUUGGAAAGAAAAUAGUUAUCAAGACUAUACAAUUGAAGUCUAAUGAGUAGCAGAAAGAAUUAAUUUUAAGCAAUUUAAAUCAUCGUAGUAGGCUGCAUAACAGUACGUCUUUUUCAUAAGCUUUAUUACAUUCCGCAAUCAGUGAUGUCACCUAAUCAAUAAGGAAAAAGUAGUAAAACAAUAAAUACUCAAUUAGCGAAUAUCAAUUUAAAUUCUAAGCAUUUUAAAUCAAUUUACAAAUAAAGCAUUUGCUUUCAUCAUUAUCAUAUAACUUGAGAAUUAAAUAAAAAAUUAUAACUCAUACAGCAUUGUAUUAUCAUAUAAGAAUGUUUUAAUAAUACAAAACUACCGACAAUAUGUAUUGAGUAAAUUGUUCAUUUUACAUAUUUAGAAAAAAAAAAUUUCUUAGCAAAAGUGUACUCAUCAAUAAAUACAAAUAGCAAUAUAUUUUUAACAUUUAUUAGUAUAGAAAAUAAGAAGACAUGAACAAAAAUAUGAUUAACUUUAGUUUGCUAUUCAUCCUAAGAAAUGAUCCAAAAAUAUGCUUGACAAUUAAAAAUAAAUGAGAAGGGACUUCUAUAUUUGUAACUUCAACCAUUACCAGGAAUAAAAAGAAAAUAAUGUGAUUAAUCUUGUUAAGAAGUUCAUUAAAAUUAAUUUAUCUUCAUCCUUUACCAUACAAAUAGAAACUAUGUUUGAUGGAUAACAUGUUUACUGGUAUAGAGAUGAAAAUGUAAGUUGGCAAUCACUUGUUAUUACAGGUAAAAGUUUCCAUCUUUAAAUAAACAAUAAGAAAAAAUAGCAUAAAGUAGUUGAAACUGUAGUAAAAACCAAUUAAGAGAAAAAACAACAUAAAAGUAAAGCAUAUCAAAUGAAAGUUAUUUAUAUAAAUGACGCUAAAUAUUUAGUUAACCCUCUUGAAUUUAAGGCAGAUUUCAAACCAAUUAACAGAAGAUGUAAAAUAUAAAUAUUUAAUCUUUGCAACUUAUAUAAAAACAAUGAAACUAAUGAAUAAUAAUAAAACAUAUUGAAUUUGAGAACAAAAAUAAACACAUACCUAUGAAAAGAUUGUAGUUUUAUGAAUGUAUAAAUGAAAAAUUUUCUUUAUACACUACAUUCUUAGUGUAUACGUUAUGUAAAUUGUCUGCAUUUGACGAUUUGAGUAAAACUUUCAAAGAUUUACUUAUUUUUGCUCUCGAUAAUGCUACAUAUAGUUGUCCAUGGCAAAAAACUGGUUCUGGAAGGUAUAACCAACAAAAUCUAAAGUUUGACCUUGUGCUUUAUUUAUUGUCAUUGCAAAGCAAGGUCUAAUUGGGAAUUGAGUUCUUUUAAAUUGAAUUGAGUUUCGAUCAUUUUGAAGAGGUAAAAAAGGAAUCCUUGGUAAAAACACAUAUUUUCCACGAUAUUCACAAUUGUGAUUUCAGCCAAAAUUACAUUUCUAUUAAAUUUUAGACAAGUAAAGCGUGGCCCAUUGCAUAAACCUUCAGAAUGAUUGAUAUUCCACAAUAAUAUUACUGGAUAAUUUACCUCAAGUUUCAAUUCAUGUUGUGGAAUACCAUUUUGUGUCAAACUAUUCAAAAAAAAUCUUCCUGCAAGCUUUGUUCUGAUUUGUCAAUUGCUUCAUCAAAACUAUAGUAUAUAAAAAUUUCACCAGGAAUUUGAUCGAGCAAAAUUUUGUUAAUAUAAUCAACACAUUCAUUUUUAGGAGUAAGAAUAACUCUGUUCAUCGCGUCAUGUAAAUGAUCAAUAUAUACUUCUAUAUUUGGAAAAACAUGAUGUAUCAAAUUUUUUAAAGAUGUAAUUUCAUCUUCAAAUGAUAAAAUUAUAUUGUUUAAAAGUUGAAUACAAUCACAACUAUGUUCUUUUUCUGUCACAUCUCCAAUUCUAAGUAAGUAAUCGCAAAACACAGGAUGUAAUUUUGCUCUCAUAUUUUCAACUAAAGGUAGUUGUAAAUAUAAAGGCCAUAAAUCUGAGAAAACUAAGCUAACUUUCAUUAUGUCUUUUUUUUUCCUCUUGGUACUAAUGGUAGAAUCUGUCGAAAAUCCCCUCCAAGAAUUAUGACUUUCCCACCAAAAGGCAAGUCACAAUCAGUAACAUCUCUAAGCAUUUUCUCUACAGCUUCAAUAGCACGACGAUUCACCAUAGAUACUUCAUCCCAAAUUAUUAGUUUACACAUUUUUAAUAAAGUUCCCAAAGUCGAUUGUUUACUAGCAGAACAGCUAACUUCACCAACUGUUUCUAGAGGAAUUUCAAAUCUUAAAUGAGUUGUUCGACCUCCAAGUAAAAGAGAUGCAUAUACUCCAGAGGACGCUGUUCCUAAAGCAAUUAAAUUUUGAUAUCUUACGCCAGCUAAAUGUGCUUUGUAUAAAAAAGUCUUCCCUGUCCCCCCCGGACCAUCAAUGAAAAAACACCACUUAACUCAGUUUUUACUUUUUCCAUUAUUGUAUCGUAUGCAAUUUGUUGUUCUUUAUUUAACAUUGUCUCAAAAGCAGGCCUCCUUCAACAUCAAAAUUCAUCUUUUCUUCUGCAACCAUUCGAUUCAAUCUCUCAGCUUCAUCUAUAUCUACAGGAAAUGGCACUGUUCCAUAGUCAUUAAUAUCUUUACCUAUAGGUUCUAAAAUUGAAUUAAUAUCUUCCAAAGCUCGCACUUCAGCAAUUUCCAAACAUAUAUUUUGAUGUACAUAAUCGUCAAUCAUGUAAGAUUUAAAUUUAUCCCACAGUAACUUUGGAUAAUCAGGAUUACAAAGCGUAAGCAUUGUAGCAAAAAGACGUCUUAAAAAACCAGGCAUUUCAUAUACAAUAGCUUCAUAUAAACAUUCUUUACAAUGAUUGUCUUCCUUUAAAAAAUUAUGUGCAAGUGCUACUUCUCGAUAUGUAGCAUAAGUUACCCCAUUCAAAGUUUUUAAAUCAUUGAAUAAUGUUGGCCCUUUAAUGUGAUUAAGAAGAAUUCGAAGAAAAUAUCUCUCUCCUUCACUUGGAUUCGCUGUGACAAUUCGUCCUAUAACAAGUUGUUGCUUUCUAGGAGUCCAAAUUUUCUUAUAUGCAUUCCAGACAAAAUGUGCUAGAAAAUCUUUAUGCAACAAUGUUCGAGCAAAUUCGUUUAUUUUAUUUAUUCAAAAAAAUUCAGUUAACAUAGUUUUUCUUGUAUUUUCAUUAUUAACAAUUCCACAUAUCAACUUCAUCGAUGUAUCUUACUUUUUGAUGAUCUUCAAUGUGAAGUUGUAAAGAAUAAAUAGUCGGAUAAAUUUCUGAUAAGUUGAAAGAAAAAACUCUCCACAUAGCUUCAGGUGGAGAUAUUCAUCUAGCAUAUUGAUAAGCAGAAAUUUCAUCAACUUCCAUAUUUUCAUUUUUGCCAACAAAAAAAUUAAUGCGAUCAUGUUCUUUAUUUACAUAUUUAUACACAUAUUUUACAGUUUUAAUAGAUGAACAUACUUCAACGUUAAUGUGACAGUCAAAUUUUUCAUUUAAAUAAGGAUUAUAUGGAACAACCCAUCGAUUAUCUAACAUGUGGCCUCUAACUUUAAUAAAAAUAUCAUUAUUACGACGUCUAUACAAUGGUUAUGAGUUAUAACCAAAUAUAGUAGUGUUACAGUAAUCUCUAGGAUAUUUAUUUUUACAACCAGUAGUUUUUAGCAUACAUACAUUCUUUGGAUUAAGGUUUCCACAUGGACCAUGCAUAUUAUGUUUUAAAAUAACAGAAUGAAGAUGAGAAUACUUAUUUUCAUCAGGAAUUUCACAAGAUAUUAUUUUGUCAACUUGCUCAGCACAUACAAUUUUAUGGGCACAAUUAAAAAUUAAUAACAAAUGCGCAUGAGGGAGUCCUCUUUUUUGGAAUUCAACCAUAUAUAUAUGAGCAACAACAGGGCCUAAGAUAUUUUCUUUACAUAAAUCAUUUUUUAACUCCGCAUAUUUUGCUCUAAAUAGACGUGUAAUUAAAUCUGGUCGAUUUUGAAUUUCAUCAUUAUAUUUUAGUUCUUGCUUAAUUUCAGGCCAAUUUGGAUUGCAUGUUAUAGCUAAAAAUAUAUCUAAUUUUCCAAAACGUUGAACAAUAGCCAUCGCGUCUAAAUAUCUUCUUAACAUAUCUCUAAGGCCACAUGUAAAAGAUUGUGGUAAAACAAAUUUCUUUCCAAUCUUGUACCCCCUUGUUUCCCCAUUUUCAACACUAUUCACAGUACCUUGAUAGAGUUCCGUACGAAUUUGUUUUUGAUUCUUUCAAAAAUAAUCUAACAUGGCAGUUUCAAUUUUAACGUACAUAUCUACAACAUACUGUUGAAAAGUCUACUAGUAUGAAGUAUUGCAAACUUACCAGAAUGCCUAAUUUGUAAUUUGUAACUUGAGAUUGUUUCUUUGUUCCAUUAAGCACUGCUUGAGAAAAAAAAAAAAAAAGGAAUUCAUAUUUAGUAAAAACGGUGAAUUGUAAAAAUUAAAAACUAUACAAAAAAUUAUAUGAACAAACUUGUAGCCUCUUUUUCAAUAAUUUCAAUUUCAGAAUUUAUUUUGUUAGGAACCGCAACACAACGAUCAAAUUACGAGGCUGAACAUUUAUGUUUUUGCAUCUUUGUAUGCCUUCAUGCCAACCAGAUUCUCCUAAUGGGAACAUUAAAGGAUAUUGCAAAUGAUCAUAACAACCAUAAUAAUAAUGAACUCUAUGGGAAUCACCAAAAUGGCCAUAUAUAAUAAUAUCAUGAACACGAGUAUUUGUAUUUUCAUCAUCCUCAACCAAUACAACGGCUACUUGAGAUGCUGAAAGAAUAUUAAAAACUUUUUGAUCAAUUUUUGGGUCACAACUUAUUUGUAUAUGAUGAUUGUGUAGGUUUGUUAUAUCACUUAAAGACCCAAAAAAUUUACAAUAUGAAUUUACUUUCAAGAUUUCAAUUAAAAUAAUCAUAGUAGUUUCAACUAAAUUUUCUGAAAUUUUCAUGCGAUUUUGAAUCUCAUUUUCUAUGUCAUAAAAAUAUAACUGCAUAUAAGAAGGCGUAUUAUUUUUUGGCAUAAAUUUUUUUACAUAAUGAUAUACUUGUCCCUGAACUCUAAAUGUAUAAAUACCUUUAUAUGUUUGAAAAAGUUUUUUAUCAUACUUUACACCAAAUGAAGUGAACACAAAGUGAUUAUUAUAUCUACAUGACAACUUUUUGAAUUCUAUACAUGUAGGCUCUUUUGAAGUAAAUAAAUCAUAUAAUUCAGUUGACGAAUCUGGCAUAAAUAGUUUAACUUUUCCAUCAGAGCAACAAAAAUCUUUACUUUCCCUAUAAAAUUUACAUGCACCACAAUGUUUACAAUAACUGCAUGUCGGUAAUACAUAUGCAGUAGUUGGUAUAUUAAACAAAUUAACACUUCGUUGUAGUUUAGGAAGAUGAACAUUUGUCGAUUUUUCAUUCGAAGUAGAGAUUCAAAACGUAUUAUAUGUUGAUCAACUUGAGUAGCACCUAGAUUAUGAUUUUCAGAUACUCUAGGAUCGCUUACUCUUCUACAACGAUCAACGCGCACAGUUUGGUUUCGAUUCCUUCUGCCUGCCUAUCUUUGACUUUUUUGUUGACGAAUGAAAUUAUUAUAUGAUUCACUUGUGCUUUCGUGAACGCUUUCAAUGUUAUAAAAACUAGAUAAUUGAUUUGCAGAUGUUCGGAAGAAUCCAUAGGGACAACAAAAUGCUUGUACCUAGUACUGAAUUAACCAUAAAUACAACUUAAUGAAAACCACAUUAAAUACAUGCAUUUGAACUAGAAAUCACAAAUAAAUAUUGCACAAAAAUUAUAAUUUAUUUAUUUUGACGAAAUAAAUUCUAUACAGCAAUACAUCACAAUUUUGCACAUAAUUUUAAACUGUCUACACUUGUUCUUCAUUUCCUAUAGGAGAAAAAUAUAAAAUUGUCGAACAUACAUAAAAUUAAAAUAUAGAAAUUUUACCACAACAACAAAUGAUUGCCAAAUUAACAAAAAUUGAGAAGUUGAAGUGCGUAGUGUAUAUACAUAUAUAAAUAUUUAAGUAAUGUACAUGCAUUUCAUGUUAUAUAUACAUGUAGGAAAAAGGAGAAGAACUUAUUUGUAUAAAUGAUUUGCUACACUUAAAUGUAAUAAGCCUAAAAUCUUAGUUAACAGAAAAUGUAAGUUUUCUUUCUGUGAUUGUAGUUUUUGAAAAAAAAAAAAUCAUGAAAGAUAAUUUGUAAGUAAAAAAAUAAGUUGGUUUUUCUUAUAUAUAUAUAUUUUUAAAAAUUUCCCUAAUAUUCAUUUGCCCAUUUUUGAAUAAUAGCUAAACAUAUGAGUAUUUUAACAAAUAGAGUUCAGGUGACAAAUAUGAUACAACAGUGAAAUGCAUUUAUAAAAUCUCAUUUCCUAAUAAACUCCCAUGCUAUUUUUCAGCAAUUAAGAAUCACAAUUUGUAAAAAAAUUGAAUUGAAAUAUGGAUUAAAUUAUAACUUGUUCUAAUUAUGAAGCCAUUAAAUGUAGAAGUCGGAAAAAAAUCUUCAUUAUUAAAGGAGAAUGGAGUUAGAUAUCUAUUUAGUUUACAUUUUUUAUGUUUCUUUUUAGUGUUUAUUUAAUUUUUUUACCAGCAUUUCCUACUAUUCAUUCUCCUCAAUCGAUUCUUACCUUGUAUCCUUUCUCGUUGCCAACUUCUUCCUACUAUGAGAAAUUUCAUCUUUCAAAAUGGCUACUGCAUUUUUUGUUGAUGAAGAAAAUACUUGAUACUCAAUAAUAUCUACUAUUAUUAAAGUUCUUCUGCACUCUCACAAUAGCAAAAUAUACAACAAUUGUGCUAACAAGAUUGAAUGAGUCUUACAAAAUUUCUAGGGUCUUAUUAUUAUUAUUAUUAUUAUUAUUAUUAUUAUUAUUAUUAUUAUUAUUAUUAUUAUUAUAUAAAAGAGUUAUUAUUAUUAUCAUCAUCAUCAUUACAGAAUUUCUAGGGUCUUAUUAUUAUUAUUAUUAUUAUUAUUAUUAUUAUUAUUAUUAUUAUUAUUAUUAUUAUUAUUAUUAUUAUUAUUAUAUAAAAGAGUUAAUCACUUUGCAUUAUUAUAAGUAAAUAUUACUACUUUUGCAAAUCUAUGAUUCCAUAUAUUUUAUCUAAUAUUACAUUUUAGUCAUUUCCUGUUUCAAGUUUGUUAAGGGAUGCACACAACAUGAUAGUACUAAGUUUGAUAAUCGUCAAUCAAAUUUCAGAAAGUUGAAACUAUUCUAUGAAAUCAUUUUUGCUUCGAUCAUAUUUGGUAAAAAUAUCUAAAAAAUGGUAGAUUAUAAUUGAGCAGAAACGCUUGAAUGUGCCCUAGAGUGAUUGAAUUCAAAAUGAAAGAGAAAGGUAAUAAAAGAAGUAAGAGAAGAGAGCUUAGAAAUUGAACUUGGCACUAAAAACUCUAGUUGUCUUAAAGUAAAAAAACAUUAAGUCUACAAAUCAAAAUCCUCAAAAUGAUUUAUCUAAAAUCCCCAAAAACAAAUGAAAUUCUAAAAUCCUCAAAAAUAAAACCUUACCUAACAAGAAUCACAGCACUCAAAAAAGGUCUCAUGUUGAAACAUUAACUUCAAGAAAACAAGUUUAUCAAUAUAAAAAAAAAACCAACAACACGAAAAGGAGAAGUAAAAACAUACCUCGCUCGUCCUUGUUGUCGUUGAAAUCACUCUAUCAUUAACUCUUUUUUUAUAGAUAAUUGUUAGGGAGUUUAAUGUUUUCAAGACAGAAUGAAAGUGGAGAAGUAUAAGAGAGACGCAGAUUGGAUUAAUAGAGUCGGCGACAAUAUGCAAGUGGUUUGGAGAAAAUGAAAUGUAAAAGAUAAUAUCUUGUUAAAUGGUAAAAAAAGUAUGCUAAAAAGUUGAAAAUAAGAAAAUGCUGCAAAAAAGUCGAAAAUAAGAAAAGGCAACCAGCUUUGCUACAGUGUUAUGAAAUCUAAAUUACAAAAAUGAACAGUAAAAAGAUGAACAGUAAAUAAAAAGAAAGUCUUAUAAGAGAAGGUUGGUAAAAAAAGUAGGCUAAAAAGUUGAAAAUAAGAAAAGGCUUCUAAAAUCGAAAAUAAGAAAAGCUCUGCAAACUAGUUUUGCUACAGUGGUGUGAUACUGAAGGCUACAAAAAUGAACAGUAAACACAAAGAGAGUCUUAUAAGAGAUGGUAGGAUUCUUGUCUUUUUUAUUCUCCCAUCUCUUCAAAACGUUCCAUUCUUUGUAUUUUGCUGAAAUUAAAAUUCUGUCCAAAUUAUUUUCAUAUAUAAAAUUUCAUAUGAAUAAUUUUAGUUCAUGUCUAUUCCGUUUGUGAAAAAUACCAUUAACAUUUCAGUUCUUUCGACAAAAUUAAUAUUAUACUAUAUUAAUUUUUAAAGAAACGUUGUAUAUUGGGAGAUAAACGUUCAUUUGCCAUGUUAGCAUCAAUGCAGGGACCUAAUCUAUUUGAAGGAGAUUUGCAAUUGCAUUCCUCACUUCGAUUCAUCUCUUCUAAUUUCUACAUUUUUCUAUGUUUUAGUAUGUCAUCGUUUUGCUUAUCUUUCAUGUACGUAUCUUAGUUUCGGUAGAUCAAAACUCUAUUCGGUAAAUUGCACUAGUAAGUUGUAUUUUUGGUUAACAAAUUAUAAUUCAUGCAUCAUCAUAUCUCUCCAAUAGUUGAAUCAAUUUUGAAUCUUGGGAGAAAAAUUCUGCUUGUAAUUCUUGUAAAUUGAUUUAGUUUUCUUUUUUUCCCAUUUGUUACGUGACUAGUGAGAUUUUGUGAGAAAAAAUUGUAAGCUUAGUAGCCUGUUUUCUCUUGGCCUUUUUAUGGAUGUAAAUAUUAUGCCCUAGGCACAAUAGAUUUUGGACAUAAACACUUUUAAUAUAUAGUCGAUGCGAUUUAUGGUAGAUCUAUUAUUUAAUUAAUUAAUAUUCAAUUGAAUUAAAUAAUGGAGUCCGUAGGUUCAAAUCUUAGUAAUUUGUUGAUCACAAGGAGUUUGUGAUUAUGAGAUACAAAUCUUAAAUUAUCUGUGGUCGUAAGUAAUGAUGAGAUACGAAUAUCGUUAUUACGGAAAGACAAUCACGUAGGGCCUUUCUCACUUAUGAAAUAAGUAGUUGAUAUCACAAGUUAAAGUGUGGUGACACUUGAACGAAAACGUGGAUGUUUUGUUAUAGAACAAAAUAUUGGAAACCCGCUAAGAGAUUUCACAUGGUUAACUAUCUGAGUAUCAGUGGUUAAUCUCUAACGUUCGGUAGUGGAAUUGGUCCUUUGGCUUGAGGUUGUCAUAGUAUAUGAGGAUAGUCAUGUUUUGAUGGUAUUGGAUGUUGCUCUACCAAGGAUCGCUAAUACGACAUCGUUUGGGUAUGUCAAAAAUAGUAUGAAGGUUGUGAAUGACCAAUAGGGGAUUUGUCACUCUUAGAUAGUAAGAGAUAUGAUCUGCAUUUCAUUCAAUUAAGUCGAUAAUGAAAUCAUUGGCCAAGGUGUACUAAAAAGUUGAAAAUGAGUUUUCGAUUUAUAUUGACUUAAUAGUAGAAUGGAAGAUAUGAUCGAUAAUCGAGAUUGACAAGCUUCCAUAUCUCGUAAUUGAUCGGAUCAUAUUAACGAAAAGAUUAUAGUUUCACGGUAAACAAACAAGUUUGAUUUUGUCAUAUCACAUGACAUUUUUCGUCAUAUGUAUUUUCCUGACACAUUGCUAGAUGUUAAUCUGGGCUAGCGAGUAUGAAUUGGUGAUAAAUUAAAAGAGUGUUUUAAUUUAUCAAUUUUGAUUAAAUCAAAAUAAUAUUUCACGUCAUUAGAUAUCGUGAUUAGGAACCUAAUGGGUCACACACAAAAGGUGAAGUGGAAGAUUGUGAUUUGUCAAUUAAUUAAUUUAACAAACGUUGGAUAAAUUAAUUAAUUGGGUUAAUUAAUUCAUGGACCAAAUUUAAUUAAAUGUGUUAAUUAAAUAUUGGACCGGGUCAAGCCAAAUCCGUUUGAGUUUAUAUAAAUACGUGACUAAGUUUUCAAUUUGUACAGAUUCUCAUUAUUCUUACUAGCACAAGAGGGGAAAACUCUGGUGUCUGCAAUCUUGUUCUUUGUAUGAAUUUUCACUGGAAGCUGGACAAUUGAAUAGUUGUAGUUGACAUAUCAAAGUUGCUGGAGAAAAUAAAAACCUAAAGUUGGCAGAAUUUUUUUUAAGGUACAAUUUUCUAUCACAAUUUCUAUCUAAACACAGAAGGAUCUUUGGUGGGAAUUAAAAUUUGUUUUAUUUUUCCGCUGGCAUGAUAAGUAGAUUCCCAAUAGUGGUAUCAGAGCUAGGUUGGUGUUUGUUAGAAAUUGUUUAACAUCUUUGUGCAAUCAAAAAUUGAUUAUUAUACAUUUUUCUAAAUUCUAGGAACUAAUGAAAUUUGAUUUUCAAUUUUUUUUUUUUUUGAAAUCUGAUUUUGAAAACAAAAAAAAAAUAGUAAUUUGAAAAUCAGAUCGGAAUAAGGGUGUCGUCGUGCGCUCAAUCUGCUGGUAGGGACUGCAAAGUGCAGCGGCAUGUCAUCGCGGCUAGAUGCUGCCGCUUGCAACCAUCUGAGAGCGGCGUCUCUCGCUACCUAUGAUCUCUAUAGCAUUUUAGGGUUUUCUUCAAAGGGGUGAAAGUCUAGGGUUUUCAAAAGCGUUUUGGGGGAAUUGGAGCAGGGCCUCGUUUGCAAUUUCUGAAAUUGCAGGCCGUCACUUGCAAUAUAAUUUUGGGGUUUAUGUGCAAUUAGAAAAUAAAGGACCUUCUUGAAAUUUUAGGAAUGUUGAGGGGUUUGUUAAUAAUUUCAAAAUGGGUCCAGUUUGCAAUUUUGAGAUGAAUGUCCUAUUUGAAUUUUCAGAAAUUUGAGGCCGCCUUUAACAAUUUUAAACUUUGGUCAAAUUUGCUAAUUUCAAAAUGGUUUUUAAUUUGAAUUUUGAAAUGAUUUUUAAAUUAUAUCUUAAAUGGGUUUAACCUAUAAUUUUAAUUUUGACCCAAAAUUAGAAUUUUAUUCAAAAUUGAUAACUUUUUUUAUUUUCUUUAAAAUUUAAUUUUAAAUUAAAUUCUAAACUCUGACCAUAAAUUGAAUUUUAUUUUUGUUUGGAAUUUUAUCCUAAAUUAAAAUAUUAAUUCUAUUUAUAUUAGAGUUGGACUCUAAUUUAGUAUUUAAUUAAAAUUUGAUUUUAAUUAUAUUUUUCACUCUAAUAAGUUCUUGAAAUUAGAAUUGGAUUCUAAUUUAACAUUUAAUUAAAAUUUGAUUUUAAUUAAAUUGUCUCACCUUAAAAUUUUCUUAAAAUUAGAGCUGGACUCUAGUUUGGUAAUUAAUUAAAAUUUGAUUUUAAUUAAAUUAAUUCGCCCUAAAUCUUGAAAUUAGAGUUGGACUCCAAUUUUGUUAUUUAAUUAAAAUUCAGUUGCCUUAGAUUUUGAAAUUAGAGUUGGACUAUAAUUUGAUUUUAAUUAAAUAGUCCCGCCCUAUAAUUGUUAAAAUAGAGUUAGACUUUGAUUCGCUAUUUAAUUAAAAUUUGAUUUUAAUUAAAUUAAUUGAUUAAUAUGACUAAUUGAUUAUUUAAUUGUUCUAAUCCAUUUGUCUAAAAUAGUUGCUAGAAACUUGAAACAUGUUUGCAUAGAAUAUUAGAUAUUAUAUAGGCAUACAUUUAUGUGAUGAAUGCAUUAUUAGUGGACGAUUAUGGACUCAACCAUGUGGAUGUGUUGAAUGGUUAAUUUUAUUUUUGUUGUUUUAUGAGUCUACGAGCUCUUAAUUGUUUUGGACCUACGAGACCGUUAUUGUUGUUAUUAUUAUGAGCCUGUUAGCUCCUAAUCAUUUUAGACCUACAAGUCCAUUAAGUCCAAUUUUAUUUAGGCCUGCGUGUCAACUAGUAUAGAAUAUAAGCUAUAAUUGGACAAAUUGAAGAAACAAGAAAAUGAUGAGACGAUGGAAAUUGACCAACUAGUCUUCCUUAUGACUCGGGAAGACUAGAUAAUAAAAAUUCAUAAUCGUCCACACUAUUAUGUUAUAUGUAUAUUUAUUUGCAUGGUAGAUGUAUAAUAAAAUAUACAUGAUUUUUACGAUGAGACCUUUGAAUGCAAAACCCUUCAAUAAAAUAUUAAGUCACAUUUUAUAUUUGUCUUCCAUCAUUAUAGUGAAAAAUCAAAAUCUUCAAUCGAUCUCAACUUGUUGAGUACAUUCAAGGCUGGUCUAUUAUGGAUAUAUUUGACCCUAUGAAAUAUUAGAUAUUUUUAAAUAAUGGGUCCGGCUUAACUAAGGCUUAUCUUUAGUUGAGUGCACUUAAGGAAAUAAAUUUUAAAUGCAUGCUUAAGUUAACACAUAAUAUGUGUAAAGACAAGGAGUUGUCAGCUUAAUGAUCAAGGAGUUGUAUGGAGAUACAAUUGACAAUAGUAUCUAUCCAAAUAUUUUAUUAAAGUUUGUUGAGUACACCCAAGGUCUUAAUAUAACAAAUGAGAUCUCAGCCCAAUAAGAAUCAAGUAUGAAUUCUAUAAAUUUAUGCUAGCGGGUCAUAAAAGUUCAUGUUAAAUUAAUUAAUGCAUUUUAUAUAUUAUUCAUUUUCUUUUCAUCAUUUAUAUUGAAUCGUGAAUAAUCAUUUGUAUUUGAGAGGCGUACUAGAUGCCAACAACCAAACCAAAUUUUCUUGAUCGACACUACAAUCUGAUAAUUAUUCUUAAGCAUGAGAAAAUUGGUUAUGUCCUUGAGUAGCUCUUUCCAGAGACACUUGUUGAUGACUCAAUUAAGGAAGAUGUGGCUACUAUAAUAAAUACAGUUGUGACAAUAGUACUGCAACGUAUGUGAUGCUUGUAGCUAUAUCACUUGAGCUACGAAAGCAAUGUGAGAGUGUAGAUGGCUAACACAUGAUUUUUUAUUUCAAAGAGUUGUAUGAUAAUAAUCUUGUGUGAAAGGAUAUGAGACUACCAAGUAACUAUACAAGUGCAAAAUAACGAGUGGAUCUUCAGUCAGUGCUCAUAUACUGAAAAUCUUUGACAUUGAGAAGUUGUCUCGACUAAGUUCAAUAAUGAACCAUGAACUAAGUAUUGACUUAGUUCUGCAAUCUUUAUCAAAGAGUUAUUCAUAAUAAUUAUGAAUUAUGAUAUGAAUAAGUUCGAAUGCAUACUCAUUGAGUUGUUGAACAUGUUUAAGACUGUUGAGCCUAAUAUUAAAGUUUGUAGUGGGCAAAUCAUUGAUUUCUCUAAAGGUAUUAAGAGAAAAUAAAAAGAGGCUUUGGAAAAGCAUCCAAUAUGGCUAAUACGGUCAAAACGAAGGAUAAUACCAAAUGUAAUGACCCUUUGCUUUCAUUAUAGAAUGAAAAGUCAUUGGAAGAAAUACUGCAAGGCUUAAAUCUACUUCAUGAGUUUCUUAGGUAUUUGAUAUCAGAUGUGGAUCUCAUAUUUAUAUGGAGAAACUAAAUAAAAGUAGAUUACUGCAAAAAGGGAGAAGUUGACCUACACGUUAACGAUGAGUAAAGGUUACUGCAUUGUUUGUAGGAGCAUACUUCUUGUCGUUGUCUUUUGGCUUAGUAUUCGAAUUAGAGAAAUGUUGCUUUGUACCCACUAUAGCUAGAACAUUAAAAUGAAUUUCAUGUUCAGACAUGAACUAUUUUAAUGUUAAGAGCAAUUGUUGUUCCUGUUUAUCAUAAUUAUAGAUCUUAAUUGUUAUAGUAAGCUACAAAAUAACAUUUGUAUUCUAAACAUUAAGCAUUUUAUAAUGAGUAUACAAGUUAAGAGGCAUAAAAGUGAUAAUAUGAAUAAUACCUAAAUUUGACCUUGUGGACUUAGUCAUAUAGAUGAAAUGCAGUUUCAAAGUUACAUAGAGAUGUAUACGUAGAGUCAAUUGAUUUUGAAUCAUUUGACAAAUGCAAAUCAUGUCUGUUAGGCACAAUAUUGACCAAAUCUCCUUUUACUUGAAAGGGAGAAAUAUUUGCAUAAAUACUGUUCUAAUACAUAGUGAUGUAUGUAGACUCAUGUCAAUUAAUACUAGAUAAAGUUUCUUUUAUUUCAUCACAUUUACUGAUGACUAUUUCAGAAAUGACCAUAUAUAUUUGAUGAAAUUCAAGCAUAAAAUUCUUGAAAGGUUCAAGUGAUUCGAUAUAGAAGAAGAGAAACAAAUAGGUAAAGAUAUCCUCACACUAAGAUCCAAUCAAGAUGGGAAUGUCUUAAAAAUGAAAUUCUAGAUUAUCUAAGAAAGAAUGAUAUUCUCUUGCAAUGGACUCCUCCAUUUACACUGCAACAUAGUGAUGUAUUUGAAAAGAGGAAUCGUAAACUAUUAGAUAUAGUGCAACUAAUAACAAGUUAUGCAAAUCUCCCAAAAUCGUUUUGGGGUUAUGCAUUGAUUGCAGCGUGCUACACACUAAAUCAUAUCACAUUUAAGUUGGUUAAUAGAACUCCAUACGAGCUACGGAGAGACAAUAGUCCCAAUUUAUCUCAUAUAAAAUUUUGAGAAUGUAAAGCUUAUCUGAAAUGCAUUGAAUCGGAUAAGUUUGAGACUAAAUCUGAUAAAUAUAUAUUUGUGGGAUAUUCAAAAUAGAUAUUUGGAUAUCAAUUCUAUUAUCCUAUUGAAAAAAAAGUCUUCGUCUCACGACAUAUCUUCUUCUUAGAGAAAAUUUUUACUCUGGGAGAGGAUAGUGGGAGCAAAAUAGAACUUGAAGAAGUUCAUGAAUCCAUAGAUGUAGUUGACCGAAUUAGUCUUUCGUAAAUACGAUAGCUCAAGUGUUAGAUGAAAAACUUUGAUUAAAAUGAUAAUUGAAAAUUAUGUUCAACCAAUCAAAAUAUUUCAAUGAGAAGAUGAAGAAAAAUCAAAUGCAAUGUAAAUCAAAUAAUCUUCUCAAGAAAUAUCUCUCUUUUAAUGAAUGAUUAUAAUAAAUCAAGUACUAAGAGAGAAAUGAAAAACUUUGAUGAAUAUGAUAAUUUUACAAAUUUGAUUCAAUCAAUCAAAGUUUUCAAUAUGAAGAAGUUGAAAAAUUUAUGCAAUAAAAGUGCAAAGAACUUCUUCGAGAAUAUAUCUCUCUUUGAAAAUUGAUAUAAAUAAGUUGAGCACAAAGAGAUAUGAAAAAUUUUGAUGAAGAAAAUUAUUCAAGAAAUUUGAUUCAACAAGCAAAGUUUUUCAAUAUGAAGAAGUAGAAACAUUUAUGCAAUGUAAGUGCAAAUAUCUUCUUCAAGAAUAUACCACUCUUUUAAGAAUGAUAUAAAUAAAUUAACCACAUAGAAAGAUGGAAAACUUUGAUGAGAAUGAUGAUUAAUGAGUUUAAAUCAAUCAAAGUUUUUUAUAUGAGGAAACAAAUGAAAUGAAUGCAAAUGAAGGCUCAAAGAAUUCUUAAAACAAAAAUAUUUCAUUUUGAUUCACUUGAAAAUCUUGUGAAAAAUGGAAAGAGUGAGGAUAUUUAUAGAGUUCAAAAAUAAGAAAAAAUUUGUAUUUUCGGAAGACUAGUCAAGUGAUCGCCUCUCGUCCGGAAGAUCAAUAUAGCCGUUUGUACAGCAAAAAUCAGAAAGUCAGAACAGUCAAAUUGUGGAUCGUUGGAGGGUGUCUGGUCGAUCGCCUCCUUUAGCCGGUCAACCGGUCCGGUUGACCACCUCUCUGAGCGGUUGACCACCCCGGCAACGCGGCGUUUUUAUGUUUUGGCCUCGUUUGUUUCGAUAUGAAAGUUUUAAAGUGCAUGGACCUUUGGAAAAUAUUUUAACUAUUUUUUCAUGAUAAAAAUGUUUUUUUUAAAGUCCAAAUAUCACUUUUAAAAGUCAUUUUUAUAUUUGAUCAAAACAUUGCAUUGGAAUGACUUUUAGUACACAAAAAUUAUUUUUGAUGCAUGGAAGGAUUUUGAAUUUAACUAUUCUUUGUCAAAUAUCAAAGUGUUAGUACCUUUACAUUUUGCCUAAAAAAUCAAGUCUUAGAUCUUCCUCUAAAGUUUCUUCCAUGUUUGGCUCUUGAACUUUUGAUAUUUAUCUUCCUUGUCAUUGAUCUUCAAUGCUUGAUUUUUUUUGGCUUUUAUCUUUUAAGCUCUCGUCUCAAAUGAUUUGACUUGAAUGCAUAAGCAACUCCAAAUUUGAUCUUCAUUUCAAGUCCAAUAUAUGUUGCUUGAUAGAUUUUAACAUCGAACUAUUAUCACUCAAAAUGAAUUGUUAAAAAUAAUAUCAAUCUUGCUUGUUAUGAUCAAAACAUUGAGAAUGAAGAACAGUGGUAUAGUUCAUCUAAGCUCCAUUCAGAGUUUUGCUAGCAUUGUGAAUUGCCCUUAAUAUCUUUUCACUCCUUUGUCUUAGAAAUGCCUCGACUGUGUAGUUACUGACAUCACGCAUGACUUCAAAUGUUUGACCCCAAUAUGGUAUUACCAUCAUUGGAAUUGUAACUAAUUUCUCUUUUAUUGCUUCAAAUGCCUUUAGCCAAUCUUUAUCAAACAUGAAUGUGGAGUCCUUUUCUAAAAGGUUGGACAGGGGUUUGGCUAUCUUUGAAAAGUCUUUAAUAAAUCUUCUGUAAAACUCGGCGUGUCCUAAGAAAUUCCGAAUGCCUUUGACAUUGGUAGGUGGUGGUAACUUUGCUACUGUAUCAAUUUAGCCCUGUUGAGUUCAAGUCCCCUUGUUGAAACAUGAUGGCCUAGUACAAUUCCUUCCUAUACCAUGAAAUGACAUUUUUUUUAGUUAAGAACUAAGUUCUUUUUUUUUUUCCACAGAGUUGCAAUACUAAAGAGAGAUUGGAAAAGCAAUUAUCAAAAGAAGUACCAAAUAUAGAAAAAUCAUCCAUAAAUACCCCCAUGAUGUCCUCUAUCGUGUGCAAAGAUUGUUAUCAUGCAUGUCUAGAAAGUAGCUGGUGCAUUGCAUAAUCUAAAUGGCAUUCGUUUGUUGGCAAACAUCCCAUAAGAACAAGUGAAUGUUGUUUUUUCCUGAUCUUCUGAUGCUAUUGCAAUUGGUUUGUAGGCCCGAAAACCAUCAAGAAAAUAGUAGUGAGAAUAGCCUGCUAAUCUGUCCAACAUUUGAUCAAUGAAUGGAAGUGGAAAGUGGUCUUUUCUAGUUGCUUUGUUUAGCUUCCCGUAGUUAAAGCAAACCCUCUAACUAGUUACUGUUCUUGUUGGAAUAGCUCGUUGUCAUCGUUCUUGACUACUGUCGGGUUUGAGAGGGUAAGCACUUCUUACAAGUACUGGACAAUCAAAGGGCUCCACAAGCUCUAUAGAAGAGUACUUAACAUUCGUUGAACGAGCAGCAAAGGUGUCCUUGGGGUGAUCUUGUAGUUCCUACACUUCAUUCGAAAACUCAAUCAAAAGGUGAACAUUCUUUGGCUUCAUUGAAUGUCAUUAUAUUCCUUUCAUAUCCCAAUUCCAUUCAUUUAAUGCCCCUUUUGUCCCGUCUUUCUUUAGUACCACCUGUUUUGAGCUAACCCAUUCACUGUCUGAAAUAGCAAAUACAAUCCCUGCCUUCAACAGCUUUAGUAUCUCUGUUCGUACUACUUCAUUCAUAGUUUGAUUUAAUAUUCUUUGAUGGUCAAUGGAUGAUUUGUAAGAGUCUUCCAUGGGGAUUUUAUGCAUGCAAACUGUAGGGCUUAUACCCUUGAUAUCAGUGAUAGAUUAAACUAGAGUAGCCUUGUGUUCUCUCAACACUUUCAAAAAGUUGUCAUCUUCAUCCCUAGUGAGUGAGGAGGAAAUGAUCAAUGGAGAUGUAGAAUUUUCCUCAAAAAAUGCAUAUCGAAGGUGAUCUGGAAGUUUCUUUAAUUCAGCAUUACUAUUUUUAUUACCCUUACUGUCAUUUAGUCUCACUGACUGCUGAAUAUCUUUACUUUGUGAUGGAUUAUCAUCAUUUGGUAAAGACCCAAAAGCCAGUAUACAAUCAACUAAGCCCUUGCUUCCCAUGUAAUCCCUUGUGGUAAUAAUGUCAUCCUAUGUAGCACCAAUCAUCAUACAAUGCUCCAGGGGGUUCUCGAUGAAUACACUUACCUCUUUCACUACAGAGUCAAUGAAGUCAAUUCCAUGGCAAGUGUUGGCAUCAUCUGAAAAUUUUGUUGCCUGGUAGACAUUGAACAUCACUCAACCGUCAUUUUUGUACUACAAUUAGAGCUCUUCCAGUUGCUAAGAAUGGUUUACCAAGAAUCAGUGGAAUUUUGUAAUCAUUUGCCAUAUCCAAAACGGAAUCAGCAGGGAAGAUAAAUUUAUCAACUUUUACUAAUACAUUUUCAAUAAUCCCUUAUGGAUAUGUGAGAGAUCGAUCAGCUAAAUGCAAGGUUACUGUUGUUGGCUUGACUUUCUCGAAGCCCAACUUCUUGUACACUGGCAAGAGCAUUAAAUUGAUGCUAGCUCCAAGAUCUUAAAGGACUUUAUCGAAAGAGAAGCCUCUAAUGGUGCAGGGAAUAGUGAAGCUACUUGAAUCUUUCCUUUUUUGAGAAAGUUUCUUUUAAAGAAUUACAUUACAUUCUUGUCAACUUCACUAUCUCAUAUUUUUCCAACUUUCUCUUCUUCAACAUCUCUUCUUUCAUGAAUUUGGCAUAGUUUGACAUCUGUUCCAAAGCAUCUGCUACUGGAAUAUUAAUGUGAAUUUUCUUGAAAAUGUCCAAGAACUUAGCUAACUGUGCAUCAAACUUCAUCUUUUGGAAUCUCUGUGGAAAUAGAAGUGAUGGCUUGAUGAUUGGUGGGUCAUCAAUGAUUGAUAUGGAACGAGGCUUGUGAACCGUCGGCGCUUCUUCGACCUAGUUUUCCUAGUUUGUACUUAACUAUUCUUCUUCUUUAUCAGGGAUAGUGGUUGUUACUACUGUAGGCAUAUUUUCUCCAAUUUUCUUACCACUCCUUAAUGUAAUAGCCUUGCAAUAUUCUUUCAUAUUGACCUCUGUAUCUUGGGAACUUUUCCUGUUGUUGAGACUUCAUUGAUGUAGCCAACUGACCAAUUUAAACCUUAAGCUUUUUCAUUAUAGCUCCUAUGUUGGUAUCAUGCAUCUCAAUAUUAUCCAAACGUGACUCAUCUUUGUUGAACCACGAUCUUGUCUCAGAAAUAAAAGUCCAAUGAUGUCUUCUAAGGAUGGCUUUCCUUCAUAAUAUUGAGCGCUGAACCCAAAUAGAGGUUGAAGUGUGUUCCUAUUGUUGCCAUAUGAUAAAUUCUCAUGAUUUCUCAGUCUUGGAUGAUAGUGAUUGGAAGAGUAAUUUUCUCUUUGAUUGAAAUUCUUGCUGUUGACAUAUUGAGCUUGCUCAUUUGCUAUUUUUGUCUCUUGAUGUGCUAAAGAAGUAGCCUUAAUUGAAUAUGCCUUUUGCUGAUUACUCUAUGUAAUAAGUGUAGCUAUCUAAUUAAUAAGUGAUGAGAUCAGAGCUGCUAAUGCUGUUGUGGGAUCCACUUAAUGUAGACCCACUGCUCUCUUCAUGCUUGAUCUCUCAAUUGACCAUUGGUAGCUAUUCGUGGCUAUGUUAUCCAACAAUGAAUAUGCAGCAUUAGCUGUUUUAGUCAUUAGAGUCCCUCCUGUAGUUACAUCCACUAUAAUUCUUGUUUGCCCAUUUAACUCAUUGUAGAAGAUCUCAAUCCGUAUCCAACUCUGAAAUCUAUGUUGAGAACAUCUUCUAAGCAAGUCGUUAAAUCUUUCCCAAGCUUCGUAAAAUGGUUUGAAUCCGAAUUGUCUGAAUUGACCAAUCUCGCUUCGAAGUUGAGCUAACUUGGAAAGUAGAAAGUACUUGGUAAGAAAUUUUUGAGCUCAGUCAUCCAGGUAAUAGUAGAACCAUAUAGUGGUGACUGGAACAAAGCCUUAGCUUUAUCCCUCAAGGAGAAAGAAAAUAGGCAGAGUCUAAUUGCUUCAUCAGUAACCAAAUUCAUCGUCACUGUAUCACAAAUCUCCAGAAAAGAGUUUAGAUGAGCAUUUGGUCCUCUAUUGGAGCUACCCCAAGCUGUUUCUGCUAUACUAUAUGUAUGAGUCUUGGCUUCGGUUCGAAAUUAUUAACAGCAAUAAUUGGUUGCGUGAUACCAGAGUAGUUGUCAUUGGCUCGUUGUUUAUUAUUUUCAUUAGCUAUUCUUGCUUCAUGUUCACUUUCCUACAUACCCCUUAGAAAGUGGAAUGUGCAAUAUGGUUUGAGAUAAAUAGGCAGUAUGUCAAGAUUCCUAGUUCUUCGCAUACACAGCUGAAAAUACAAACAAGGAAAUUAUUAGAGAUGUAAAUACGAUAAAAUAAAAAUAAAUAAAAAAAUCUAAAUUAAAAUAAAAGCUAAUUGGUAAUAACAUCAAUAGAAGUCAAAUAAAGCAAAUUUCGACAACGACGCCAAAAUCUUGUUAUGCAUUUUCUAUAACCUAAUUUAUACCUCAAGUUUACGGUGCCAAGUUCUUUAAUAUAAAAUUGGAAGUAUAAUGUCAAACCCACUGGGAUUGUUAUCUUCUUUCUAUAGGAUACUAUAAUUAUUUUAGCUUUUACUUUAUUUAAAAAAUUAAAUGUAUAAUCGAUGUUUUUAUUCUAAUCUAACAUAGAUAUGAUGACAAUUUAAGCAAUUUAUAAGAGAUUUAUCUAAGUGAGGUAGCCUAGGGAUCAAUUUUACCACCUUAUCAACAAUGUUUUUCAACUUCUCCAGUUACUCCUAUCAAUUUUUCCAAAAUUUAAGAAUCGUGGUAUAAUCCUAUUCACUCUCUCGAGUGCCGAGUAGAAUUUAUCUCUAUGCUUUAAUUCUAAUAUCUUUGUUCUGAAUUAAACAUAUAGAAAUUGUCAAGUAUGUAGUUCUUAAAUGAAAUAAGCAUAAAAGAUUUCAUACUUUCUUUCGAAACCUAAAUAAAUCUAAGUUAUUUUAUUAUUAGAUCAUGUCUAAAUCUCCCUCUCUCGAGUGCCGAAAUUUAAAGUAUCAAAUCAUUCAAAUAUUGAUUAGGUAAUUGAAAACAUUACGCACAAAUCAGCACAAAUAAAUUAAAGGAAAAACAAUAGAAAUAACUGUAUUAGAAUCCAAACAUGUUUCAAGUUAAGUUACAUCAACCUUAGAUGUAGAAUUUAGUUCAUGAUUGAGAUGAAUGACAUAAUCAAAUCAGACAUAAUCAAAUCAAAGGAAAGAAGAUAGAGAAGAAAAAAUUAAGAAAAACUUGUUUGCCGCUUAAAUUCUUCUCCCAAUUUGUAGUCUUCUUUCCUCUCAGACGAUCUCUCUUUUUCUCUUUUUUCUUGAGCCGUCCUCUUCUCAAUCUAGGUCUUUAAGUUGUUAUUUAUACUCUCCUAAUAUAUCAAGACAAAUUGGAGUCGGACCGGGCUGAAAUGAUUUUAAAAAACCUGAAUUUUCUCUUUUCUUGGUAGUGGACCGACGCCAUAACCCCUACGUCUGGUGUUGCAGCGCCAACACUUCUGCUAGUUUGUAUUUUUGACUGAGUGUUGCAGUGCUCGCCCUGCGCCCAACGUUUUGCUUCUUCUUUAAUUUUCUUGGGUGCCUACGACGCUGUAGCACCUCAUGUACCAUUUCGCCUCCUUUGCUUGUGCACUGACUUUUUUUUCACUUUGUUUUUCUCUCCUUUCAUCUCCAUUCCAUGCCCAUUUUCAUGAUCAACACUUUAGCUUCAUUCAAAGCUUCGAAAAAUGCCAUUUUAUCCAAGUUAUCUAAACUAUAAAACAAAAUGUACACACAUUAAAACGCUCAAAAGUGCUCAAGGACAAACCAAAAACCAUGAUUUAGAGGUGCUAAUUCGAUGAGUGAAUUACACUAAUCAAGUUUCAUAGUUUGUCUACGAUUGUAUACUUCAAACAUGGUUGAGAGUCUGGAUGCAACUAUAUAUCAAGGAUACUCAAUUUUUGACAUGGUAUAGAAUUCAUCAUCUGAUAAUUUUUCAUAGUUUACUAUGGAUUAUUACUUACACAAGAUGAUGAUACCAUUGACUAAGUUAAUGAUAGAGUUGUAAUGUCGAAAGUGGUCUUAAUGGUACAAUAACAAUGCUCCUGCAUAAUUUGCUGGCUCCUUUUGUUCCAAGCCAAAAAGGCAAAUUUGGAAAGAAGAUGAAGAAAAUUAUCAAUAUGCAUAAGAGCAACAAAAGAACAAAAGUAGAUGGCAAGCUUUAAGGUAAGUGUUCCAACUGCAAUCGAAAAUGACACUAAAGAAAGACUUCCCAAAUGUACUAGCUAUAAAGAAAAGUAUAGGUGAGGUUUUUCGUUAGUGGGUAAUGUUUAGUGGUUAAUAUUACAAAUUCCUGACUUGUAAAUUUUGGAAUCACUAAUCAUAUCUACAUGUUGAUACGGGUGUUUCAGGAAAGCAAAAACUCAAUUAAUGCCAAUUUAUAAUUAUUGUUGGCACAAAAACAAUAGUUUUAGCAAGAGCAUAUGAGUAUUUUGCUUUUAUUUCCAUAGUGUUAGGUGUUUGAUUAUUAAAGACUAUUAUUAUGUAUAGCUAAUGAAGCAAAAAUUUAUUUUCUAUUUUCGAUUUAAUAGGAUAAUAUUAUUUUAUAAAAUCAGCCUCUAACAUGCUUAGCAUUUUAAUGAAUAAAAUUCAUGUUUGAGUUGGACAUUUGAUUGAUGGUCUUUAUAUUAUAAACUAUUCUGCAUAUGAAAUAAAAAUGUUACUCUUUACAUCAUAAAAUGUCCCACCAUUCUAGUGAUACAUAUCUAUGGCAUCUUGGAUAAAUCAAUCUUAAGGGAAUAUAAAACUGAUUAGAGAUGGUUUUCUCAACUCGGUUAAGAUCGAACCAUUGAUAGCUUGUGAUUUAUGUUUAUACAACAAUUUGACCAAGAUAACCUUUUUUUGACAGAAGAGGUAGAGCCAAAGAUGCAUUGGAACUAGUGCAUUUUGAUAUGUGUGGAUCUAUGAAUGCACUUGAGAAGGGGAACUAUGAGUAUUUUUUUUUUAUAGAUGAUUACUUUAUAUUCAAGUACAUUUACCUAACAGCUUGAAAGUUAAAUACUUUAGAGAAAUCAAAAGAGUAUAAGACUAAAGUCGAGAAAUAUUUGGAUAAGAGUAUUAAUAUACUUCGAUCUGAUCAAGGUAGUGAAUACCUGUCGGGUGAAUUCCGGGACAAUCUAACUAAAAAUGGUACCAUUUCUUAAUUGAAUACGUCGGGUAUACCCAAACAGAAUGUCGUUUCAGAAAUAAGAAACACGUGUUAGAUAUGGUUAGAUCAACGAAGAACUUCACAACUCCACUUAUUUCAUUUUAGGAUAUAUGUUGGAAAUAGUUGGAUAUAUUCUUAACAUAGUUCCUUCUAAACCUGUUCUCAAGACUCUCCUGAAAUUUUGGAAUAAAUUCAAAUCAUGUUUGCAUCACAGCAAAAAUUUGGGGGUUUAGCUUAUGUGCUGAAAGAGAUGACACAAAAGUUGGAGUCUAAGUCAGAGAUGUGCCUGUUUGUGGGAUAUCCUAAAGAUACUAAGCGAUAACUUUUUAUAGUCCUCUAAAUAGGAAGGUUUUUGUUAGCACAAAUGCAACCUUCCUAGAGAAUAAAUAAAUAAAUUAAUGAUCUUAGUCCAAGAACAAGAUCAUGUUAGAAGAAAUAAGUGGGAGAACUUCUAUUUCGUCAAUUCCUAGAACACAACCUGGGACAGACAUUCCAUGGUGUCAAAUUGGGCAACGUGAUUUGAGUAGGAGAGACAAGUUGUCAUUUGAUCCAAUAGAUCAAUGGAACAUUGAAAGUAAUGAGGAGGUAAUAGCGUCACCUAGUGGCAGUGCCAACAUUGAUAAAAAUAUUAUAUUUCAAGUGAUGUCACAGUCCAAUAUCAAUCGUCCCUUAGACAAGUUGGAUGAUUAUCAAUCCACCUUCAAGGUACUUGUUGAGUAGAGAGUCUAAUAUGGUGAUCUGACUUCAUAUAAUAAGGUCAUAGAUGAUGUAGAUGCAGCGAUCUAUUUAUAGAUCAAAGUAGACAUCGAGAUCUUGUAAUAGUAAUUCAACAAAGUGAUUAAGACAUAUGGUUUUAAUUAGCACUUUGAUAAACCGUAUGUCUAUAAGAAUAUAUUAGACAAGAUUAUAUUUUGCCUAGUGCUUAUGUACAUAAAAUUUUCCUUAUUAGAUUAAUGUAGAUGCGUUAUUGUCCAUGAAAGCGUGCUUGGCCCAACAGUUUCAUAUGAACGACUUAAUGAAGCUAGCAUGUUCUAGGUUUCAGAUCUUGAGAAAUUGAAAGAACAAGAUGAUAGCUUUUAUCCUAAGUUUUAUAUGUUGAUAAUAUACUCGUUAGAUUUGCUAUGCAAGAUUUUGCGCUGGAGCAUCGAAUCCGACUCUUUAAGGAUUAGUCCGCGAAGACUUGUAAAGAGAUUAAAUAGGUGAGUAGGAUACCUUAUGCAUUAGCAAUAGGUAAUCUCAUAUAUGAUGUGCUAUGCAAUAGACCUGACAUUUGUCAUAUUGUUAUUAUGGUGAGUCAAGAUCUAUUUAAUCUUAGGAUUGAAACAGUGAAUGGCGAUAAAGCAUAUCUUUUAGUACCUCUGGAGAACAAGGAGUUAUAUGCUCCUUGCUAGAUCUUAUUUUGAUAGGUUAAAAGGAUUCGAACUUCUAGAAAGAUGAAGACUAUCACAUGUCUACAUUAGUAUCAUUGUUUACACUUGAUGGUGGGGCCAUUAUUUGGAGAAGUAUCAAGCAAUCAUUCAUUGUUGAUUCCACCAUUAAUACUAAAAAUUUACUAGCUUAUGAAGGUACAAAUUUGGCUAUAUUAACUUAGAAAAUCCUUAUGGACAUCGAGGUGUUAUCUACAUAUGUACGUAUUUACAUUGUAUUGGGAUAACAAUGGAAUUGUGGCGGAUGUUAAAGAACCUCGAGUCGUCUGAGGGUUAAACACAUUGAACGAAAAUAUUAUCUCUUAAGAGAGAUAGUUGGUAAAGAAAAUGUGGUUGUCAAUAAGAUUGCUACUGGGAUGAACUUAUAGACUUGUUAACUAAGAGCCUGUCGGCUAAGGUUUUCGAGGGAUACCACAAGACAUGAUGUUGCAACACAUGACACAUAUACUUUAGGGCAAGUAAGAGAUUUAUUGGUUUGUGUACCCAUAUAGUAUAUUUUGUUAUGAUAAAAUAAUUAUUUAUAAUAAAUAAAUUGUGAUUUUAUUUAUUUAUUGCAUUAUUUAUUAUUGAGCAUACAAAUUAAGUGUUUAUAAUCACUUGUGAUAAUAUAAGUUGGGUACUUGCGUUAAGAAUACAGUGUGACACAACUUAUAUUUCGGUCAUAAAUAAUUUAGUCACAAUCAAUAUACAAGGAUUGGCACCUCGUACUAAAAGGUAGUAGUGUUGAUCAUUUCACUAUUCAGGUUUGCGAUUUGUCCAUAUCACAGAAAUAGUUAAAUGUAACACUAGUACACUUAGGGUGCAUUGAAUGGACGUCGAGUUUAAUUCUAUAACAUGAUCAUGUAGAGAUUAAAAUGAUAGUUGACCGCUAUGUAUUACAUCCAAAUCCUUUGACAGGGUUGUAUACAUCUUUUCGUGAUUUUAACAGUUCUUUGAUUCAUCAAUGGAUGUGAUCAAUUUUAUUAGCCAAAUAUUUCAAUGAGAUGGGAACUUGAGAAUGAGCGGAGUAAAAAAAUGAAUUCAUGUUGAGAUCUGUCACCAUUAAAAAUGGGUAGAGUGACUAUUUAAGUAUUUUCUGUUGAAUAGUUAAAAUCUAGAGACGGCUAAAAUUUGACAUUUGUGAUUAGUUCGCAGGACCGUUGAAGAAAUGCUACUUACAUUAGUAAGAAUAAUUAGAAAGGCAAAACGACCAUUUAUACUCGUAUUUAAUUAUUCGAUCUUGGACGAGGACAAAGUACAUAUAGAAUAGGUCAGAGAAAAGAAUACGGAUUUAUUGACUUUUGCAAUCUUAUAUAUUCCAUUAGUUCAGUCUUUUGCCUUUAGUGGCAAAAAGUGAAGACUAAUAUCUGGAUUUGGUGAUCUACGGUCGACUAGAAAGGAUCUAAUUAUUGGAGUUUAGAUAAUAUAUAUUCGAUCAGGUCCCUAUGGUAGCUCCAUAAAGUAUUGAAACUUAAUUAUGGUAAUUAUAAUAGUUUUUGGCUUAAUUUUAAUUACAAUAAAAUUUUGUAAUUACUAUGAAAGUUGUAAACUUAAUUAUAAUUGUAAUUGAAGUUCUGGGGUUAAGCAUGUCAUUAAAUGUAAACUAAUUGGAUUUGAACUACUAAUUGAAACUCCUACUUGGAUUUUAAUUUGAACUCUUAUUUGAAUGUGAAAUUAUUAUUGUACAUGAUUGUAACUAUCAUAUCUCUAUAAAUAGAGACUUGAUAGAAACUAGACAUCCUAUGGAAUUAUACAAAAAUCAUAAUACAUAAUUCUAUGAUGUUCAAAUUUAGAGAGAGAAAAAAGAUAGAAAAAAUUAUUUUUCCUACUUUUAUCAAUUGUCUAGAUAAAAAAUUAGUUUCUUAAUUUAAUUAAAAGAAUGUACCCAUUCACCGAUAUAGUCUUGAUUUUGGAUAAUACCAAAGAAGAUAUGGAGGUUUGAAACAUCAAGUUCUUGAAAUUUAAAAGCUGAAAGUUCGAGAUUUGGAAUUAAUUCAAGAAUUGGUCAUUGAAUUUAGGUAAAAAUUCAAAUUCUUUAUUUUUUAUAUAAGAUCUAUGUGAACAUCUAAACGAUCUUAUUUAUUGAAUUAAAGAAAUUUUUAAUUUUUGGAUAAUUUCGCUUUUGCAUUUCAAAAACUGGUAUUGGAGAAAUCUAGAUUGUUCACGUGCUUUUUAUUUCUGAAUCUUGAUUGCAUGUUAUAAUUAAACGAUGUCUAGGAUUAUUUUAUUAUGUGAUGUUAGAAUGAUGGGAUUAUUUUAAACUGAGAAUCAAUUAUUUGUGAUCAAUUCCUGAUUGUAAUUCAUUAUUUUGAGUAAUCCCGCUAGAUUUAUGUUUGUGUAGCGUAAAAAUACUCAACUAAUUUAUAAGAAGUUAAUGUAUAUUAUGAAGGCUUGCCUGAGUUGAGUAGAACUUUAUAUCUAUAGUGUCUCGUAAAACAGGGAUUCCAUGGAUAACUACUAUCUUGGAAUGUAAUAGCAUGCCUUGUAAAAUUGUGGAGACUUGUAGUUUGAAAAUUUUGGAUUUUUUCUACUAGCAUGCUUGGAUCUUGGGCAAAAGUAGAUUAGCCUGUGUUUGUCUACCAAUUAUUCAACAAAAAUGAGUUUUGAAAUAGUGACCUUCUAGGGAAAGUGUGAUUAAAAAGUAUUAAAAGAUUUGAGAUUUACGUGCAAAAUAUUUUAUUAUAAGAAUGUGUGGUUGAAAAUGAAUUUUAAAUUUUUUUAAAAAAAAGGUGUUUUGAAAUAAUGAUGUUUUUUUUGUGAAAUCGAGUUUUUUUUGUGCAAAAUGUUUUUUUUUUUUUUUUGAAAUAAUGCCUGUGCAAAAUGUUUUUUUUUUGUGAAAUCGAGUUUAGCAAUUUUUCUUAAAACAAUAUUGAAAAUGUGUAAAAUAUUGAAGUGUAGGUUAAUUCAUCAUAUUAUUAAUUUUUUAUUGUCAAUUGGAUUUGAAAUAGAAGUUUUAUACGUGACUAGAAACCUUUUGUUGUGCAAAAAUUCCCCCCAUCUUUUGUUUUCAAAUAUAGAAAUCACAUUUCCAUUGAAAAUCCCUAAAUCAAAACUAUUCGUAGCAAUUUUUUGGAACUUAACACAAGUACACAAAGUACCAAUUCAACCAGAUUUCUCAAAUACCGUCACAUAUCGUGGCACAAAGUCACAAUAAAAAACAACCAAAAAAAGAGAUCAGCAAAAUCACCCUGAAAUCAUUAUUUCUUAAUUUUAGAUCAUUUCUGGUCAAAGAACAAUAUGGAGCAAUUCAUGUUUGGGAGAUGUGUUAAUGAGUUAUAAUUUCAACAGGAAAGUAAACCCAACAACUCGUUACGAUUAUUAGUUCUUGCAAUGACAUAUUAAAAACUACACAAGCUUCACCAAGCAAACUAUCAGUCAGUUAUUAACGCAACAAAAAUUUCAACUUUAGUCAUAAAUAGAGAAAAUUAAUCAUCAUAAACAACAAGCAAUACACAAUUUUCUGUUUAUAAGAUAGCUACCGUGGAUCGACAUUAAAAGUUUAGGGCAAGCGAAUAAAUCCGUAGAUCUUUUAGCAAAUUUUUUUUUUAAAAUUUUUUAUUGAAACUUUUUAGAUAUUUGGUUGUUAAUUCAAAAGGUUUGAUGAAUAUAUAAUGGCUUAAUAGUACAAAAUGUCAUUACAUUUGACUAAUAGUGUGCAAAACGUUCUUACGCUUUAAAAUUUUGCAUUUUAAUCCAUAUUUGCGGAACGUCAUUUUCACUAAUUUUUAACUUAAAAUGAUCAAUAUACCCUCCUAUUUAAAUAAAAAAAAGAACAAAUUGUAAUUUUACUCCUAAACUUUUUUAGAGUGAAAAUGAGUUCAAAUAAAUUAUUAAAAUAUUAAAAAUAACAAAAAAAAAAACUUUUUAUCUCUUUUCUUCUUCUCCUCCCCCUUUCCCUCUACCUCUUCUCCCCCUCAACCUCCUCGACCACCACCGCCACCAAAAUUAUCGAAAUUUCACCCUUUUACCGACAGUUCUACAGUAAAUAUUCUACUGAUGAAGGAGUACAAUUAAAUGAACAAAUUUGAAAAACUAUCACCAAGCCCUAAAAUCCAAAUGGGGCCGCCACCUUAAAAGCUAAAAAAUUUCGGCCAACCACUGUCCAAACUAUCGGACCUCCAAACCAUCAGAAGCCCUCACUCCUCUCUACACAUACCACCCAACAUCCAACCCUAAUGCCGAUAAAUUUGGGAAGAAUUGCAAGCCAAAAUACUCAACUCGUGAAUGCAAAUAUUGGUGGCACCACCUAUUCCGAUGAGACUCAUGUCAUUCCCAACACACUAAUCGACUAUACUCACUAAGACGCUUCUUUUCAUGAUCUUAAAAUGUCAACAGAUGCACAAAAUGAAAAGCUGUAGCAACUCUCAAUUUCUUAUUGGGCAAUAACUGGCUAGAAAUUCUAGGGCUUAUUAGAAUGAAAUUGAUGGAAGCCCAUUACUGUAGUAGGUUUGGCAUGAUGUGGCGAAGUCAGAAUGGGUGAUCUACGAUGGGGAGAACCACUGCCGAUCCCGAAAGUGAUGGAAAAGGCAAUGUUUUGCGCGCGUGAUAAGCUCUGUUUUUGGUUGAUUCUUGCCAUAUUAAAUUGUUGUUCGUUCAAUUUGUUUGUGGAGAAGUGUUUGAGGGUUGACGACGGCUGUUUGUCGUGCGAGUUCCGAUGUUUUAUGUGACAGAUUGGUGGUGGUUGGUGAGAUGGAGGCCGACAGUUCCAUGAAUCUCCAAAUAACGAGUGGGUGGGGGUGAGGUGGGAGAAGAAACGUGAGGACGUUUUGUGCUGUCGAGCCUUCAAAAAAAUUUGAGCCUAUAGUUGCAAUCUUUUUUUUUUUUUAAUUUUAUUUAAAUAGAAAGGUAUAUUGGUCAUUUUAAGUUAAAAAUUGGUAAAAAAAAAAGAAGAAGAAGAAGAUGUUUUUCACAAUGAAACAAGGAAAUAUGGGUGAAAAUGAAAACAUUUAAACGUAGGAACAUUUUGCACAUUACAAACUAAAAGCAUGGACGUUUGUACUAUUAAGCCAAUAUAUAACAAAUAACAACAUUAUUAUAAGAGUGCAUGUGUUUGAACCACAUAUUUAUUUGAGAAAACGUAAUUGUUUCCUAUCAUCUUCUACAGACUAAAUGUAGGGACGUUUGAGCUAUUAAGCCAAUAUAUAACCGGUAACAACAUUAUUAUAAGAGUGCAUUUGUUUGAACCAGAUAUUUAUUUGAGAAACGUUAUUGUUUCCUAUAAUCUUCCUAAAUAACAUUAUUUAACAUAGAAUAAAAUUUGUUCCGUCAAUUUUAAUAUUAAAUUAUCACCGUACAAUUAUUUUAUUACAUAACGUAUUAUAUAAGGUUUUUUUUUUUUUUUUACCCAUUUAAAUCACACGUGUAAUUCUUUUUUUUUUACAUUUCAUGCCCCAUCAUUAGCCCUCCAUAAAUCUAAUUAUAAAAUAAGAUAUAUAUAUAUAUUGCAAAAGUUAUUUAAAUUGCUAUUUUUAUUUUCUUUUGUUUCCUGUAAUAGUUUUUCAAAAAAAUAAGACAGAUAGAGAAUUAAUUUAUUUCCUUAAUUCAAACAAUAUAAUUUAUUUAGUAUUCAAAUAGCAAUUUCACAGUCAUGAAACUCUAAUAUCAAUAUUUUGUUAUAGAGUUUAAAAUUUAAAUUUCCCUGGAACUUCGGCCAAGAUUUAUUACAAUUUAAUUAGUGAAUGAAAAAUUUCAAACUUUAUAUCGUUGCAUAAUUAGUGAACAAAGUUUCAAUACAUUAGCGAUAUUCUUUUUAAGUAAAAUACAAAUAUGUUGACCUCCAAAAAUGUGUCAACAUGUGUCACUCCUAAAUAACGCACACGUGGACAGAUAUACUCAAGUACAUUAAUGAAAUAUUCAAGCUUGAAAAUGCACAUGAAGGAGAGAACUUAGAGUGAUCAGAAUCAAUCUACUUGCGGAUUGGUUUGUGAGAGAGGGCCAAAAUACUGUUAUUGUCUAUCGUCGGUCUCUACGGUAGANNNNNNNNNNNNNNUGUGGGGGAGGGGGGGACAGAGGGGGGGGGGAGGGGGGGGGGGGGGGGGAAGGGGCCUGAGAGGUGAGGAUUUCAGCGGUUCGAGUCCGCUUAUCUCCAACUCAUGAACUUAGCCGACACAAAAGGAGGAAUCUGCCCGAGGAGGGACUUGCGUUUGAUUAGCUAGUUGGUGAGGCAAUAACUUACGACUUGACUCAAAAAAUUGACUCAUUUCGAAAAUCAAAUUAAUGAAUUCCAUUACAUAUUGAUUAGAGAGCAAAUAUUCAUAGAAAAGAAACCACAAAACUCCUUUUUUAUGUAUAAAAGUCCAUCCCCUUCAAAUGUUACAAAUAUUGCUAUUUAUAGUGAUCAGGCCGACGUGGUCAUCGUUGGAUCUAAUCCAUGUGGCCUCAUCUGCUGGACCUAGGUGUCACAUCAUCAUAUUUCACAUUAAUUAUACUAACAGACAUUUGAAAAGGGAUCAACCGUCCUACACUCCUAGUCUGACAUUCCUAAUAUCUAUUUAAUGAGGACGUCACAUCAAUCAUUCUUAAAGAUACACUUAUCAGACCUACUCUUGAGGACCAUGGACCUUGGGCGUGAAGGAGUUCGGUAGAAGGCAUAAAGCACUUCGACCAAAUGAUGAGAGUACUUUAGCAGUAGUGCCUCAGCCAUUAUCCCUUUCUUUAUUCUUGAUUGAAUACUACGUGUAUGCACGUAGUGCUUCUACAUGGCCCCAUUGGAAGCAUUACAUGUGGUCAGUAACAAAGAUUAAAUAUUGUGUUGGGAUUUUGUCACCCAAUCAAAGAAAUAUUCAUAAAACUAAACCCAUGAAAUAGCAAAUAAUCAACAAAAAGAAAUUGGUCAUCUAGUUCGACAAAGCCUACUCGAGAGGCUCAAAGGUAAGAGUCCAUCACUAUGUGCAAGAUCCUCCCAAGAGAGAGUUUAAGUUUAGAAUACAAUAAUCAGAUCAUCGACUCAAUAAAUAGAUCAUCGAUCUAUAACAAAUCUCACAAUAACACCAUCUAACCGACAUAAUAUCAAGACAUAAGUUUAGAAUAGUUUUUUACAGUUCAAAACCAACCCAAAAAAGGCCUCAAAACUUCCUGUCACGAACACUAUACAUAGGCCAAAACACAAGCCUAGGAUUACAAUAGACCAAGGCCACAAAUCAAGGCCAAGAUCUAAUUUACAACAAAGAACGAACUAUAGAUCUAAAAAUCAGAGUUGAUGAUACUAGAGAGACCAAAAAGGCCAGAGACUCAGAGAAGAAAACCAAGAAAAUUAAAUGAACCCCUUCAAACCGUUUAUAGCCGAACCCAAGGGUCAAGACCAUUUUCAUUUUAGCCUGAACCGUUUGAUCAAAUCAACGGUCUAGAUGAGUAAACAACAAACACAUAUUCAGGAGAUAGUGAGAUAGCCAGUAGACUUGCAAGUUAAAAAAAUGUUUUUCCGCUUAUAAAACAGGUUCUUGGUUUUUGAAAACACAAUUUUACAAUCUUUACCUUGUUUUUUCAAACCCCUCACUCUCUUUAGUUGCUACAUUGUGCUUGACGUCAUUUUACCUCAUAUCAUUGCCCUAGGUAGCUGCAAAAGAUUAACCGUAUCAAUAUGUUGUAAAGAUAAACAAGAUUUAAACUUACGAGCAGUUAGAAUUUUGGUUCCCAUAUCAUAUGGGUUCACAUCGAUAUGAAUUUUUUCAAGUAUAACAUCACUAUAUGCAAUUUUCUCUCGUAUAAAGUGGUACUUCACCUCAAUGUGCUUAGAUCUCUCAUGAUAAACAUGAUUUUUUACAUAAAAACAAAGCACUUUGUCUAUCAGUGAAAAUUAUAGGUGACUUUUGCAAAAAAAUCAAUUUUCCCAAAAUUUCAUUUAAUUAGAUACAUUCUUUUAUAGAUUUAGUAAUUGCCACAUAUUGUGCCUCCGUGUUGGAUAAUGUGAAAACAGAAUGAAGUUGUGACUUUCAUGUGAUGCAAUUAUCAAUAACUACGAAGAAAUAGGUAGUACUAGACUUUCUUUGAUCAUUAUCCCCAUCAAAAUUCGAGUUUAGAUACCCCUUUAACGUAAGUUGUUCAAAUCUAUUUUCAAACACCAAUCCCAUAUUAAAUGUCCCGGCUAUGUAAUUUAGAAGCCAUUUUAACCCAAACUAAUGAGGCUUUUUGGGAUUAGACAUGAAUCUACUUCGAAAACUUAUAGCAUAAGUCAAAUCAGGCCUAGUAGUGAUCAUAGAAAACAUGAUCCAUCCUAUGGCAAUUAGCAUAUGGGACAUUCUUUAAUUUUUUCAUUUUCAUUUUUAUUUUAGGUGAUUAGGAUGAUGAUAAAUUCAUAUGGGCUGUAAAAGUUAUAUUCACAUGCUUAGCUUCUCUCGCACCAAAUUUGGUUAUAGCUUUGUUCAAAUAAACACUUUGUGUUAUAAUUAAAAUAUUCUUUUACCUAUUUCUGUUAAUAACCAUUCCUAAAUUUUUUUUUGGCAUUUUCUAAGUCUUUCUCAUCAAAUUUAGACUUUAGAAGAUUUUUAUGUCUCAAAAUUUCAGCUUUACUAGAGCUGGCCAAUAGCAUGUCAUCAACAUAUAGAAGUAAAUAAACUUCACCACCAUCUCUAUAUUAUUGUAGUAUAGACAGUGAUCAUAUUCACUUCUUUUGAAAUCAAUCUUCAACAUAUAUGUUUCAAAUCUAAUAAACCAUUGCCUUGGAUUUUGUUUGAGCCCAUACAAUGAUUUUUGCAACUUACAAACAUAACCUUCCUUUUCCUUGACCUCAAACCCUUCGGGUUAACUUAUCUCCUCAUCUAACUCAUCGCGUAAAAAAGCCAUCUUGACAUCUAGUUAUUCAAGUUCUCAAUUAAAUUGAACAACUAGUGCAAGAAUCAAUCUUAUGGUCUUGUAUUUGACAACCGGAGAGAAGAUCUCAUUAUAGUCAACACCCUUCUUAUUUAGUAAAGCCUUUGGCUACAAGCUUUAUAUCUAGAAGGGUUAGAUGAGGUAAUCCCAUCGUUCGGUUUGAAAAUACACUUGAAUUGAACAACUCUUCAAUUUUUAAGUUUCUAUAAUAAUUUCCAUGUAUCAUUUACAAGUAAAGAUUUCAUUUCUUCUUUCAUUGCAUCUUUUCAUUUCUCAGAUUUAAAGCUAUUCAUGGCCUCUUCAUAAGAUGAAAGUUUUGAAUACUCUAGAGUUCACCAAAGAUAAAGGCAAAGUCAGUCAAGUAGUUUAUUUUAUAUCUUGAAUUUGGUUUGACUUGCCUCCUUUCCCUAUCUCUAAUCAAUUGAUAAUCCUAAGCGCUUAUCUCAACACUGGGAACAUUUGGGCUUUUAGUUUUAGUCUCAAACUCAGUUUGAGCAAUAUUUUCAUCAAGUUGUUGAAUGCCAGCUUCAAUACUCUCAAGUUGAGAGGGGUUUAGCUUUGCUAGUUUCAUCUUACUCCGUAAAGAAGUCUCUUUAUUUUUUUCUUUUAAAUUAUAAAUUUCAUAUUUCAUGCAUGGCAUUUUUUAUUCAUUAAGUACCAUAUUUCAGCUAUUAAUGAACUUAAUGCCUUGCACAACCAAUAUCCACAACCUGUAUCCCUUUACACCUUUCAAGUGCCAAAGUAUAACACACUUAGUAACUCUAGGGUCCAACUUUCCCUCAACCAGAUGGGCAUAUGCCGCACAUCCAAACACUCUAAUGUGAGAAAGGUUUGGAGGCUUACCAAUCCAAAGUUCCUGUGAAAUUUUAAAUUCAAUGGAACUACAUGGAGAUCGAUUUAUAAGAUAUAGCAUAUAUCUAAACUUGUUCAUUAGAGUUAUGUUCAUUCUUUUAUCGACCCCAUUCUGUUAAGGCGUGUGCUCAAAGCUCACCCUGUGUGACUUUUCCCAACACACAUGUUUUACAAAAUUCAAGGGGCUCAAUCAAAUCUUUCCCAAGUAACUUUCGGCUACUUGAUACUUGAGAUCCUUAUUUCCUAUAUGUCCCAUUUUGUUAUGCCACAAUUCUGACUUGUUUUCAAUUAUGCUCAAAGAUUUAGUACCUUGACAAGUAACAGUCUCUCCUGCUAGAUAGUACAAUCCAUUUCUUUCUAGUCCUUUAAAGAUUACCAAAUAUCCCUUCAUAACUUUCAAAGUGUUAUUUUUAGACUAGAAAGAAUGUUCCCUGUCUUCAAGAAUUUCCAAUGAGAUGAGAUUUCUUUUCAGGUUUGGGACAUAUCUUACAUUUUUCGAUUGCCUAACAAUGCCAUCAUAUAUCCUGAUGGCAAUGUCACCAAUACCAAGAACACUUUAAGAGUUAUUAUCACCCAUGUACACUUUUCUAGGUUCAACUUAUUUGUAAUUAUUUAACAAAGAUUUAUUAGGACACACGUGGAAUGUACACCUUGAAUCCAAGAUCCAGUUCUUAUCAACUUAUUUAUUAAACACAAUCAUUACUAGUAGACUAUCUAACUCAAAACCAAUGGAAGAAUUAUUCAAUUUCCCAACACUUUGAUCCUCUAGUUUUUUCUUCCAUUCAAAGCAAUCUUGUUUAGAGCGACCUAGUUUCCCACAAUGGUAACACUUCUUAUUGCUUUUAUCUCUUGAUUUAGAUCUAUUUUUAGAUUUCGAUUUAGAUAUUCUGUUAUUGAAGUUCUUCUUCUUCUUCUCGGCCAUUCAUCUUACAAAUAUACUCUCCUCUCUUGAACUUAUCCUGAAUUCUCUCUUGACCUCUCCAAUUCCUGAGACGUUAGAGCAUUAGUAACAAUUGUUUGUGUUAGGUCGUCUCUUGAGUAUUACAUUCUUGUUAUCUUUAUAAAAAUUAGGUAAUGAAUUAAGAAGGAUUAUCGCAAGAUCCUCAUCCUCAGAUUUUUUGUCAUUAUGAGCAAGGCUCUUAACUAGGAUGCUAAAAUCACUCAAAUUAGCUUCCAAGUCUUUCCCAGUAUCUAUCUUAAAACUAAAGAGUCUCUCUAAAAGGUAGAUUUUAUUAGGCAAUGUUUUAGUUAGAAACAAAGCAUUUAAUGCAGCCCAUAAGGCUCUAGAAGUUUUAGCAUCUUCCACUUGUCUUAUUAUGUUAUCAAAUAAGUGCAAUAUGAUAGAAUUAUAUGCAAUUUUUUUUUAUAUUUAUAAUUUCAUCAGGCUUAGCUUUCAAUUUAGCAGAAAAAGUUUCAAGAUCAUCCAAGGCUUUAGCAAUCCUUUGUAUGACCAAUAUGACCCUCAUUUUCUACUUCCAGAUAAAGUAAUCAUCCUUUCUAUCGAAUUGUGAUAAUUCAACCAUCGAACCCAUUGUAGGUUCUGUAAAAGGGUGGCUAUUACUUGUUGACAUUAGUGAUUCUUAAUAUGAGAAAUCACUUAAGUUGCAAAAAAAGUUUUGCAGUUAAUGACAAGCUGAUCUCAGAAUGAAAAACAACAACAAUAUAAUAUACGUAGAUUACAAUAGUAACAAGAAGAAAUGAUUUUAGAUUUUUCGCAGAUGGUACCACUCAAUCAAAUUAAAGAAAUUGAUAUCCUAAACGUGUUCCUAUUACAAUUAGAUAAUUUAUCCAAUUCUUGAAUAAAACAAAUCACAGUAUCAAUAGAUUCACAUAUUAAUAAUUAAAUCACGCAAAUCAACUUCUAUAAAUUUGUAUAGCAACAAUCUCAUAAAAUAUUGUGUAUAAAAAUAUUCAACUAAACGCCAGUGCUGAUUUUAGAAUUGGAUAUUCUGUUCGGUUCGAGUUAUUGGUACUGCAUAUAUCAAUAACUUUAAAUCAAAGCCUUACCCACGCCUUACAAGACUCUAAUACCAGAUUUUUGGGAUUUUGUCACCCAACAAUAUUCCAAAAAUUGAAACAUAGACCCACAAAAAAAAGUAAAUAAUCAACACAAGAAAUGCUCACCCAAUUCGACAAACCUACUCGGUGGAGGGGGGGGAGGAGGGGAGGACUCAGAGGUAAGAACCCAUAACUAUAUUUAAGAACCGCUCAAGAGAGAGAUUAAGUUUAGAGUACAACAAUCAGAUCACUGACCUAAUUAGUAGAUCAUCGAUCUAUUACAGUUCUCACAAUAACACCACCAAACUGACACAAGACCAAGACACAAGUGUAGAAUAGUUCUUUACAGCUCAAAACCAACCUAAAGAAGCCUCUAAACUCCCUGUCAUGAACACCAUACACAGGCCACAACACAAGCAUGAGAUUACAACAAACCAAACAUAAAUCAAGGUCAAUAUCUGAGUUAUAGCAAAGAAUGAACUACAGAUUUGAAAAUCGGAGGUGAUGAUAUUAGGGUUCGUUUGAUUACAAAGAUGGAAUUUUGGUGAAAAGAAAACGAAUUUUAGGAAAUUGAAUUGCAUAGAAAUUAUUUUUCUGAGAAUUGUCAAUUUAUUGUGUUUGAUUGGUAUAAUUUGUCACGUGAAAAAUGUUGAAAUAAAAGUGAUUUUUGGUGUUCGUUUGACUUUGUUUUACAUAAAAAAUGUCAAUUAAAGGGAUUAAUUUUACUGGUGUUGGGAAUGAAAUUUGUUUUCAUUGCCAACAAAAAAAAAUUAAGAAAAUUAUCUAUCUUUUGGUAUCCGUUUGGCUUUAUUUUACAUAAAAAUUGUUAAUUAAAGGGAAAUAUUUUUUUACAGUAGUUCUUAGAAUUUGUUUCCAUUGCAACAAAAAAAAAAAAAAAGAGAAGAAGAACGUAAAAGUAGAUUGGAAAACCAAGAAAAGAACAAUUUUCAAGACAGUCAAGAAAAUGAAAUUCCAUGAAAAAAGUGUGUUAUCAAACACUACAAUUUAGGUGAAAAAUCCAUGGAAUUGGCCCCUAUCAAACACACCCAUGCUGGAGACUCAGAGAAGAAAAUUAAGAGACUGAAAUGAACCUCUUCAAACCGUCUAAGCCAACCCAAGGGUAAAAAAUAUUUACAUUUAAGCCUCAGCCGUUAGAUUAGAUCAACAGUUUAGAUGAGCGAACAACAAACAAAGAUCCAGGUGAUAGUGAGAUAGCUAGUAGAUGUAUUCCAAGUGGACUUGCAAGUUAAAAAACGUUUUCAUUUAUAAAAACGGGUUUUGAAUUUUUGAAAAUACAAUUUUACAUAUUGAAUUUAGUAUGUGAAGAACAAAAUUGAAAGUUUUAAAACAUAAACACGGUAAAAAUCGUAAUCAUGAGAACAACUGGAGCUUCUAGAAGCAGACAUGUUGGAGGAGGUGCAUGGGGGACACGCUUAAAUCUAAGGCGUAGGUUUGAAAAACUGUUUGAAUUCUAUGCCUCAGAUUUGAUUAAUAAUAAAGGGUUCAGAUUGGAUGGGCUUUGAUCAGAUAGUUGGGGUUCGUUUUGGCCCUUUAUAAAAUGCGAGAGACCCCCAUUGUCUUGGAUUUUCUACCCUUUGCAAUCUAAUUUUUUCUUCCAAAGCUAAAGUUUUCCGGUGUCAAAGCUCGGUGUCCCCUGAUUUUCCGGCAGCAUUUCGUCGGCGUAGUAAUCCCGUAGGUAUUUUUUAUAGAACAUCCCUGCUUGGGGAGGACAUGCCUCUCCACAUCUUCACGACCCUAUUCCAGCCUAGGAUAAUAGGUAAGAAGUCAAGGGGGUGGCAUUAUUUGACUCCUUGGGGGGCUCAUACACCAUUUGUGGUGGAGCUGCCUUCUUCUAUUAAGGGGUGCAAGGAGUCAUGGUUCUGGAUGAGGGACAGGUGGCAGGCGGUGGAGGGAGACACAGCCCUGGCUUGCACAGUACCGAACCAGUACUACGAAGCUCAUGAGUCUCCCAGCCUAAGUAGUUUGCAUUCUGUAUUCAAAUUUCUUUUUUCUCUUACUGUUGAGGUUUCGUUUGCAAAUAGCAGUAUGAGGUUCGAGCUGAGCAAGGAGGAGUUCGAAUUGAUAGAGGACAUUUACAAGAGGCCUCUCAAGCUUCGCCACUUCGACCACCUCAUCGACCGAAGUCACAACUUCCUUGAUUUUGAACUGAUGGCCUCCAAGGGUAAAAAGCUCAUAUACUUAGUGUAUUUCUUGCUUUUCAUUUUGAUGCUGAUGGUUGACAUGUUCUGCAGACAAGUUCAAGAGGAGGGAGUACCCAAUCCCUGAUAUGGCCUCUAUACUUAGGACUACACCCACUGUAAAGGCGAGGCCCCUGAAGCCAGGGUCUAGUGGUGCCAAAGAGGUUAGGAGAAGGAGAAGGUCCUUGAGGAGCUAAAGAAGAGGAAGCUGGUGCAUGUCACCAGCUCGUCAGGAAAGUUUGGGACCUCUAUGUCCCAUGAAAGUAAAGAAAGUAGUCAGCCGAAGCUCUUUGCAGUCGCCUCGAAAGCUGUAAAGAUUGAAAUGGUUCGCCGAGCCGAGGCUAAAGAAACUAAGGAGGAGGUUGUGAGGAGGGAAGCGAAAGCGAUAGAGGAGGAGGCUGCCGAGCAGAGACCUGCUAGGGUGCAAGGGAAGUCUCCGAGCUUCCUUGCCAGAAGGGAGGAGGUUUUGGCUCCAGCGUUGGUGGAGGCUCUACCACCAGAGAUUCGAAGUGCCACAGAAAGCUUCUACAAAUUCUGGAUGGAUCGAUGGCAGUUGUAUGCCUCCUCAUAUGAUGCCACAGACUUGACGAGGGCCCUCAUGAGUCAAAGUGUGAGGACCUUUGGCCUCACACUGGAGUACAGGAAGGCCCUUACUGACUUUCAAAUGAAGACCCAGUCCUCGGAGAAGAAGAUUGCCUAUUUUGCAGAGGAGCUAAAAGGGGCUAGAGCCGAGAUGAAGGAAGUGAGGGCCCAAAAACUUGAAGAUACGGACAAGCUGGAGUCUGCCUCGGCUCAAAUUGAGGCGUUGAAGAAAAAGGUAUAUGAGUCCCAGUGCAAGGUAACCUCCUUGACUAAGAAAGUGGAGGUUUCCAAUGACCACCAGAAGGUGACUGCCGAAGUCUUGAAGAAGGCAAACAUGGAGCUGGCAGGGGCCCAAGAUGCGUACAAGUUCAUUGAGGGCCAGAUUAAGUGGUAUGUUGAUGGUGCGAUUAAGGCAAGGAAGGAGGCCAUGAGGCGAAGGAAGAGGCGGUGAAAGACUACAUCGCUAACUUCCACAAUACUGAGGAGUACAAGAGCUUCAGCACUUACUGGAGGAAUUAUGCUUUUGCUGAGAUGAUGGAGAGGGUUGAGGAGCUUUACCCAAAUCAAGACCUGUCAUAGCUGAGGUUGGAGUUUGUGGAUAAAGUGCCUCAAACCCCAGCUGAUGAAGCAGUUGGAGAUGAAGUAACGGAGGCAGAAGAAGGAAGUUCUGAUGCUCAAGCUACGGAGGCCCCGGCUGUUGAGACACCUCCCUCGUCAUUGUAGGCUUAGGAUAAUUUUCUUUUCAGUUAUUUGAUGUACUGGCCUCAGGCCCCCUUUUUGUAAUCUUGAUUGAAAAUCAAUGGAAUACCUUCUUUUGAUCAAUGUUUUUAUCCUCGGUGUGUUUGUCUCGUCAAGCAAUUGAACUUAAUGUUGAUUGAAGAACUAAAUAACUUUAACUCGGUAUCCUAACUCCAAUUACUUGGGCAAUAAAUUGUAUGCAAGCCUCACAAACCAUGAACAGUAUUGGACUUAAGCAAACAAACUGUACUUAAGCUUAAUAAUUGUAACCUGAAUGGAUCCUGACUGGACCGUGUUUCAAACGAACUGGGAAUAUUGUCUGAUUUGAAAAGUAGUUGCAUGAAGCUAGUAGUUGAGCCUUGUACAUAAAUGUGUAUGCGCCUCAAAGUGGAUGGUUCAGCUAUGCCGAGGCUUCUCCCAGUGGCGUUCAGCCUCGCCAAAGGAAGGCAUGUAUAUGAGCCUUGGAGUCAAACGAGGUGGCUCAAAGAUGGAAUGCUAGCUUUUCCUUCGAGAUGAUGAUGCUUCCCAACAUGGUGGAUGACUCAGCCUCGCCAAAGGGAGGCAUGUGUAUGCGCCUCGAAGUCGAACGAUGUGGCCCAAAGAUGGGACGCUAGCCUAUCCUCCGAGAUGAUGCCGCUUUCCAUCAUGGUGGAUGGUUCAGCCAUGCUGAGGCUUCUCCCAGUGACGUUCAGCCUCACAAAAGGAAAGCAUGUGAAUGCGCCUCGGAGUCGAACGAGGUGGCCCAAAGAUGGGACGCUGGCCUCUCCUUCGAGGUGAAGACGCUUCCCAACAUGGUGGAUGGUUUAACCAUGCUGAGGCUUCUCCCAGUGGCGUUCAGUUUUGUCAAAGAAAGGCAUGUGCAUGCGCCUCGGAGUCAAACGAGGUGGCCCAAAAGUGGGAUGCUAGCCUAUCCUCCGAGACGACGACGUAAUGCGACACGAAUUUAAUCAUGGAUAAUUUUAUUGAAUCAUGGAAACGUUAAAUAAGCUGGGAAAGAUCGUCCACCGAGGUAGUACAUUCAUUGAUAAUGGAUUCAGAGGUGCUCAAUGUUCCAUGGAUGAGGUUGUGCCUUGCCGUUCAUGUCUUCAAUCCAGUAGGUCCCGGGUCGGAUCGCCUCCCUGAUUUUAUAUGGACCUUCCCAGUUUGGACCCAGGGAAUUGGUGCCAGGUUCCUUCAAGGAGAGGAAGAAUUUCCUAAGGACUAAGUUGUUGAUUUAAAAUAACCUCUUCUUUACCUUCGAGUUGAAGUACUUCGUCAUCUUUCUUUGAUAUGUGUCGAGCUUCAGUUGGGCAUUAUCUCUCCUUUCAUCAAUGAAGUCAAGGUCGUACUUGCGAAGCUUGUCGUUUGUUAUCUCACUGAAAUGUAGACAUCGUGGAGAUGGAAGUCUGACCUCGACAGGCCUCAUCGCCUUAGUCCCAUAUGCCAUGAGGAAAGGUGUUUCCCUUGAUGGGGUCCUCGCGGUGGUUCGGAUUGCCUAAAGAACCUAUGGCAGCUCAUCCACCCAGGCUCCUUUUGACAUGUCAAGCUUCCUUUUCAGGACGUGCUUGAUUGUCUUGUUCACAACCUCAACUUGGCCAUUUGCUUGUGGGUGGUGAGGCGUGGAGAAGUGUUUCUUGAUGCCAAGUUCUUUACACAAAUUUCUAACCUUCUUGUUGUCGAACUGUCUACCAUUGUCUGAGACGAUCAAGUAGGGAAUCUCAAAUCGACAAAUGAUAUUCUUCCACAAGAACUUGGAAGUGUUGGCUUCUGUAAUUUUUGCCAGGGGUUCAGCUUAAACCCACUUCGUGAAGUAAUCAAUAGUCACAAUUGCGAAGCUCGCACCUCCUCUGCCUUUUGGUAGAGGACCUAUGAGGUCCACACCCCACUUCAAGAAAGGCUAAGGGCUGGCGACCGCGGUCAAAUCUUGCGAUGAUUGUCUUUGGACAGAAAAGAAUCGUUUUCAUUUGUCACAUUUUCGUACAAACUUGAGGGCGUUCCUUUUCAAGGUAGGCCAGUAGUACCCCUGUCUCAGUAUCUGUUGCGCCAAAGAUGGACCUCCAGAGUGGUUGUCGUACAUACCCUCAUACACUUCUCUUAAGACGUAGCAGUCUCUUCUCCUCUAACGUAUCGUAAGAGUGGAGAGAAGAAGCUCCUCUUAUAGAGUACAUCAUCAAUGAAGAGGAAAUGGGCUGACCUCUUUUUUAGCUUGUAGGCCUCAUGCUUGUCGGUGGGAAGUACCUGGUCCUUGAGGUAUGCCACGAUGGGCUGCAUCCAGGUAGGAGCCCCAGUGACCCACAUUACAUUGGGAGCCUCGGUUGAUGGCAUGAUGAGGUGCUCUAUGGAGACUUUUGUGAGUAGUUCGGAAUCCUUGCUACUUGCAAGUUUGAAGAGUGCAUCCGUAUGUGCAUUUUUGAUGUGGGGAGAUCUGGAUCAACUCAAACUUCUCAAAGGACGGGAUGAGGUUCAUCACUAUUUUCAAGUAGGAGACCAUUGUUUUGUCCCUAGCUGAGAAGUGGCCGUUGACCUGGUUAACGACCAGCUGGGAGUCACUACUGAUGAGUAGCCUCUUUACAUGCAUUUCUUUGGCUAACCUGAGGCCUGCGAGAAGUGCCUUGUAUUCUACUACAUUGUUGGUGGCCAUGAACCUGAACCUCACCGUCGAGUUCAGCUUGUGACCUUCCAGGCUGAUGAGGACUACUCCAGCUCCUAAACCGACGUCCCCAGCCAACCCAUCAACGAAUAGGUUCCACGUUGGGGGCUUGGCUUGUUCCAUGAUUUCAUCCACCUCUGGUAAGUUGGCGAAUUCUGCCACAAAAUCAGCUAAGACUUGGCCCUUGAUGGUUGCCCUAGCCUUGAACACGAGGUCAAACCCAUUUCAAUAAUCUCCCUGAGGCAUCAGGCUUUUGGAGUACCUACCUUAGGGAAAAAUUUGUUAGCACGUGGAUGGUGCGGGCCUGGAAGUAGGGUCUCAACUUCCUGGAACAAGCCCUUGCCCACCUUUAACAAUUUGGAUGGGUCUCGGGUGUCCAUCAAGAAGCUCUCAAGAUCCUCAACUGGGGAUGCUUGAGGUUCAUUUUCAAUUAUGCCGGGCUCAAUUUCAUCGAUGACCACUGCUUCUGGACUGGGUGGUGCGUCAAUCAUUUCGACAUCUUCCAAUUCGGCGGGAGCAUCACCUAGGGCAUUAGCCAUGACUACAUCGGUAAUAAUUACGUAGACGUCCUGUGGCUCUACCUUUCUGAUGGAGCUUAAAUAACCAUUCUCUUGAUCCUCUUUGGUCGCCUCUCAUUGUUGCCACUACAUUUUCAGUCGGGAACUUCAUGCAUAGGUGAUGGAUGGAGGUGACGGCUCCCAAUUCUUUUAGAGGUGGCCUACCGAAUACUCCGUGGUAGGCCGAUCGACUAUCGACAACAAGGAAUUCCAUGAAGUUCAUUGUGGUCUGGGGAGACUCCCCCAUUUCUACCACGAGUGUAAUUUUUCCUCUCGGAGUAAUGCUAUCUCCGGUAAAUCCGUACAAAGGAGUGGUGGUGGAUGUUAACUCAUGGUCCAGUAUCAUCUUGUCAAAGGUGGAUCCGAAUAAAUUGUUGAAGAAACUACCAUUGUCAACUAACAUUCGUUUAAGCCCAUUCCGAGCUAUGACUGCUCUUACCCCAAGUGCAUCGCAGUGAGGGUAGUGAACCCCUUCAAUGUCCUCCUGGAUGAAGACAAUAGAUGGAACUUGAUCUCUCCGGGAGCUGUAGCCCACAAUAUAGCUAGUAAGCGGGGGGCGCUUGGCCUCACGGGCAUAAUUCCUUUUGGCGUUCUGUGUUUCACCACCUAUAUAAGGGCCUCCAAAAAUGGUAUCCACCUCAUGGAUAGGGGCCUCAUCCUGAGUUUGUCAAUUUCUUUGAUGUCUACGCCCUUCCCUGGGCCUUUUUGCAUCAUGCUUCCUUCAUCGCAGAGAGAUAUACCUUUAACGUGGAGCAGCCUCUUCACACCUAGGUCGGUUAUCAUGCAUUGGCGGGGGCUUGUUCGCCAAGGGCGAAUCAUUUCUGUCCCUAGGGGAUUCUUGUCGAGAGCGGUGAGCGUAGUCUCGACAAUCUAUUGUGUCAUCUCCAUAGGACCGGUGGUAUACACAGUAUCUAGGUGGGUUUUAAUUCGACCUAUUUCUAGGUCUUCAACCCCGGCCUCGGCCUCUACCCCUAUGAGAACCUUGCGGAGUUCCCAUCUGCUGGGUGUUGGUGACUGGGUUGAUAUCCUCAUAUGCCAGUGUAGGGAUGGCGUUAAGAGUGGUGGUGGCCAGUGAUUGCCUAGAACUCUCGUUACCAGCUUGUUUCAUUUGGUAGUCCAUCAAGUGGGAUGUCGACCUUCUAGCACACUGCCUUUGAGGAGGUGGGAGGCCUCUAUUCACCCUAUUCCUAUGGUUAAUCAAUUCUUCAUAUUGAUGAUUUCCCGGCUCAUCAUCUCGAGUAGGGCAUCAUAGGUGGUGGGGUCUUAAUUUUGCACGUCCCUCCAGAACAGGGUGUUCAUGUUUAGACCUCCUCUCAAUGCAGAUAAUGCCUCACGGUCGAUGACUUGCACACAAUAUGUCAUCUCAUCGGUGAAACGUGAUAGAAAGCUUUUUAGAGUCUUCCCGUGUGCCUGUCUCAUGUCUUGGAGACGUUGGAUGAGGGCCUCUCCCUCUUUGCUCAUAGCAAACCUCUUCAGGGAGGUCAUCUUGAAUUCGGGCCAACUUCUUAUAUUCCUAGGUGGUAACUUACUAUACCAAAUUUUAGCUGCUCCACUAAGUGUUAAGUGGAAAGCUCUACAUUUCACAGUUGGGGUGGCACCCUUUAGGCUCAUGUGAGUUUUGUAAGCAUUCAGGUGCUUCUCUGGGUCACCUCUUUUGUCAUACUUUGGUAUCUUUGGCAUAACAUAGUGGUUCGGGACCUGGGCGCUCCUUAGUUCCCUUGAGAAUGGUAAGUUUUCAUCAUCAUCGUCCAAGUCACAGAAUCUCUGCUGCUCAGCUGAAUCGUUUUCUUCAGCCUCAUACCUCGGUUGUUGGUGAGAGGUUUCGGGAUGGUUCCUAGCCUCUUCCUCCCUCCUUUGGUGCCUAUUUCUAGGCAGAACAACACGGGGAGCAUUUUCAUGCCUUUUUCCCAGCUGUUGAGGCAUUGGAGGUGGAGGCAGUGGCCUUGUCCAAGGCUCGUGAUGCUGUUGUUGUCUGAGCCUCCGUUCAGCGGGGCUAAUUCUGUCAAAUACACUGUCUGACCUCCUAUGUCUUUGCUCUUGCUCAUACGGAGGUGGGAAGUUAUCAUGGUGAAAAGGGGCCUUGACGAGUCGGCCAGAAGCGUAGUUGGAGGAAACGUCAACUUUUACUUCCCUUUCAAAUGGGCUUACACCUCGGCUAUAGUCCGGGGAGGUAGCCUUAUGGCUUUGAACUUCAUCCUCUUGUUGGUAUUACCCUUGAGGGGCGUAUAGAGGAAUAGGAAAGCCUUCCUGGCCCUGCAUUUGGGCCAUAAGUUCCCUCAUAGCCAUAUUUUUGCUAGCAAUGUCCCUCAUAUUAGCUGCCAUGGCGGCCAUUUCUCUUGACAACCUGGCUGUCGCACGCAUUCCACCUCUUUGGUGGUUACGAUGGGGUCUGUGCCGAGCCGCUGGGGCUGCUGCUUAAGGGGACACACUGACAUUUUCUCUUACCCUUCUGGGGGUGCAUCUUUGUUUGAACUCAUUUUCCUUGUGUCUUACCCUUCAGAUUUUUGCUAAGUCGUGGGGCUUCCUCUUGUUCUUUUUCAAGAACAAAUCCUUUUUCAAGGGGGAUGCCCAAAUGUUCCUCUUUAACAAACUUUCACCACAAGGUUGUUCGUAGUUAUGGUAUGGUUUCCCACAGAUCGCGACAAUCCGUUGACCCUAAUAAAUGUUACCAACAGAUACCGGACCCACCUACGCACACGUGAGCGAAUGUCCAACACGCUAAGACAUGUGGACAGUCUAAAAAGGAUAGAUCAAGGGCGUGGGAGUAGUUCAACGAUGCGGGACGAGAAUGUUCGGAAUCCGGUGAUAUGAUCGUAAACCGAUUGUACAAUAAUUACCAAUCAAUGUUUGUUAAUGUGUAUUUAAAUAUGUAUGAACUCGUCUAUGUUGCAAGAUGAUAAAAGAGAGAGAGUUGAGUAAAUUAUGGUUUCUUGUAUUUAUUCUUGCAUUCGCCUUUGUAUGGGGUACAUCGGGGAGUAUUUAUAGUGUCACUAGUUAGAUCGUGACCUUUGGUUCGGGGUACACGUUGCCUCAUCCGGUUGAAUUACAUGUCAAAUUGCAGGCAUUAGCCGCACCUAGCCUGUUUUACAUUUAUUGAUUGGCAGAGCCGCCUCUACCAGUGACAAGACUUAACAAAUACACUCAUGACAAACGUCCUAUCAAUCAUUCAAGUAAGAUCUAUGUGCAGAAGAUCUCUUGGGAGAGGUGCCUAUGGAAGCUGUUGCUUUGUGCUUCGGAUGCUACCACCUCGGCUACAGAGCUUCGACAAAUAGGGCCUCGUCCACUUUCAAAGGGCCUCGACGUAUGGGCUUUGGAAGCUCCUUAUGAGGCCAUGAUAAGUGGGCCUCGGUGUAUAUGGGCCUUGGCAUCUGUGGACCUCGAUUUGUGGGCCUCGGCUAUACAAAUAACCUUGGAUUGAGUGCCACGUGGUUCGGUAUGAGUUGGCUAUGGGCCCUAGUGGGUUGUCCAAGUGUGCGAACACGUAACAAUAUCUCUCCAACAGUUGAAUCAUGUUUGAAUCUUAGGAGAAAAAUUCUGCUUUUAAUUCUUGUAAAUUGACUUAGUUUUCUUUUUUUCCUGUUUGUCGGUGCGUGACUAGUGAGAUUGUGUGAGAAAAAAAUUGUAAGCUUAGUAGCCUGUUUUCUCUUGGCCUUUUUAUGAAUGUAAGUGUUAUGCCCUAGGUAUAAUCGACUUUGGACAUAGACACUUUUAAUAUGUAGUCGAUGCGAUUUAUGGCAGAUCUAUUAUUUAAUUAAUUAAUAUUCAACUGAAUUAAAUAAUGGAGUCUGUAAAUUCAAAUCUUAGUAAUUUUUUAAUCACAAGGAGUUUGUGAUUAUGAGAUGCAAAUAUUUUUUUAUUGAAUUUUAAAUCAUCCAUAUGAAGGUUGUGAAUGAUCAAUAGAGGAUUCGUUACUCUUAGAUAGUAAAAGAUUAUAAUCUGCAUUUCAUUCAAUUAAGUUGAUAACGAAAUCUUUGGCCAAGGUGUACUCAUAAGUCGAAAAUGAGUUUUCGACUUAUAUUGAAUUAAUAGUAGAAUGGAAGAUUGAUUGAUAAUCAAGAUUGACACAUUUUCAUAUUUCGUAAUUGAUCAGAUCAUAUUGACGAAGAGAUUAUAAUCUCACGGUAAAUGAGCAAGUUUGAUUUUGUCAUACCACAUAAUGUUUCUCGUCACAUGUAUUCUCCUAAUGCAUUGCUAGAUGUUAAUCUGUGAUGGUGAGUGUGAAUUGGUGAUAAAUUGAAAGGGUAUUUUAAUUUAUCAAUUUUGAUUAAAUCAAAAUAAUAUUUCAUGUCGUUAGGUAUCGUGAUUAGGAACCUGAUGGAUCACCCACAGGAGAACUGGAGGAUUGUCAAUUAAUUAAUUUAACAAAUGUUGGAUAAAUUAAUUAAUUGAGUUGAUUAAUUCACAGAUCGAAUUUAAUUAAAUGUGUUAAUUAAAUAUUGAACUGGGUCAGGCCAAACCCAUUUGAGUUUAUCUAAAUACGUGACUAGGUUUUCAAUUUGUAGAGAUUCUCAUUAUUCUUACUAGCACAAGAGGGGAAAACCCUAAUGCAUGCAAUCUUGUUCUUUGUAUGAAUUUUCAUUGGAGGUUGGACAAUUGAACAACUGUAGGUAACAGAUCAAAGUUGCUAAAAAAUAAAAAUAAAAAAAGUUUGCAGGAUUUUUUCAAAGGUACAAUCUUCUAUCACAAUUUCUAUCUAAACACAGGGGGUCCUUGGUGGGAAUUAAAAUCUGUUUUAUUUUUUCGUUGCACAUGAUAAGUAGAUUCCCAACAGUAACAUCAGAGCCAGGUUGGUGUUUUUUAGAAAUUUUUUAACAUCUUUAUGCAAUCAAAAGUUGAUUAUUAUACAUUUUCCUAGAUUCUAGCAAUUAAUGGAAUUUGAUUUUCAAUUUUUUUUGAAAUCUAAUUUGGAAAACAAAAAAAAUAGUAAUUUGAAAAUCAAAUUGGAAUAAGGAUGGCGUCGCCACCAUCGCCACACGCUGGCGGUACGCACAGUCUGUUGGGCUUACUGUUGCUGUACUUUGCAGCGAGGGUAGGGACUACAAACCGCUGCUGCAAAGUGCAGCAACAUGUCGUCGUGGCUGCCGCUUGCCGCCACCGAAGAGUGGCGUCUCGCUACCACCUGAGAACGACGUCUCUCGCCACUUGCGAUCCCUAUAGCAUUUUAGGGAUUUCUUCAAAGGGGUGAAAGUCUAGGAUUCUCAAUAGCAUUUUGGGCGAAUUGGAAGAGGGGACCUCGAUUGCAAUUUCUGAACUUGCAGGCCCCCGCUUGCAAUAUAAUUUUGGGGUUUAUGUGCAAUUAUUAAAUAAAGGGCCUUCUUGAAAUUUUAGGAAUGUUGAGGGGUUUGUUAAUAAUUUCAAAAUGGGUCCAGUUCGCAAUUUUGAGAUAAAGGGUCCUGUUUGAAUUUUCAAAAAUUUGAGGGCCCCUUUAACAAUUUUAAACUUGGGUCAAAUUUGCAAUUUUCAAAAUGGUUUUGAAUUUGAAUUUUGAAAUGAUUUUAAAAUUAUAUCUUAAAUGGGUUUAACCUAUAAUUUUAAUUUUGAUCCAAAAUUAAAAUUUUAUUCAAAAUGGACUACUUUUUAUAUUUUCGUUAAAAUUGGAUUUUAAUUUAAAUAUUAAACUCUAACCCUAAAUUGAAUUUUAUUUUAGUUUGGAAUUUUAUCCUAAAUUAAAAUAUUAACUCUAUUUAUAUUAGAGUUGGACUCUAAUUUAGUAUUUAAUAAAAAAUUGAUUUUAAUUAAAAUUUUCACCCUAAUAAGUUCUUAAAAUUAGAAUUGGAUUCUAAUUUAACAGUUAAUUAAAAUUUGAUUUUAAUUAAAUUGUCUCACCCAAAAAUUUUCUUGAAAUUAGAGUUGGACUUUAAGCGCUUGUUUGGCCCCCAUUCCUUUGCAUUCUAUUCUAUUUUUUUCCCAUAAAAUUUCGAACGUACAAAAUGUAUUAGAAUCUUGCCUGGCUUUCCGGACAAAAUAUUAAUACACAAGCAAGAGAUUUUUGUGGUCAAAUCUUGUUUUGUGUAACAUUCCAAUUCUGCCCUUCAAUUUGUUGAGCCAUUCCACGCACGUGCAAUUGGUUACCAACCACUACCACCUAAAUUGUUUAUUCAUUAUUUUUGCAAUCAUGUGUUUGUAUAUUAAUAAAAGACCACACGUAACUCGAGCAAUAAAAAAAGACAUGCCAUUUUUUGCAACCAACAAAUCAGCUUGUAUAGUGCCGGUAAAAAACGACUCCCGAAAUGCGGAAAAAAAUCAUGCAAUUUUCUGACCAACAAAUUAUUUCACCGUCAAGUAGACAUGCGGAUUUUCAUUCGACCGACAUCAUCGGACGUAUUGAAGCAUAUUUUAAAUGCUCAGAUACGAGAAAAGAAAGUGAAGUGUCGAGCGAUGAUGACUUGAUUUAGCAAACUACAAAUGCAUACUACGUACAGAAUUAUCAAAUUAAUGCACGCAAAAGUAGUGCCAUAUAAUCGCGUAACGCUUCCCACGACACAUUUUCCUCGGCUAUUGCAUCUCGCUCGGCAGCCAUUUCAUCAUCCUCGUCUGGUAGCUCUAUUUCAGCUUCUUCGUCAUCCACUUCCUCGGCUCUAUGAAACCCCUCAUCUAGACGUCCAUUUCUACAAAGAAAAUUGUCUAUUCCCAACAUAGCCACAACCACAGCAGUUUGUGUGCGCAUGCUAUAACCAGGCACCCGAUCAAGAAUCUUCCACCUUUGCUUCCAAACACCAAACGCACGUUCGAUCACGUUCCGACAUGAGGAGUGAUGGAAAUUAAACCGUUCACGGGCAUUUCGAAAACAACGGCAUUGCCCAUCUCCCACAUCAUGAAAUUGUUGAAAAUGAUAUCUAAUGUCAGAACCCUUAUAGGGAGCCGUAUACCAUGGCCUAUGUGCGAACUUGGAGUUGACGAGGUAGUAUUUUCCGUUCGUCAAUCGGGAAAUUGACCUCCGGACUGUGUACAACUCGGGCCAAGAUUCGACUAUCAUGUGUGUUCCCUAUGUGCCCCGGCAAUACGAACGUGAAACAAAGAUUGAAAUCGCAUGCGGCCAACAUAUUUUGUGUUGGAAUCCCUUUUCUACCAAUAAAAUUUUUCCUUUGAUAUCUUGGCAGUACGGCUCUCACAUACGUACCGACAAUUGUACCUAUACAAUCCUGGAAUAGUGGAUAGCGCUCCAGAUCCAGAUGAUGGUGCGCUGCGCUUUCGUUGUACUGAGGAUCUGGUUUUACCAUUUUCACGCAGAACGCUAGACAUGCCCGAAGGAUUUUCUUAAAAUAAUGACAUAUGGUCUACAACGAAUGCCCAACGAGUGUUUGCACCUGACGAUAUCCUUUUUCAUGUGCCAAUAUACACAUCAACAUGCCGACGUACUCAUAUAUAACAAUGUUUAAGCUGCUCGAAAUUCUAUACUCAUCGCGCAGAACAUGCGUAAAGUGCAUAAACAUCGGAGGAUACAUCUUGAACUCCUAAAAACACGUUUGUGGAUACACGUGCAUGUUUUGCAACAUGAAAAUGUAACCGCAUCACGAUGUUGAAAACAAAUACUGACGCGCCGUAUCUGGUGCAAGUAAUUGUGCACAAUGCGCUUGACAACUCCACAAUACUCCAGCCACGUGAUUAUGUCCUCCUCCAACUGUUGCAAUACUUCCUGAUCAGAACUCGUAUCCCAAUCAGACGUAUGUUCAAUAUCACCAUCUGUUGCGACCAAUGUGUACAUAAGUGCUGAGUGGGCUACCAUGUCCCCGAAAUUUUGUGGUUGGUGAUAUAUAUUAUUUGGGUUUCCUAUACUAGAUUUGGUUGUCAAUGAACACCUCCAGGUUUGAGAAAUUGAAUGAGACUACUAAAUAAUUUAUAGACAACAAAAACCUGACUAAUCAUGAACCUUUGUACGAAGUUGGAGAUUUCAUUUAAAAUUCAUACCUACUUUAUCAUGCUUUUGCAGGGAAUAUAUUCUUGCAAAAGCAUGAUGAAUCAAGCAUGUAUACAAUGUGGAAUAUUUCACAUUCGUCCUACAUAUAUGAACAUAGGAAAAAUACUAGAAAAUAGUUCACAAUCACAUGCCGUUUGCAUAAUUAAAAUACAGGAAAAUUUAAAAUGUCCAUCAAACAACAACAAGAAAUACGAUUAAGUAUCUAAAAUAUAGACCACAUUGCAUACAUAGGUCCUCUACAGAUCACCCCUUAUGUGGGAAGGAUUGAUUGUCACACUCGAAGCAGUAUUCAGUAAACUUAAACCAUAGGAAUGGUGUCUUGGCAGCACGAUACGAAUUUCAAUUUUCCUUCACACGUAGGAAUCACAAAGCAAACAUACGGAGUGACGACCUCUCGUCCACAUGUCCUGACGAUAGUAGUUCGCUCACGCAAUCUUCAAUGGACAUGUCGUCCUUCUAAUGCGAUCUUGCGAUCGAAACAAGAUCCGUUCCAACACUGACAUAUGCUCAAGAGAUUCUGAAACUUCAUUGGCACCGUAUUUUUUUCUCUUGCCUAUAUCCUUCCCCUGUUUGCUUUUUCUUUUAUCACUGCUGCGGUGCCCGAAUAUGUUCAUGGAGGAGUGCGCUCUGUAGUCCAUCGGACUGUCGCUAGAAUCUGUACCUUCUGCGUUGACGGGCAACUUGUCACCUCCGUCGUCCCUGUCGCUAUCUGUGCUCAAAUCGAUUUCCCGCUUCGACAGCUUAGAUAUGGACAAUGCAUAUUUGGCAGAGUCCUCCGCAUCGCCAAACAACUUUUCGUACGUGUCAUAGAUCUCACUGUAGUUCAUGCUCCUGUAUUUGGCGUAUUUUCAAUUCUCCUGAAAGGACAAAUUACACGGAAAAUUAACUUAUCUUAUGAAAAGAAAAAUGUACUCUAACUUAAAAAUUAGUAAAAAUAACUAAAUUACUUAUUUUCCAAUUGUAGUGUGUAUGUACUAAACAAUUAACUUCUCUAACAAAAAAAAACAUAUUCGAAUUUAUUUGGGAGAAAACAUGGUUACUUGUAAGCAAAGAUAAAAAUGCAGUUCUUCAUGAAUUUCCAGUUUUGAGGCUUGAUUGGUCAUUACUAAACUUUUUUAAUGCAGUCAUUUUGUUAAGCUAUUGUGCCAUUUCAUAUGUAGAGAAAAAAGAAAUCAACACACAUUAACGUUUUAUAAUUAUGGUAGAAAGGAACCGUGUUCAUCCUUUUUAAUAAUCAGAUUUGGAAAAAUGACUAACGAAUUACGUGCUUCCACAACACGUGUUAAUGGCCUUUCCAAAACCAGUUAAAACUAGUAGGUUUGGGAUUUGAGACCAAGUCAAAAAAAUUAAAACAGCUUGACAAGGUCUUUAUUUUCAAAUCAAUUAAAAAAAGAAGUAGGAAUUGACUCCUAAAGGCUAAUCUUGGUCUUCCCUAUCUCUAUCUAUCCAUUUUGAUUCCCAAACUGCCCAAAGUGGAGUAGAAAAUCAAAAGCAGAACUAAUAAAUAAUUAGUUGAUUUAUAUACAAAAUAUAUCAGAUGCUUCCCUAGUAAAUUUCCAUUGGUACGUGUGAAUUAAUCUUUACGGAAAACAUUCACGAUAUGUCUAAUUAAUCUUUAUACUUUAUAGAAUCCCACUUGUAUUGUGUCAGUAACAUGAAUUCACAUAUUCGUUUUCCUCACAUGGACAACACAGUAUGUAACUUUAACACAUUCACAUACAUCAAUGGUACAAGUCAGGAAGCUGUAUUUGAAUUGAGGGGGAGUGUCAUCGUGUACCUUGAUUUUUUCCUGCCACCAGUGAUCGGGGGCAGUGAUUUUACCGAUUUUUGAAUUGUAUUGAAUGUCGUUGCAAUGUUGCAGCUGGAAGAGAUGCUUGUGCUCUAUUCUCAGUUUACCUCAAUAGUUCUUAAGCUGAGAUAUGGUCCAGUCCUUCCCUGCUCUGCCAUUGAACAGCUCAUGGAGACGUUGCCAGCCCGUAGUCAAAAAGCAUUUGCCUCGGCGAUGCCCUUCGGCAAUGACGAUUUUGCAUAAGUCAAUGAAGAUUCUAUGCUCCGUAAGUUCCCAUCUUGCAGUCUUACGGACCACAGGCUGGGGUUCCUGCAUCUGCGGGUGCUAGAAUGGAUAGCCAAAAUGCUCUGGGGAGCCCAUACUGUAAUGCUGCGAACAAAAAAUUUGCAAAAACGUCUCAAACAGAAAUUUCGAAAAACAUGUCUCAAACGUCUCUAGCGUUUGUGUGUAUCUGACGUUCAAGUGAUGGCAACUUACUGCCAUCACUUUACCAUCAAAAUGCACUCCAAACAAUAAAGUCGAUUAUCUCAAAUAGAAAAUAGGACAUUCUACUGAAGAAGUAACGCACUAAUGGGUAGAAUCAUUUAAGCAAUCCUACAACUAAUUCAUGAUGACCCAUCAAUUUACAACAGAACAUGCGUGGCAGAAAAAAAAUCCCAGCAAUUGCACAAAUCAUAAUCAGAUUGAUGAAAAAUUUGAAAUAACAUUGCAAAAUGGUACAAUUCUAAGCAUGCGCAGUGGAAAUCAGUCCAGACAAACAAUCGAACGGAAGAAAAUGAGUGAUGAAACUGCUCACCAUGUGUUCAAGGUAAUAGAAAUCCUGGGGUUCGUCGUUCGCCACUUUUGGAGGUGUUCACAUUGCUGCUGCGGUUGCCGAACGAAAAUGAUGCCUGGAGAAAAUAUCUUCAAGACCAAGAUCGGUGGGGAGAAGGUCAUGGAAAGCGAUGAUUGGCAUGGAUUAUGGAAAUAUGGACAGAGAUGUGGUGCUGUCGAUUGUCGAAACCAGUUUACCAGAGAGAGAAUUGAGAAAGGAAAAGCGACGGAUGCAGUUGAAAGAAGAAAACGGUUAAUUAAUUCAAUGGCAUUUAUGGAAAUGUAGAGGACCAGCUGAGAGCAGUUGUGACCAAAAUUCUCAAUGGCUGUAUCAGUACUGAUUAAGUGUCUGACACUUUUUUAAAUGGCUUGCAGUGUUUUCUGAAUUCCUACUGUAGAAGAAUGAGAUACUAUGGGAAAAUUUUGGGAAGAAUGUAUAAAAAACAAGGGCUAAUUUGGUAUUUAGUUAAAAUUUAAUUUUAAUUAAAUUAAUUUGUCCUAAAUCUUAGAAUUAGAGUUGGACUUUAAUUUUGUUGUUUAAUUAAAAUUCAGUCGCCUUAAAUUUUGAAAUUAGAGUUGGACUCUAAUUUUAUUUUAAUUAAAUAGUCCCGCCAUAUAAUUGUUGAAUUAGAGUUAGACUUUGAUUCGCUAUUUAAUUAAAAUUUGAUUUUAAUUAAAUAUGCCGCUAAUUAAAUUAAUUGAUUAAUAUGAUUAAUUUUUUAUUUAAUUGUUUCGAUCCAUUUGUCUAAAAUAAUUUAGACGACCUUAAUUAUUAGAAACUUGAAACGUGUUUACAUAUAAUAUUAGAUAUUAGGGUAAUUGGCACAAAAUGUCCCUACCUUUCAAGUUUAUUGUCGAAAACAUCCAUACCUUUCAUUUUUUGACAUUUUUGCCCCUACCUUCCACAUUUUUUUGCACAGAAGGACCUUUUGACGAUUUUACCUUCCAUUGAAAUGAAACAAAAAGAAAAGAAAAGAAAAAAUAAAGAAUUAAUUGCAAUCAUAGUCCCAAAUUUUUUAAAAAACUAUAAAACAAUCAUAAUUUAUUGUGAAUUAAAACAAUUUUAAAAUUAAGUAGAGAAAAGAAACUUGAAUGUACAGGAAAAUAAUCAAGAAAUGAAGAAAUUUUUUAAUCAUAACCAAUGGAAAUGAAAAAAAUUUGAAGAUUACGUGUUUUUGCCUCAAGCCUUCCAUCUACUCUUCAAUAAAUAAAAAUUGAAACUUAUGCUUACCCAUUUUUGAAGAUUUUCAGUUUCAUUGACUCAAUCAUGUGAUGUGUUGAAUGGUUAAUUUUAUUUUUGUCGUUUUAUGAGUCUACGAGCUCUUAAUUAUUUUGGGAUUGCGAGCCCAUUAUUAUUAUUAUUAUUAUUAUUAUUAUUAUUAUUAUUAUUAUUAUUAUUAUUAUUAUUAUUAUUAUUAUUAUAGGUCUGCGAGCUCUUAAUUAUUUUAGACCUGCGAGUCUGUUAUUAUUAUUGUUACUAUGAGCCUACGAGUCCAAUUUCAUUUAGGUCUGCUUGUCAACUAGUAUAGGAUAUAGGUUGCAACUGGACUAAUUGAAUAAAUAAGAAAAGGAUGAGACCAUGGAGAUAGUGCAUUGUAUGAGUCAAUGCAAUAUUCUUGGGAAAUUGACCAAUUAGUCUUCCUUAUGGCUCGGGAAGGCAGUAGAAAGCAAUGACAGAGAUAUAGUAGGAGUUCAGCCUUAGACAUUUUUUGGUAUGAAAAUCUUCAUCGUACCCAGCCGGGCCCGCAGACCACACGGCUUGGAAGGUUAGAGAAGAAUUCCUUGUUAAAUUUCUUCAACUCAGCCUUAAAUUUCCUUAGUUUCAUGCAAAGUUGGUACAUCGGAGUCCCCACCUUCCUUCCACACUGACGCUAAGAAAGAAAGUCUUGACCGGGCGUGUCCUCUUCUUGCUACGUAGGGAAAUAGGGCAGUGAAGCUUUCCUCGCGCUUAGCGCUCCUAGAUGUUUAAAGUUAAUAAUCGUCCACACUAUUAUGUUAUAUGUAUAUUUAUUUGCAUGGUAGAUGUAUAAUAAAAUAUAUAUGAUUUUUACGAUGAGUCCUUUGAAUGUAAAACCCCUCAAUAAAAUAUUAAGUCACAUUUUAUAUUUGCCUUCCAUCAUUAUAGUGAAAAAUCAGAGUCUUCAAUCGAUCUCAACUUGUUGAGUACAUUCAAGGCUGGUCUAUUAUGGAUAUAUUUGACACUAUGAAAUAUUAGAUAUUUCUGAAUGAUGGGUCCGACUUAUCUAAAGCUUAUCUUUUGUUGAUACACUCAAAGAGAUAAAUUUUAGAGGCAUGUCAAGUUAACACAUAAGAUGUGUAAAAAUAAAGAUAUGUCGGCUUAAAAAUCUAGGAGUUGUGAUAAUAGUAUCUACCCAAAUAUUUUAUUGAGACUUAUUGAGUACACUCAAGGUCUUAGUAUAACAAAUGAGAUCUCAGCCCAAUGAGAAUCAAGUAUGAAUUUCAUAAAUUUAUGCCAGAGUGUCAUAAAUUUGAGUUAAACAGUGAGAGCAUAAUUAAUUUAAUAAAAGUUCAUGUUAAAUUAAUUAAUGCAUUUUAUAUAUUAUUCAUUUUCUUUUUGUCAUUUAUAUUGAAUCGUGGGUAACCAUAUGUAUUUGGGAGGUUUAUUGGAUGUCAACAACCAAACCAAAUUUUCUUGAUUGAUACUGCAAUCUGAGAAUUGUUCUCAAGCAUGAGAAAAUUGGUUAUGUCCUUAAAUAACCCUUUCUAGAGACACUUGUUGUUGACUCGAUUAAGGAAGAGGUGGCCACUAUAAUAAACACAGUUGUGACAAUAGUACUGCAAUGUAUGUGAUUCUUACAGCUAUGUCACCUGAGUUAUGAAAGCAACGUGAGAGUUUAGAUGGCUAACACAUGAUUUUUUUAUUUCAAAGAGUUGUGUGAUAGUAAUCUUGAGUGAAAGGAUAUGAGACUUCCAAGCAACUAUACAAAUGCAAAAUGACAGAUGGAUCUUCAGUCGGUGCUCAUAAACUGAAGAUGUUUGGCAUUGAGAAGUUAUUUCGAUUAAGUUCAGUAAUGAACCAGGAACUAAGUAUUGGCUUAGUUCUACAAUUUCUGUCAAAGAGUUAUUCAUACUGAUUAUAAAUUAUGAUAUGGAUAAGCUCAUAUGCACACCCAUUGAGUUGUUGAACAUGGUUAAGACUGUUGAGCCCAACAUUAAAGUUAGUAGUGGGCAAUCCAUUGAUUUCUCUAAAGGUAUUAAGAGGAAAUAAAAAGGGACUUUGAAAAAGCAUCCUAUAUGGCUUAUACGGUCAAAACGAAGGACAAUACCAAAUCUAAUAACCCUUGCUUUCAUUAUAGAAUGAAAAGUCAUUGGAAGAAAUAUUUACAAGGCUUACAUCUACUUCAUGAGUUUCUUAGGUAUUUGAUAUCAGAUGUGGAUAUCAUAUUUAUAUGGAGAAACUACAUAAAAGUAGACCACUACAAAAGGGAGAAAUUGACCUACAUGUUGAAGAUGAGCAAAAGUUGUUGCAUUGCCCGUAGGAGCAUACUUCUUGUCGUUGCCUUUUAGCUUAGUAUUGGAAUUAGAGAAAUGUUACUUUGUACCCACCAUAACUAGAACACUAAAAUGAAUUUCAUGUUUGAACAUGAACUAUUUUAAUGUUUAGGACAAUUAUUGUUCAUGUUUAUCUUGAUUAUAGAUCUUAAUGGUUGUAGUGAGCUACAAAAUAACAUUUGUAUUCUAAAUACUAAGAAUUCUAUAAUGAGUAUAGAAGUUAAGAGGCAUAAACAUGAUAAUCUGAAUAAUAUCUAAAUCUGACAUUGCGGACUUAGUCAUAUAGAUGAAAUGCAAUUCCAAAGUUACAUAGAGAUGUAUAAGUGGAGUCAAUUGAUUUUGAAUCAUUCGAAAAAUGCAAAUCAUGUUUGUUAGGCACAAUGACCAAAUCUCCUUUUACUUGAAAGGGAGAAAUAUCUGCAUGAAUUCUGUUAUAAUACAUAGUGAUGUAUGUAGACACAUGUCAAUUAAAACUAUAUAAAGAUUUUUUUAUUUUAUCACAUUUACUGAUGACUAUUUCAGAACUGACCAUGUAUAUUUGAUGAAAUUCAAACAUAAAGCUCUUGAAAGGUGCAAGGGAUUCAAUGUAGAAGUAGUUAAACAAAUAGGUAAAGAUAUCCUCACUCUAAAAUCCGAUCGAGAUGGGAAUAUCUUAAAAAUGAAAUUCUAGAUUAUAUAAGAGAGAAUGAGAUUCUCUUGUAGUGGACUCCUCUAUUUACACUGCAACAUAGUGAUGUAUUUAAAAAGAGGAAUCGUAAACUAUUAGAUAUAGUGUAAUUAAUAGCAAGCUAUUCAACUCUCCAAAAAUCAUUUUGGGAUCAUGCAAUGAUUGUAGUGUACUGUACACUAAAUCAUGUCAUAUCUAAGUUGGUUAAUAGAACUUCAUACGAGCUAUGGAAAGACAAUAGUCCCAAUUUAUCUCAUACGAAAGUUUGGAAAUGUGAUGCUUAUUUGAAGCGCAUUGAAUCGAAUAAGUUUGAGACUAAAUCUGAUAAAUACAUAUUUGUGGGAUAUUCAAAACAGAUAUUUAGAUAUCAAUUCUAUUAUUCCAUUGAGAAAACAAAUUUCGUCUCACGACAUAUCGUCUUCUUAGAAAAAGUUUUACUCUGGGAAAGGACAGUGGGAGCAAAAUAGAAUUUGAAGAAGUUCAUAACACAGAUAUAGUUGACCAAGUAGAAGAAUCUGUAUUUGAUCCCACACCUGAUGACAACACACUCUUGAUCAAGAAGUAGAAACUUCUGAGAACAUUACAGCUCCAUUUAAUUCUAGUAGGAUCAUUGACCUUUAAGAAGGUGCGAAUCCACGAUCACUAAUUGAGUAUUAUUAAUCCAAGAUGAUGAACCUACUAAUUACAUAGAAGUAGAGUCAAGUGUUGACUCAGAUAGAUGGCAAGAGGUAGGGCUGGACAAAACUUUCGAACCGAACCGAAUCUGAACUGAACCCGACGGUUCUUCUUAAGUUAAAUACCUGAAUGCGUAUCCGAAUUGAGAAUCGACGGGUACAAUUCGAUUUUCGAUUCUAGACCAAGAACCGAAUUUUCCUUAUUUUUUUAUAUUGGAUAAAUCAAAUUAUUUUAAUUUUUUUCGAAAUCUAAUUUUUUGGCCCAAUUAUUUGUUUCAUUUUUAAUUUUUUUAGCCCAACAUCAAGCAUUCAAGCCCAUUUUAUUCUUCCAUUUUUAGCCCAACUCUAAAUCUCUAAUGUCUAACCCACUAAAUCCAGGUAUCCAUUAUCCAACCCUAAAUAAACUACAUAGUACACUAAAAACGCCAACCGUAUUAACAUUAACCCAUGAAAUUGAAAACCUAUACGGCUACACAUCCAAUCCAAACUACAAAGACCAAAAUCGAAGCCGCACCCAACGCUCCGUUCAGCCCCCAUCGUCGCCAUCGAAGCGUUGAACUCCGAAAGGCGAAAGCCCAUCACAGCCGAGACCUCCAACCAUAGAGCAUUCGACAGUAAGCCCUCAAUUUUUUGUCGGCGCCGAUUCUCUUCUUAGUAUCGUUUGUCGGCGCCCAUUCCGACAGUAAGCCAUCAAUUUUCUUUUAAAUGUUUAUUUCUUCUCCACCGUUUUUAGUUUUUGGUUUUUAUUACUACUACCAUUUUUUUCUCGUACAAACAUUAUAACAAAAGAAAGAGCAGUAGAAAAAGAAGUGAAUUUUAUAGUAGAAUUAAUUAUCAUUGCAAAUGUACAAUUUUUUCCCUGUAGGUUGAAGAAGGAAAACAGAUUUAAUUUAAUUGCAAAACCCUCUCUAUCUUUAGCUUCGCAAAUUUUAGAUUUUAUUUUUUUCACACUGCUAUUUGCUAAGCCCUCUUUUAUCAUCAUUGGAAGUUGAAAAACUUGAUUCCAGAGGCAAAGCUGAUGAAGAAAAUAAGAAUUCAUUUGCCUACAGGCUACAGUUCUUGUUAUUUUGAAUUUAAUGUUAUAUAUGAAUUCUUUAUUUUAGAGAAAAUGUUGACUCUUGAUUCGGUUUGUUAAACUCAUUAGUUAGGAAAUUAGUUAGUAAGUUAAAAAGUUAGUUAGGAGCCUUAGAUUCUAACUAAUUGUCUGGUAAUAGUUGUAACUGAAUCUUGCAUACACUUCUUGUAAAUCUCUGUGACCUUUGCCUAUAAAUAUGACCAAGGCUGAGAACGUGAAAGUGUGAGCAAGAGAAUGUGGAGAAUCACAUUCUGUGAGUGAGCAAGAGAGACGAUAUUCUUUAGUAAGAGAAAGUGAGAUGGUGAGAGAAAAUCUUUGUUACACCAUCUUCUGUAACUUUCUGUGAGAGCUUACUAGUGAGUUUUUCUGGUUCUUCCUGGUUGAGUGGUGAGUGGUGGUGUUUUGUGUACGAUAAACCCUGUGUAAUUUCCUCUUUUAAUGGCAGAUUGACUAAGGUUAAAUCUCUGCAAUGGUUGAUGAAAUUUUGUCCCAAAAACAUGAAGUUCUUGUGUCGAUUAAUCUCAGUUCUUUCCUGGUUUUAUAUUUUUGUCAUUUGCUGUAUUUUCUUUCCUGUUGUUACUACAAAUCUGAAUUGAUCAUUAUUCCUGGGACCUGGGAGAUGAGAAAAAAUCCUAGCAUUUAUAUUUACUCUUAAAUUAUUCUUUAUAUUUUCCUAUAUAACAUUGUUGAGUUAGUGGUCAGGGAGAUUCUAGAGUGAUAAAGUUAUUCUUUAUAUUUUCCUACCAGUUUUGGAUGUUGAAAUGGGAGACAAAAAAAUCCUAAUGAGAGGUCGAAAAUAUGGAAUCAUUUCACUAGGAUACUUGAUGGAGAAAGAGCAAAAUGUAAUUAUUGUGGGAGAACAUUUAAGGUUGAUACUAAUAGUGGAACUUCUAGCAUGUGAAAGCAUUCGAAAAUUUGUUAUGCAUAUAAGAGCACUAGGGUUGAUGACAACCAAGCAAUACUCACUCGAGAAAACAAUGAUGGCGGUAUUACGGCAAUGGUGUUUAAUAAAGAAAAGUGUAGAAAAGCAUUGCUUAAGAUGAUUAUUAUUGAUGUAUUGACUUUUUUCUUUGUGAAAUGUGUGGGUUUUAAGGAAUUUGUUCAUCAACUUUGUCCUAGAUUUGAGGUUCCUUGUCGAAGAACGAUAAACAAAGGAAUCAUUGAAGAUUAAAUUUAUUAAUGAUAGACAAAUGAUUUCUUUAACCACUGAUUGUUGGACAUCAAUUCAAAACAUCAAUUAUAUGGUAGCCACAACACAUUUUAUUGAUAGAAGUUGAAAAUUGCAUUAGAGGAUAUUGACUUUUUCUGUUGUUCCAAAUCACAAAUGGGAGACAAUUGGGAAGCUUAUUGAAAAGACUUUUGAGAGUUUCUGAAGAUAGAGUUUGCAUUGAAGAGACAGAGUUCUAUGAAAGCAUUGAGACAUUUAAUAAAAUAUAUGUUUUAUUUUUCUAAUUAAAUCUUAUUAGUUGAACAAUUUUUAGUUCAUUUAUGUUUGUUAAUUGUGUUUUUUCAAUUUUUUCUAUAGAGUUUCUUCAUAUGGCAAGUCAAGAAAUUGAUGAUUAAUCAAAUAGCUGGUAAGUAUUAGCAAUACUUAAAAAUAUUUUAUCUCCAUAACUUCUAAUUCAUAUUUAAUUGUUUUAUGUAGACUUGAUUUUGAAGGCUGAAGCAAGGGAAUUAUUGAUAUGGAUUGUCGAUAAUUUAAUAUUAGUAUCUACUUUUUGGUAUAUAUAUACAUUGGUAAAUUAAUGUUAUUGGACAACUUGUUAUUUAUAUGUUUUUAAUGGAACUUUGUUAAUUUGUAAAAGCUAUGAUUCAACAUAUUAUUAGUUGUAAUUAUGUAGUGUUGUAAAUGUUAAAAAACGUAAUUAUGAUACGGUACUGAACAGAACCGAACCGAACUGAAUGGAACCGAACCCGAAUAGUUCCGUAAUUAAAUUUGGACCUGAUGGUUCCAAUUACUAAGUACCCAAAAAUUUUAGGUCCAGUCCGGUUCGGUUCUUACCGAACCAUGUCCAGCCGGGCAAGAGGCCAUGAAAUUCGAAAUGAAGUCAAUGUAUGAUAACAAGAUUUGUACCUUGGUGGACCUUCCUGGUGGGAUAAAACCCAUAUGUCAUAAAUGGUUUACGAGAAAAAGGUCGAUAUAGAUUGAAAUAUCUGUACAUACAAAGUAAGGCUAAUAGUAAAUGGUUAAGUGUUUUCCUUGAUGAAACAUUUUGCCUGUAUCCAUGCAGAAGUCCAUUCAAAUUUUGGUUACAAUAGUUACAUAAUGUUACUAUGGGUUAAAGCAAGCCUCUUGGAGCUGAAAUCUUCAAUUUGAUGAAAAAUAAGAAGGUUUGAUUUUAUCAAAUAUGAAGAUGAAUUGUGUGUUUACAAGAAGACAGUGGAAGCAUUAUCACAUUCCUGAUAUUAUAUGUAAGACAUAUUGUUGAUAGGAAACGACAUCCCUAAGUUUUAAUCAUUGAAAUAAUGGUUGUUAAAGGAUUUAUUCAUGAACGAUAUGGGGGAAACAACUUGAUCUCUAGAGAUAGGUCUAGAAGAUUGCUUAACUCAUCCCAAUCUAAAUAGAUAAAAUAUUGAGAAGAAUUUAUAUGGAGUAUUAAACGGUGUGUUGGAAAUGUUCCAAACACGAAACAACCGUGAUUUAAUAGUAGGAACCUAAUACAUAAUUGCUUCAGAAGCAGCAAAGAUUUGCAAUAUAGAUCAAGAUGUUCAUUAAUGAACUUGGAGUAGUUCCUAUUAUUAUUGAUCACAUGCCUUCGUAUUGUAAUAACAAUAGAGACAUCGCGCAAGCGAAAGAACUAAGGUCUCAUCAAUGAUCCAAGCAUGCAUUAAAACGGUAUAAUCUCAUCAGAAAGAUAAUAUAUAGAAAUGACGUAAAGAGAAUAACGAAUUCCCACAAUUAAUAAGAUUGCAGAUCCAUUGAUAAAUAAUUGUCACAGUAUAAACAUAAACGUCAUGUAGACUCUUAUGAUAAUGGAUACAUAAAUGAUUGGAUCUCGUGCUAGUGGGAGUUUGUAAGUGUUAUGCCCCAGGUCCAAUCGAUUUUGGACAUAAACACUUUUAAUAUAUAGUUGAUGCGAUUUAUGGCAGAUCUGUUAUUUAAUUAAUUAAUAUUCAAUUGAAUUAAAUAAUGGAGUCUAUAGAUUCAAAUCUUAGUAAUUUGUUUGUGAUUAUGAGAUACAAAUUACAUAUGAUUGAAUCUUAAAUCAUCUGUAGUCGUAAGUAAUGACGAGAUACGAAUAUCGUUAUUACGGAUAGACCAUCACGUGUGACAUUUCUUAUUUAUGAAGUAAGUAGUUGAUAACACGAGUUAAAGUGUAGUGACACUUGAAUGAACACGUUGAUGUUUUAUUAUAGAACAAAAUAUUGGAAACCCGCUAAGAGAUUCCACAUGGAUAACUAUCUGGGUGUUAGUGGUUAAUCUCUAACGUUCGGUAGCGAAAUUGGUCUUUUGACUUGAAAUCAUCAUAGUGCCUUAUAUGAGGACAGUCAUGCUUUAAUGGUGUUGAAUGUUACUCUGCCAAGGGCUGCUAAUACGACAUCAUUCGAGUAUGUCAAUAAUCAAAUGAAGGUUGUGAACAACAAAUAGAGGAUUCGUCACUCUUAGAUAGUAAGAGAUUAUGAUUUGCAUUUCAUUCAAUUAAGUCGAUAACGAAAUCUUUGGUCAAUGUAUACUCAUAAGUCGAAAAGGAGUUUUCGACUUAUAUUGACUUAUUAGUAGAAUGGAAAAUAUGAUCGAUAAUCGAGAUUAAGAUGCUUCCAUAUCUUGUAAUUGAUCGGAUCAUAUUGACGAAUGUAUUAUAGUUCGCGGUAAACAAACAAGUUUGAUUUGCCAUACCACGUGAUAUUUCUCGUCAUAUGUAUUCUCCUGACACAUUGCUAGAUGCUAAUCUGGGACAGCGAGUGUGAAUUGGUGAUAAAUUAAAAGGGUGUUUUAAUUUAUCAAUUUUGAUUAGAUCAAAAUAAUAUUUCACGUCGUUAGGCAUUGUGAUCGGGAACCUGAUGGAUUGCACACAAAAGGAGAACUGGAAGAUUGUGAUUUGUCAAUUAAUUAAUUUAACAAACGUUCGAUAAAUUAAUUAAUUGAGUUACUUAUUUAUAAGCCCGAAUUAAUUAGUUGGAUUAAUUAAUUCACGAACUGAAUUUAAUUAAAUAUUGGACCAUGUCAGACCAAACCCGUUUAGGUUUAUAUAAAUACGUUACUAGAGUUUUCAAUUUGUAGAGAUUCUCAUUAUUCUUGCUAGCACAAAAAGAGAAAACACCGGUGCCUGCAAUCUUGUUUUAUAUGUGGAUUUUCAUUGGGGGUUAGAUAAUUGGACAGCUGUGUGUGAUAGAUCGAAGUUGCUGGAAUAAAAAGAAAAGCAAAAAGUUUGUAGAAUUUUUUCAAAUGUACAAUUUUCUUUCACAAUUUCUAUCUAAACACAUAGAGAUCCUUGGUGGGAAUUGAAAUCUAUUUUAUUUUUUCGCUUCGCAUGAUAAGUAGAUUCUCAACAAUGGAUUGUUCAAAGAUUAGAAAUAGACGAGUAUUGUAAUGCUUAGGGCAUUUUUCUUUCAAUACUUUUGAGGGGUUUGAAUGGGCUAUAUUCUAUACCAUUGUAACGAAUUUCACAUAGUGGUAAGCUUACCAUCCACGAUAUUUUCUUCAUUUUUUAUUUUCUUGUCUGCUAUUUUACCCUGAACAAUAAGUCUGUGGGCGAAUGAAGGGAAUUUGUCAAAUUAGUUUCCAAUACUGCAUACACAAUGUCCAAAAUUUCGAAACAUGAGUCUUACAUUUGAAAAGUCGGGAGACAGACAUUUGGAGAAAUACCUUUUAUUAUGCUGUUCACGAGUAAGGGACUGUCCACCCUAAUGUACAAGUAGAAUUUCCCCAAAUCAAUGACACGAGCUUUAAAUGAAAGGACAGCAAUUGGAGGUGUGAUAGCAAAAACCCAUGAAUUUAAUCUUGGUGUACAGAAUAAGAUUUCACAGAAAGCUUACAGAAGUCUCAAAUUGGAGGUGGUUCCCACAUGAAUAUUUUAUUGUCAAAAAAAUCACCCCAAUUCCAGCCCACCCCUGCUGAGUGUUAUCUGUCAACCUUCUAUAAACGCUUUAUUUGUACAUAUAGCCACUCUCAAAACCCAUGAGGGAUAUAUAUGUUCUUUUUACAUUUUAUGAAGGCUAAAUAUAUUUAUAUCACAGUUUUUAAUAACUAAACUACGUUUUAAAUUUAUGAAAUAUUCAUAAUAUUUGUAAAUUUUAAUAUGUAUGUCUCAAACUUUUUUCAUUGCAUUUUUAUUCUCAAAGUAACAUAAAUUGUUUCAAAUUAUGAUUUCUCUUCAAAAUCUUCUAUAAGAUAGAGUAAAAAGAUUCAAGCGUCCAUUGAAUUUUUAAAUAAGGAAAAUAAAUGCAAAAAUACAAUUAAAUAUUUGACUCUUAAUUUAAAAUAUGUUAACAAUAAUUUUGAACGAAAACAAUGAUUAAUGAUAAGAUUUUCCAAUUAAUGAAAUGUUAAAAAUAAGAAUGUGAUGAAAAGUUUAAUAAUGAAUAAAGGUUAAUGAUAAUUAAUAUAAUUAAAUUAUAUUGCAUUUACAAGAAAAAUGUGGUGUGAAUAAAAGAUCAAGAAAAAAUGGAGUUCAGCGGGAACAACUUCAAGGUUUGAUUAAGGGUUUUUGAUUAGUCACUAGAUAGAUUAGGAUUUCCUUCUAUUUAGAAAAAAACAAACUGAUUGUUUGCUUUUAUUAGAGGUUAUACUUUGCCUCGAAAAUGUAAGUGUGUACAGAAGUAAGCCACGGAUGUAAGUUUUUUCAUGUUCCUACUUUACUUGUAAACAUAUUUUUAUGGGUUUUGCUUAUACCCCCUCACAUGGAGGGGGCCCAAAAGGCUGCGUGUCCUCCACCAUAAGGUGUACACACAACAUUUUCCUAUUUUUAUUUAGAGAAGGUCAAAUCCUCCAUUGAAUAUUUUUAAUAUUUUGAUAAGACCUAAAAAAUCCUAUCAAGCUUAAACGGAUUUCAACAAAAAUAAAUAAACUAAUUAAUAUAUUCAAUACCAUUAGUUAUGAUGAAUUGCAAAUUUAAAUAAUACUUGAAAUAUUAAGGCGACAAUAGGGUUUGUUUACUAACUACACUGCUUUGAGCUCUACAUGAAUCAAAUGACACUUUAUUUCGUUGAAGGCUUCAACUCCGCUGGUGAUUGGUUUUCGUUGUAAACACUAUUGGCGAAAAUUCUUUGAUCCAUUACCUCACUUGAACAUCUUGUUCAAAGUAUUGACAAUAUUCCAAAGUCAGACGAACAGUUAAAAUUAUAGAUAGAUAAAUAACUAUGAAUUGUGAACAAGUGGAUAAUACUUAUUGAUCAUUCGAAUACAUAGAUAAAAGUGACUUAGAGUUUUUAUAAACAUGAAUCAAAAAUGGACUCAUAACAAUCAUCCUAGAAUAAUUUGUAAGUAGUUUGAGUAUUAUUUUAUGAAUUGAUAGGAAUAUUAAAAAAUUACUAAAAAAAUAAAUAUAGUUUUUCUUAAAACAUAUUAAAGGGGAAAAAAACAUGUUAUAAAAAACCAUUUCAUAAAAGAAAUUCUAUUAUUUUCAAAUAAAGUAUAAGAAUUCAAAUGUUGGUCAGCUUAACAUGAAAGUCAUACUGGAAACUUGCACGCUAAUUAUUGAAUCUAAUUGAACGACUUUGUCAAUGUUAGGUUUGAACGAAUUGAACGAUUUAAUAUUUGUAAACUGUCGAACGGUUCAAUUUGUCUUUUGGGAGGACCCCUGAAACCAAAUUUUCCUUCAAAUUAUUUUUCUUAUAUUGAUUUUCUGAUCGAGACUUUUACUGCAAGAACAUCAGCUACCUUACAAAUUUUGUAUAAUUAGUCCACGCUUUUGACAAUUCUAACGUUCAAUAUUGACUUGUGUAAAAAGUAUUGCCACGACUCAUCUCUAGAAUGAUAUAGUACAGUUCACACUUCUAUAUCAAGUCAAAUCAGUUAGUGGAAAAAAAAAACGAGAUCUAUAAUAACCCAUGGGGCCACCACCAAGCAAAAUUCUAUUACUCUAAGAAAAUGAUAAUUACCGAGGAGACUUGGCAAGCCAAUCUACAACGCACCACACUUGUGGAGUUGUGUCCGGCCAACCCAAGUCUUGACUAUCGGACUAAGUUAACACAAAUUUGUCAAAUGAAUUUGAGAAUAGAAAAAUGGGUGAAAUUUCAACUUCCUACCCUUUGUAAUGCAAAUUGGCUAAUGUAAGACCUCAAAUUUUAAGAAUUUAACUUGCAUGUACUAACAAACAACAUAUUCUCCAUCAAGUAAACAUAUAGGAUACAUGAAGUGAUGCUUGUAUUAUUGCAGGGGGGUCAAGAGUACUCUCUCUAUCUCUUCAUGUUUACAUUUGAAUUAAUGCAUAAAAGUAUAUACACUAG
rnacentral:lncRNA from 1 species